rnacentral:lncRNA from 1 species
AGGAAGCCAGGACAUUAGCCCCGCGAGGCGGUGGGCAGGUCAGUGGGUGGACGGAGUUCCCGAAACCAGGAACGGAGCCGGAGAGCGAGCGAGAGCGGGAGAGGGCACGGGCGGCUCCGGCGGCGGCGGAGGAGCGUUUGGGAGGCGCCGAGGCCGCGUUUAUGGCGGCGAAGGCGGUCUUGGUGAGCUUGGAGGUGGUUCUCCUCGUGGCCAUGGAAGGAGCGCGGGAGGGUUCUGAACUGGGUAAGUGAAGAUGAAGAAGAUGAAAUUCUGAAGGAGGAGAAGAAGGGAGGAAGAGGGGCGGUGGCGAUUCGGUGAUGCUUGGGGAGUGGGCAAGAGGAGGAAGGUUGUGGAAGGAAGUGGCAGCUUCUUCUGCUUCCGCCUUUUUUUUUCCUUCCCUUAAUUUUUCCGAACGCAGUUUCGGAUUUUACGAAUUUCCAUGUCGGCAUGCGCCGGGCCCACUGGUCUUGCCACGUCAGAGGCGUGAUUGCUAGAUUGGGCUCAUGGGCUCCAUAGGCACCGACCUGGGCACCACCUCUUAAAAUCCUUUUGGAGUAGGGAACGGGGUAGUGAAGAUGAAGAAGAUGAAAUUUUGAAGGAGGAGAAGAAGGGAGGAAGAGUGGGGUGGCAAUUCGGUGAUGCUUGGGGAGAAGUGGGCGGGGGGAGGAGGAACGUUGUCCGGAAGGAUAAGGAAGCUUUCCUAUGCUUUUUCCCUUCUAUUUUUUGAACACUUCCCGUUCAUUUCUCUGGACAGUGUUUAGCAUUUCACGUGCAUGUGGAUGAGGAGCUCUAUAAGAAAAACGAAUAUUGACCUUCCUUGCUUCAUCUCCCCCAAGCUUCCUUCCUCCCCUCCCAUAGCCACCACCACCACCACCCCGAGAGCAACUCCGCCCACCCCAAGCCCCCUCCGGUUGUUCCCCAAUGUCCUCCUCCUCUGCAACCGCCCACCGCACCCUCCGCCCCCGCGCCAAGGUGGUCGUCAUCAUGGGUGCCACCGGGUGCGGCAAGUCCAGCCUCUCCAUGUACCUCGCCUCCCGCUUCCCUUGCGAGGUCAUCAACUCUGACAAGAUGCAACUCUACCGGGGCCUCGACAUCACCACCAACAAGAUCCCCCUGGCCGAGCGCCACGGCGUCCCCCACCACCUCCUCAGCUCCUUCGACCCGAACGGUGCCGAGAUGACCCCGUCAGAGUUCCGCUCCCGCGGCCACGCAGCCAUCUCCGGCGUCGUCUCCGGCGGGAAGCUUCCCCUCGUCGUCGGCGGUUCCAACUCCUUCAUCCACGCUCUCCUGGUGGAGCGGUUCGAUCCGGAGGCUGAGGUUUUCAGCGGGCUCGGCUCGGCGGCGAGCCCCGAGCUGAGGUACGACUGUUGCUUUCUGUGGGUCGAUGUGUCGCCGCCCGUCCUGGAGGAGUACCAGUCGAAGCGCGUGGACAAAAUGCUCGACAUGGGCGCGUUCGAUGAGCUCGCCGGAUACUACGACCUGCGCCGGACCAACCCGGGGGGUUGGACCUGCCUGAGGAAGGCCAUAGGCGUGCCCGAGUUCGACCGUUAUUUUAUGACCUACCCGCCGCCGCGGGGGGUUGGCCCGGGGGACGGGUGGCGGCGGGAGGAUGCGGGGAUGCGGGAAGACGAUCCGGGGCGGGAGGGUGCAUACAAGGAGGUGGUGCGAAAGAUAAAGAAGAACGCGGUGGAGCUGGCGAAGUGGCAGAUUAUGAAGAUCGAGCGGCUGAGAGGGUGCGGGUGGGAGCUGCAUAGCUGGACGCGACGGACGCGGUCCGGCUGUCGAUGGCGGUCAAGCAGGAGGGUGGCGGCCGGUCCCGGGACGUUGGGAGAGUGAGGUCGUGGAGGCCAGCCGUGAAAUUUGUGGAGCGUUUCUUGUGGUAGAAGCAGGAGGCGUGCUAUCGUUCUUGAUUUUUUUCACUGCCCUAUGUUACGUAUUUCAUUAAUUACAUUUAAGCAUAUUUUCUAAGAGAAUUGUUGAACACUUAAAAGCGACGAUUAUAUAUGUCAUGAGAAGAAAGUUGCAGCCUUAAAAGAUGUACAGACUCAAAACUAUCGAAAUGAAAUGAUUCGUUCGUAACCGAUGUUUUGUUGUCGAUACCAGAAGACUAGGGGUGGGAGUGGGGGCCUUCGUUGACAAAAUCCCGUUGACUUCCGUCUCCAUCCCAAGAUUUUUCGGUAAAUUGUUUUUGAGGUAUUUGUCAAAUAAUCUAAUAAAAAAUACUUGUGAUUUUCGAUAUGUCUCUCGUGGUGUGCUCGAUCAAUAUUUGGAGGACUGAAUUAUUCUUUUAUCACGUUUUUUUUUUUUGGGUAAAGGAAAUUAUACCGAUGUUUCCUUGUUGAUACCACAAGACUAGUGCAAUUCCAACACUCAUUACAAGUUAGGCCUCUUGGAGUUUCUGUCUAAUUACUAUUUAGGUUUUCGGAUGUGGUGCGUGGUGUUAGAUUUAGCGCGUUCCGCGGUAAAUGCACGGGAAAAUGCACUGCCCCUAUCUCUGAACUCAGUGCUUUAUGGAGAUCUUGCCGGCCUCGGAACGGACGUGUUUGCCCUCAUCGAUCCCAACUUUCAAUUCAAUGGGCUACGUGUGGUUAUCAAAUAAAUUUCUAUUUUCAAAAUAAAAUUUUAUAUCAUUAUCAAAUACGUAUUUUAUUCAGAAACUCAUCUAAGAAUACAAAUAAAAUUUUCUAUUUUUAUUCCAAAAAAUAAUUUCUAGUAAGGAUGAUUAUCAUUCGUGUCUUAUCAACUCGAUGUUAAUGCCAAACAUUAGAGAUUUCGAGUAAGCUUUUGAGGGAUAUAACGGAAACGUCCAAUUUCCUCAUUCUAAUUUUAAAACAAUUGUCUUAAUUAAUAAAAGUAAAUGUUAAACCGUGAAUAUUAGUAAAAUAAUUCCCAAGAUACGCCGGAAAAGAACAUUUGAGAUUGUCCGCGUGUUGGCACUGAGUUUUUUGUAAUCUCGGAAGGCGCAACUUUAAUCUGGUCAUUAAUCGAAAAAUUAGUUGGCCAAGGAUGCGUCAACUCCGCCGUCCUGCCUUUGUGUUGUAUACACCUUAAUUUAAGUGAUCAAUAAGGUAUUAACUAUUAAAGAGAGUCAUCUGCUAUUUAAUUUGGAAGAAAAGAAAUAGCAUCAUUUUCCGGAGUGAAAUGCUUGAGGUUUCGGCUUUGAAGAAUCAACUUGUCAAAGUUGUUAAAGAUAAAGUGUUGACCUUUAGCAACGUGUCGGACAACUUUCGUAACAAGUGUCUUCAACGAGGGUGGAGCUUUGACUCUUAUGUUUUUGUUGGUGGGCCUGCCCAUUCUCCUUAGUGGUGCUUCUUCUGCUAGGGUUGGUCAAUUGGUGCUGUUCCUUCUCGGUUUGCGGCCCCGUUGUUGUGUUGUGCUACCUUGCUGACAGUUGUGUUUUUUGUUUUUUUGCUUGGUGGUGAUUUUCUUUUGUUUGUCGGUCUGUUUCGGCUUCCUUGUUUGUCAUUGUUUUUGUUUUCUUUUACAUCGGCUCCCUUUCACUCUCUUUGCUCAUGCAUCAUGAGUGAAAGUUUUUGGCGCCAGUUUUUGUAUAAUUGGCUUUUGCUCUAUAUAUUCUUACCUUACCAAAAAAUAUAUAUAUAUAUAUAUAUAUAUAUAUAUAUAUAUAUAUAUAUUAAAGAGAGUCACGGUUGCGCCGCCUAUCUGGAAUCUUAAUGGGGGAUGAUCAAGCAAGCCUUUUUGAUUAAGCCCUAAUUAUUAGAAGAUCAAGCGCUCUUUUCUUCUUCUUCUUUUAUGGGAGGAAAAGACGAGUGGAUGCAAUGGUUGUUCCCCUGUCCUUUGGCUGUUCCGUGCAUUUAAGGCUCAUAGGAAUGGUGUUUAUUCGGAAGAGACUUUAUCCUUUUUGCCUAAAUUUGACAAGAUUUUGUGUGGCUAUUAUACACGACCCACCUUCAUCGUUAUUGAUUAGGUGACUAAGGUUUGAAAAAUCGACGAGUACUUAAAUUACCGGCGAUAGAUGGGACACCCAGUAACAUGAAUUGUAUAUGUAACUUGCUGUUGCAAUGUGAAAGCUAACAUAAGAAUAAUAAAGUGGGAGGGGAGCCCACCGCCAAGUUUAUCUGCUUAAAGAGCAUUGAAAAUGGUGUUUUGGAGACGAUAGCGUUCUCGUCCGAUCCCCACUUUCCAUCAUGCCGAUUCCCUUGUCCUCUUUAGGAAAAAGGGCGGGCCGAGAAAUCCACAUCGAUAAUGUCAGUAAAAAAGCUUGAGACCGAAAUACUCGAUUUCAGCUACAGCUAUCGUUUACUCUUGAAGCGAGCCUGUUGUCGCCUCGUUACCUAAUGCGAGCAAGAGUAAAUUCGGAGGUUUGAUCAAGGGAGCUGCAAACGUAGCAUGCAAGCAAGUCUCUUCGACCAUUAGGAGCCAUCAAUUCACACGAUGAAUCUGGCUAAAAGGUCCAUUAAUUCGUGUUUGAUCCUUUGCGUUUCCUCUUAUCAAGAAAAACAAUAAUCAGUGGCUACCGACUAAGCUACGUGGCCUAAAUGGUGAACGAUCGGAAGGAAUGGAGAUGGGACGGUGCGGGCGUUCAAACUUCAAAUUUGUAGGCCUAUGAAACUAGGAUGCUUUUUAAUUAAUCGCCACUCGGUUUCGGUCUCCAGUGUCUAGAACCCAAUCCAUACAUACCCAGUUUGUAAAUGCCUAUAGAGAAGAAAAAAGAAAGAAUCUGACUCCUUCAAUUGGAAAAUUAAUCAUUUAAAAAUCAUUUUUUGAAAAAUUAAUUGAAAGAAAUGCUGGGCAAAUAGUAUUGUUUUUUGAAAUUUGUUGACAAAUUGAUAUAGUAACUGAUAAACGGAUGCUUGAUGACGUCUCAUUUGCCUGCACAUAGAUUUGGUAUUUAUAAUUCACUUUGCUCAUCGAAAAAUAGUUCCAAUAAGUCAAAGCAUUAUUGAAGACUCAUUGCUCAAUCCAGCUGAAAAGCAUACAUACAUACAUGAAUGUAAAUCAUCCAAGUGUCUUUAUCUCCGAAAAUACGUGGUUGAAAUUAGAUACCCCUUGAUCCCUUAAUUAAGAAAAAGGGAGAUUUUUAAGAUGCAAAAUUGGAUAUCUACAAAAGUACAUUUUAAUUAUAGUUUUCUUAAAUAAUCUAAAGGCACGAGCGUGGAAACUUAGCUAUUUAGAGAUUCAUUAACAUACAACAUGCUUUAUAAAUUGGUUAAAUUUCAACUUUUGAGUUGUACAGGCAAGCCUCAACGAAAAGCACUGUGUGUGGUUAUUAAAGCUUUUUGAAAAAAAGGGGAUUCUCAGAUAGUCCAAAAUUGAUAUUUUUUGCUUUUUGUUGGCCCCCUUAAAGGGACGUGAAGGAUCGUACCGUCUCAUCUGCACGCUCGUUUACGCAAAUAUUCUCUCAAAAUUUACUAUGUCAAGCGUUAACGCGUUUGCUUUAUGAAUCACCAUUCUCACCUCCUAUCCCCUUAUCUUAUUCCGUUGACAUUUUCGUUACGCACAUGUAUCUCAGCCAUAGUAAAAAGCAGAGAAGAAAGGAAGGAGAACCGGGAUCGUGCCUUUGACUAUGCAAAAUAAUGGGGAGAAACUCUCGCGUAGGGAACUACCGAGGAAGAAGAAGCCUCGUCAAUUUGAGGAUAAUAAAGCAAGGGAAUUUUCAAUGAAGUUGACAAUAACCAUCCCGGUGAAUAGAUUUGUUUCAGUAACGAAAUAUCUUUCAUCUAUAAUAAUCCUUCAACUUUUUUUUUAGAAAUAAUAAAGAUUUUGUCCUAAUUCCGAACAGAGGAUAUCAAAUGCAAUAUAAAUGUCAAAUUUCCAAUUUCGAAUAGAAUUGUACUACUCUGACAACGAACUUGUUAACAUUGAGGAUGAGUUCAAACUGUGCUAGAAUCUAAUUGACGACAUAAUUUGGGGAUAAGUAGACACAAUGCCGGAAUUUAAUCGACGAUAAUGCAUCGAGAUACAAGACAUAACGCUGGAAUCUAAUCGACAGCGUUGGACUACGAUAGAGAAUACAACGUUGAAAUUUAAUUGACGACGCAACAUCAUGGUGUAGAUACAUGCUAGAAUCUAAACAAUGACAAGGAUCUAAGAGCUAUAGCUAUGAAAACUAAAGUGUAGUACAAGAGAUGUAAAGAUAAAGGGAUAACAUGUUGAUUGAUUCUUUCGCGGGGGGAGGUGUCAUGCUAGAUGACUGAUGGUAUUUAUAGAGAAGCUUGGUAAUUGCUGAACAAUCAUUCCUCUUCUAAUAACCGCUUCAAGCCUUAUGCACAUUGCCUUUUCCUCUGCAAUGACCUUGCCUAUUUGCUUUACAACUGUUUGGAUUGUGUUUCGAUGCUCUCUGAUUUAUCAACAAUGAUUUCAUGGCCGGGUCUUUGUAUGUCAACUGCUCCUUAACCAUGAAUACCUUUGGCGCUUUCCUGAAUAUUUCAAAUGUUUUCAUCUAAAACUUACUGUGGCAUCACUUGAAUAGCCAUCAAAGAUCCGUCAUCGUAUUUCAAUAGCUAAACACGGGAUGACUUCUUGCCUUGCUGUCGAUUAUUGAGUCUUUGUCCUUCGAAUUAUCGAUAAUUGAUCAUAUAAUAAUACUCUUAUGAUAUUCAUGUGAUCUUGCUUGACUUUAUUAUAUCUUCCAUUUUGGUGAUCGAUAUGUAAUAAUACGGUUAACUUUGAGUGUCAACAAGAUCAGAGAAGAUCACGACCAAGGACUAUGACAAUUUAGGCAAUUUUAACAUUGAACCUCUUGCCGAAUUCUCGGACCUUUCAAACGAUUGCCCCCUGUAAUAUUCCGAAUGCCCUUUUGACGAAAAUCCAUGUGAGAGUGGGGUCAAUCUGAAAAACCCUUUAUAGAUGUGUCAAUUCAAGCACGCCAUACCAGCAAUAGCAUGCUUCUCGGGCCAAAAGAAAAAGAGAAAAACAAGUGUACUUUUUUUUUAUCUGCUCGGGAUAACCCUCAAGAGCAGUAAAUAUGAACCGAUGUCUAUAAAAUUCUAUGUUCUUCAUUUUUCACUUUUUCCUCCUACAUUUUGAGGUUUUGCUGCAGUACUUUAGGUUAUAUAAGUCUCUCAUUCUUGAUUGAAAACUUGGUUGAUACAAGGUAUUGAAAGAGAGACGAUGUAGUUGAUAUACCAUUCUCUUCCCCGCCUUCUGCAUACAAAAAAAAUAAAAAUAAAGUACAAUUUAGUUUAUCAAUCUAAGAGAUAGAAACAUGUUUUUUUGAAUUUUUCCUCUUUUUAUAAGUAUGUUAUAUUAGCUCAUCAAGAAUGAAUGGUACAAAUUGAACAAAUUUACUGACAGGGAAACUACCAAUUUGGAAUAUUCACCUGAUUUUUCUCCGGGCAUCUCGAUUCACAAAAUUAGAUGGAUUCAUAAAGAUCGAAGUUCCAUGUCGUAGCAAAACAAGAAUCCUAGGUCGAUCGCUUCCUUUCCCUUUUUUCCCUCAUCACGGGCCAUAAAUCGAUCAUCCGUGCGUUGGUUUUGCCUCCCUUCAUCGAUUCAUCUCAUCUUCUCCAUCAAACCCACAAUCCAGAUUCUCUGCUCUCUGCUUGCCCGCGCCGCUCAGACAAAAUCCCAAAAGCUUCGAAAGCUGCAAGUUGCUGACUUCUCUCUCGAAUCUCCUUCUCCCACGAUCUCAAGGAAUGCGGCGACGCCGUGCUCGUCGAAGAAGAUGACCGCAGUCGAGGCGAGAGGCUCGACCGGUUGCUGAUGGACUCCGAUUCCGACUUCUGCGUCGGCGGGUCGAGUUUCGUCCUCCAGCUCUCCUCAGCCGACGAGCUCUUCUCCGACGGCAAGAUCCUUCCCGACGAGAUCAGGAGGGACGGAGUGGUAACUGCCGACCACAGUAAUUGUCUGCCGAAUACCUUGGUCUCAUCCUGCUCCUCCAUCUGGGACACCAAUUUCUAGUGCUGCGUUCACGGAGAAGAGGAGUCUGAAGGAGCUCCUCUUCGGACAGCUUCGACGACGACGACGACGAAGGGGAUGAGAAGCCGCUGCCCAAGCCAUCCUGGCAGUUCAAGUGCACUUAAUUGUGACGUCGCCAAGAGCAGAGGACCGAUUCGGUCGCUGCAGUUCCUCUCGCGGAGCAACUCGACCGGUUCAGUUCCAAAUCCACAGGACAAAUUCGCCUCCAAGGACAACCCGAGGCAGAAUUUGCAGAAAGAGCCCUCCAUAUCAAGUCAGAGAUGGUCGUCGGAGUCAUAUCAAUCUUCCUUGGGCAUGCCAUCUUCGUACGGCCUGUCGCAAUCGCAGAAGCCCCCGACGACGAACAAACGAUACAGACCCAGCGUGAGUGAGGGUCAAUCCUGAAUUGAAUUUUCAGCCCCACGUCAAACGAUCAGGACGGUGAGCUUGUUCGGGCUCGGCUCGCUUUUCUGUAAUGGCAAGGUCAGAAAGAAGAAGAAACGAGUCAUCCUGAUCAAUCUGCUUUGUUAAUUUGCAUUAGCACAGAGAGAAAAAAAAGAAGAAAUGAGCUUUUUGAACGCUUCUGGUUUUGGUGCACAUGUCUAUAGAUUUCGUGGUGGUAGAUAUGGCCCAUAUGGGGGACCUCAUGGAAUUAGCAUGGGAUAAGGUUCUCGAAAAGAAUUCCAGGAAAAUAUAAUGUACGGAAUGCAUGUUUAAAGAUCAGGUUUCGUUAUCUUUCGAAAUUUCAAUUUUCCCCCUUCCCGUUUUCUUGUUUUAUUUGUUUGUGGGAAUUCCCCUUUUUCAAUCUUCAACUAUCUGUUGUUUACUUCUACUAGCGUCGCACCACGUGCGUCGCACAUGACCUGGUGAUGUUGGGCUAUAAUUUAUCAUGCCCCAGGACUCUGCUCUUGCCCUCUUUUCGUUAGACUCCUCUCUGUUUCUGUCCGCCUCCUUGUGUUCACCUUGAGAAGUUAUAGUCGAUCUUCCUUCGCUGAACCCUCCCACUUACCUCUCUUUACAUAACGCUUCUCUUCUUUGGGUGAAUACAGCUGAGAGGAUCGGCCCUCAGAUGGGAUCCGAUGGAGGCCCAGCUCUAAUCACCAUCCUCGCUUUGGCUGUAGUGAGAUUGUAAGUGCUCUAACAACAACAACCCAGAUGGACUCAGUUCAACAGCAAGUGGAGGCUACGUGGAGUUCAUUGAUUAAUGAAGUUUCGUGAAGACAAUGGGCUAGCCUGUCUAUGGGCAAUCAAUGUCACAAAUAUUGUUAGCCUGUUCAAGUCCUAACAAUUACAGGAACCUCAAAGUAAACAUGGGAAGCAAUGAUAAGGACCGAUGUCUUUCAAAAGUAUCAUGUGAACCACAAAAAAAAAUCAUCGCAGAAGUUGAAUAACAAUAGGACGUACUUACCCAUCGGUGGGCAACUGAGUUGGUUCGGCUUUGGGCACUUCACUGCAGAGGUCCCAAGGUCAAAAUUCCGCAGUUGCUAACACGUCUUAAGUGAGGGGCCAUGGUAGUGGGAUCCUGUGCUAGCUUUCCCCCCGGUAUUGACAUUGAUCCGAGGUACACCGCGCACUGUACGGGCCGUGGAUUGGCAAUUAGCGUAAGCAAAAGUCGGCCCAGCAGAUCCUGGGUCCCCAAAAAAAAAAAAAAAAAAAAAAAAAAAGAUAUACUUUGAUCUGUUACUCUUUGAUUUCCACGAACAGCUUGAAUGGCCUCCCUCAAAUCCUUCUCACUGAGCUGAAGAUUUCGAACUAAUUGCUGCCCAAUAUCUUCACAGAAACAAAAUCAUCUCCCAUUUUUUUCUUGCACUUCUGAGCAUUGUCCAAAAGGGAGGCGAGAUAUGUGCCCAUUAUAGGGCCACUAGUAUCUCACACAACCUGGUGCAAGAUCACAGAUUGUUACCAAACCCCAAAUAUCCUCUGGAGAAAGACAAAAUUGAAUUGAAAAACAAACUUAUAACUGAAUACAUGCCUUUGGUUGUUGGGAUAUGAAAUUGUCCACAGCCUGCAGAACUGACGUGUUGUGAAGACCAGCUUUAGUGAGAAUUCUCCUGGCUAAACCAUCCUUUUGCUCCAAAAGAGCUUUCAUUAGAUGCUCAGUUUCCACCACUUGUUGUUUGCAAACUCGAGCUGCAUCAACAGCACCAAUAAUGCUCUCCCAGGUCAUUCAGUGAACUCUGAUGGAUUUGUCCAAGUCAAACAAAGCCGGACUUCAAGGAACUGUGUUAACUUGUAAAAUCAAGGAACCGUUGCCUCCCCUGGUAAGAAAAUGUAAUACCUACUCAAGUGUUAGGUGGACCUUCAUAAGCAAAAGCUCACGGAAGAUGGGGAAGUUGAAUGCAGAAUUUAGGUAAAUUUGCACUCAUAAUUCUCCAAAUUUAUACCAUAAAAAACCAUCAAACGAUAUUUUUAAUUUAACAGUCAUUGCUAAUACAGCCAAAAGUAACGCACUUUAGUAAUACCGGAGAAAAGUUCAUUUCGUUAAGCUUAUGAUGUCCACAUCGAACGCCCCAUACAUCUCUAUUCUAUAUCUGCUGAACCUCGAAAGAUCAUCCUAGAGGCGACAGUAGUCACAACAUCNNNNNNNNNNNNNNNNNNNNNNNNNNNNNNNNNNNNNNNNNNNNNNNNNNNNNNNNNNNNNNNNNNNNNNNNNNNNNNNNNNNNNNNNNNNNNNNNNNNNUAUAUAUCGUUAUCAACAAAUUUCUAUUUCAAAAAUAAAAAUUUUAUAUCGUUAUUAAAUGCAUACUUUUAUUUAGAAACUCAUUUAAAAAUAUAAAUAAAAUUUUUUAUUUAUAUUCCAGAAAUUAAUUUCUAGUAAGGAUGAUUAUCAUUCGUGUUUUAUCAACUCGAUGUUAAUGUCAAACAUUAGAGAUUUCGAGCAAGCUUUCGAGGGAUAUAAUGGGAAAUGUCCAAUUUCCUCCUUUUAAUUUUAAAACAAUUCUCUUAAUUAAGAAAAGUAAAUGUUAAACCGCGAAUAUUAGUAAAAUAAUUCCCAAGAUACGCCGGAAAAUAAAAUUUGAGAUUGUCCGCGUGUUGGCACUGAGUUUUUUGAACUCUCGAAAGCCGCAACUUUAAUCUGGUCGUUAAUGGAAAAAUUAGUUGGCCGAGGAUGCGUCACCGUUGCGCUGCCUAUCUGGAAAAUAUGCAAGUCGCCGUACUCUUCCGCAGGCCAUCCGCCGUGGAUUGGACAUUCACAAGUAGUCACAUCUAGCGAUUUGCAUUCCAUCCUAAUGGGGGAUGAUCAAGCCUUUUUUAUUAAGCCCUAAUUAUUAGGAGAUCGAGCGCUCUUUUCUUCUUCUUUUAUGGGAGGAGAAGACGAGUGGAUGCAAUGGUUGUUCCCCUGUCCUUUGGCUGUUCCGUGCAUUUAAGGCUCACAGGAAUGGUGUUUAUUUGGAAGAGACUUUAUCCUUUUUGCCUAAAUUCGACAAGAUUUUGUUUGGCUAUUGUACACGACCCACCUUCAUCAUUAUUGAUUAGGUGACUAAGGUUUGAAAAAUCGACGAGUACUUAAAUUACUGGCGAUAGAUGGGACACUCAGUAACAUGAAUUGUAUAUGUAACUUGCUCUUGCAAUGUCAAAGCUAACACAAGAAUAAUAAAGUGGGAGGGGAGCCCACCGCCAAGUUUAUAUGCUUAAAGAGCAUUGAAAAUGUUGUUUUGGAGACGAUAACAUUCUCGUCCGAUCCCCACUUUCCAUCAUGCCGAUUCCCUUGUCCUCUUUAGGAAAAAGGGUGGGGCGAGAAAUCCACAUCGAUAAUGUAGUAAAAGAGCUUGAGACCGACUGUUGGAAUACUCCAUUUGUGGUACAGCUAUCGUUUACUCUUGAAGCGAGCCUGUUGUCGCCUCGUUGCCUAAUGCGAGCAAGAGUAAAAUCAGAGGAGCGAUCCUCGUGCCCAGCAUUUGAGUAGAAUAACGCCGCCGGUCGGGGAAAGCGAUCAGAGGAUUCGGAGUUUUGAUCAAGGGAGCUCCGAACGUAGCAUGCAAGCAAGUCUCUUCGACCAUUAGGAGCCAUCAAUUCACACGAUGAAUCUGGCUAAAAGGUCCAUUAAUUCGUGUUUGAUCCUUUGCGUUUCCUCUUAUCAAGAAAAACAAUAAUCAGUGGCUACCAACUAAGCUACGUGGCCUAAAUGGUGAAGGAUCGGAAGGAAUGGAGAUGGGACGGUGGGGGCGUUUCAAACUUCAAAUUUGUAGGCCUAUGAAACUAGGAUGCUUUUUAAUUAAUCACCACUCGGUUUCGGUCUCCAGUGUCUAGAACCCAACCAAUACAUACCCAGUUCAUAAAUGCCUAUAGAGAAGAAAAAAGAAAGAAUCUGACUCCUUCAAUUGGAAAAUUAAUCAUUUAAAAAUCUUUUUUCGAAAUAUUAAUUGAAAGAAAUGCCAGGCAAAUAAUAUUGUUUUUUGAAAUUUGUUGACAAAUUGAUGUAGUAACUGAUAAAUGGAUGCUUGAUGACGUUUCAUUUGCCUGCACAUAGAUUUGGUAUCUAUAAUUCACUUUGCUCAUCUUCAGCUGAAAAGCAUACAUACAUACAUACAUGAAUGUAAAUUAUCUAAGUGUCUUUAUCUCCGAAAAGACGCGAUUAGAAUUAGAUACCGCUUGAUUCUUUAAUUAAGAAAAAGAGAGAUUCUUAAGAUGCAAAAUUAGAUAUAUACAAAAGUACAUUUUAAUUAUUAUUUUUUAUAUAAUCUAAAGGCACUAGCAUGGAAACUUAGUUAUUUAGAGAUUCAUUGAACAUAUAACAAUUUUUAUAAAUUUUGUUAAAUUUAAACUUUUGAGUUGUGCAAGUGACCUUUAACCAAAAGCAGUAUGAACGGUUAUUAAAGCUUUGAUGAAGGGGCUUGUUAGAUGGUCCAAAACUGAUUUUUUUUUUUUGGCCCCCUUAAAGAGACGUGAAGGAUUGUACCAUCUCAUAUGCACGCCCAUUAAUGCAAAUGUCCUAUCAAAGUUGACUGUGUCAAGUGUAAACGCGUUUGUUUCAAGGAUCACCAUUCUCACCUCCUAUCCCCUUAUCUUAUCCCCUCCACAUUUUCGUUCCAUGCAUGUAUCUCAAUCGUAGAAAGAGGAGAGAAGAAAGGAGGGAGAGCGGGGAUCGUGCCUUCGUGCCUUGACUAUGCAAAAUAAUGGGCAGAAACUCUCGCGAAGGGAACUGCCGAGGGGAGAAGAGGCUUCGUGAGCUUUGAGCGUAUGAAGCAGGAAAAUUUUCAAUGAUGGUGACAGCCACCAACCCCGCGAAUUCGGAAGAUACGCGACGGGGACUACGACAAUUUUGGCAACUUCAAUGUUGAGUCUUGCCAAAUUAUCGGGCCUUUAACAUGAUUGCCCCCCCCCGUAAUAUUCCGAAUGCCCUUCUCACGAAAAUCCUUGGGACAGCGGGGUCUCUAGAUUUGAUCGUGUGUGGGACUUAACCCUUACCGGCGCAUCAAUUCAAGCACACCUUACCAGCAGGGGCAUGCUUCUCAGGGCGAAAAGACGCAGAAAAACAAGUGCACUUUUUCCUUAUCUGCUCGGGGUAACCCUCGGGUUUGAGAGCAGUACAUGUGGACCGGUGUCUAUACAAUCCUAGGUUCUUUGUUUUGAGGUUUUGGUCGUUCCUCACUUUUUCCUACUACCUUUUGAGGUUUCGCUGAGGGUACUUUAGGUUAUAUGGGUCUUUCAAUCUCGAUUGAAAACUCAACUGAUACAAGGUAUUGAAAGAGAGAUGAUGUGGUUGAUAUACCAUUCUCUUCCCCGCCUUCUACUUAAAAGAAAUAAAAUAAAUGAAGUAUGACUUUGUCUAUCAAUCAAAGAGAUAGAAAGAUGUUCUUUCCAAAAAUGAUUUUCCCUUUUUAUAAGUAUGUUAUAUUAGCUUACCAAGAAUGAACGGUACAAACUGAACAAAUUUACUGAUUGGGAAAAGCACCAAUUUGGAAUAUUCACCCGAUUUUUCGCCGGGCAUCUCGAUUCACAAACUUAGAUUGAUUCAUGAAAAUGGAAGUUCCGUGUCGUAGCAAAACAAAAACCCUAGGUCGAUCGCUUCCCUUCCGUUUUGCCCUCAUCACGGGCCAAAAUUCUAUCAUUUGUGCGUCGGUUUUGCCUCCUUUCCUUUCCUCCUUUCCUUCCUCCCUUCCUCCAUUCAUCCAUUCAUCCAUUCAUCUCAUUUUCUCCGUCAAACCCACAAACCAGAUUCUCCUCUCUGCUUGCACGCGCCGCUCUGACAAAAUCCCAAAAGAUUCGAAAGCUGCAAGUUGCUGACUUCUCUCUCGAAUCUCCUUCUCCCACGAUCUCAAGGAAUGCGGCGACGCCGUCCCCGUCGAAGAAGAUGACCGCAGUCGACGCGAGAGGCUCGACCGGUCGCUGAUGGACUCCGACUCCGACUUCUGCUUCGGCGGGUCGAGUUUCGUCCUCCAGCUCUCCUCAGCCAACGAGCUCUUCUCCGACGGCAAGAUCCUUCCCGACGAGAUCAGGAGGGACAGAGUGGUAACUGCCGACCACAGUGAUUGUCUGCCGAAUACCUUGGUCUCAUCCUCCUCCUCCAUCUGGGACUCCGAUUUCUAGUGCUGCGUUCUCGGAGGAGUCUGAAGGAGCUCCUCUCGGAAAGCUUCGACGACGACGAAGGGGAUGAGAAGCCGCUGCCCAAGCCAUUAUGGCAGUUCAAGUGCACUUAAUUGUGACGUUGCCAAGAGCAGAGAACUGAUUCGGUCGCUGCAGUUCCUCUCGCGGAGCACCUCGACCGGUCCAGCUCCAAAUCCAAAGGACAAAUUCGCCUCCAAGGACAACCCGAGGCAGAAUUUGCAGAAACAGCCCUCUAUAUCAAGUCAAAGAUGGUCGUCGGAGUCAUAUCAAUCCUCAUUCGGCAUGCCAUCUUCGUACGGCCUGUCGCAAUCGGAGAAGCCCCCGACGACGAACAAACGAUACAGACCCAGGGUGAGGGUCAAUCCUGAAUUGAAUUUUCAGCCCCACAUCAAACGAUCAGGACGGUGAGCUUGUUCGGGCUCGGCUCGCUUUUCUGUAAUGGCAAGGUCAGAAAGAAGAAGAAACGAGUCAUCCUGAUUAAUCUUCUUUGUUAAUUUGCAUUAGAACAGAGAGAAAAGAAGAAGAAGAAGAAGAAGAAAUGAGCUUUUUGAAUGCUUCUGGUUUUGGUGCACAUGCCUAGAUAGAUUUUUGUGGUGGUAGAUAUGGGGGACCUGAUGGAAUUAGCAUGGGAUAAGGUUCUCGAAAAGAAUUCCUGGAAAAUAUAAUGUACGGAAUGCAUGUUUAAAGAUCAGGUUUCGUUUUCUAAUAGUGGGCCCUAUAAGCCUCUAACCAGCGUUGCAUUAGCAUCAGGUAAGAUAAUCAUCUUGUUGUCUAUCCAGCCGAAAGUCGUAUGCUGUUGUCAGUAUUCUAAUUCAUCUUGUUUUGGGGACUUUCUAUAAUAUCUCGGACUUCUAAGCGACGUGAAAAAUAGAUAGAAUUUGCAUAAUAGCGGCAAAAAUAUAAUGAGCCAAAAGAAUUUGCAUAAUUGCAUUGUACUCUUCGAGUUUUUUGUGUGUGAAAAUGUUUUUUUUUUAAAGGUUCAGGGGAUGCAGAGAAAGCAAAGGAGUACUUAGCCAAAAUGAGUGAUGAGCAAACAGACGGUGACGGUGUGGUUUUAUCCCUCGUGCUCAAAGCUACAUCCAUCAGGCUGUUCAAUAUGCUCCUAAUGACUGGUAAUAUGUAAUGCCAAAUCUGUAUGUUCGAAGUUCCAUAUCGGCAAAUAUUGCAAUGAUCCCGAGCAUUGUUUUCAGAACAUUCGCGCUAUGUUGUCUCAAAUGGUAUGGAUGCAUCUUUUGGUUUUUCGACUGCAGUUAUGUUCUUGCUUCAUGUCCUCACGAUCAUGAUCAUGAUCACAAUCAUGAGGUAGAGGAAGAAUUGCGGUUUAACACUAGUCAAACUUGUGUAUCUAAUUACUCAACUGACCACCCUUGUACUAAUUGUAAUCUUUGAGGACACACCCUACUGAAAAAGAUUCCUAAUUUAUUAAGAUUAAUUGCUUGUCCUGAAGCAAAACAAUAUUGAUGUAAUACUGCAGUUAAAUUCUGGCACUCUUGGACUUGCCAUCAAGGAAGAAGAUCUAAUCAUCUGCAAAAAAUAAAUGAGAUGGUGUGGGACAAAAUCUGUUCAGUUUAAUGCUCUUCAAGCUACCAUCGUCUACUGCCUUCUUCAAUAGGGAGGAUAGGCAAUUUCCUACAAUAAUAAAUAGGUAGGGAGAUAGGGGAUCGCUUUGUCUAAUUCCUCUAGAUGGUUGAAAAAUGGGAAGUGGCUCACCGUUGACUUUCACACUAAAAGACAUUGUGGUAACACACUGCAUUACCCAAUAUUGCCACCUCUCGUUGAAAUCCAUCUUAAUCAUACAUGCCUCUAAGAAGUCCCACUCGACUUGAUCAUAGGUUUUUUGAAUAUCAAGCUUCAAAACUACAUGAAAUUGUCUAAUCCUUGUUCACACUCUUAGCUGAUAAAGCACCUCUUGUACUAUCAAGAUGUUAUCUUGAAUUUGUUGCCCACUAACAAAAGCACUUUGUUCCUAGGCUAUCACAUUUGGCAACCACUGUUUCAGCCUAUUUGCUAACUCUGGAGACGAUUUUAUACACAAAGUUCUAAGGCUGAUAGGACGGAAUUGCUCUAACCUUUCAGGGUUGGAGACCUUUGGUAUGAGGGAAAUGAGGAUAAGUACACUAAUGGUGCCAUAAGUUGUGUACGGCGGUCACUUUGGUGCCAAAAGUUUCCAUCAGAUCACUUAAGUGCCAAAUCAAAGGAAAAAUGCUCACUUUGGUGCCACAAGCAAAAGAUUCCGGCCAAAAUGAUUAUUUUUUUUUUAAAUCGAUAGGCCUUUAAAUGACGUCGUUUUCGGUCCUCCUUAAGAAAAAGACGUCGUUUUGCCGUUCUACAUGGAUGGCUUCAUGGAAACGACACCGUUUAGCUCACAUAGGGAAAAAUUAGGGUUUCCGCCGCUCGGCUAUCGUCACUCAGCCACCAUUGUAGUUGCUCGACCAGGUGAGCGAGGAGAGACUGAGAUUGUUGCAGGAAAAAUCGAAGGUGAGGGCGGAGGAGGAGGAGGAAGAAGAUGGGUCGAAGGGGCUGCUGGUGCGCUGCUGCUGCUGGUGCGUUGCUGGUGUCGUUGUUGGUGUGCUGCCGGUGCUGUUGCUAGUGCCAUGUUGGUGCCGUUGCUGGUGUGGGUCUUUGAGGAAGAAGAAGACACGAAGACGAGCCUUCCCUCUCUGUCAAUUUGGGGAUUAGGGUUUCAAAGUUGGGGGAAAGAUGCCAAACGGCGUCAUUUUGGUGUUUGGAUGCUGACUCAACUCUCCGACGAGCCACGUUGACUUCAAAAAUUAAUUAAAAAAGGCCACGUCGGAUUUCCGGCCAAUUUCAUCGGCGUUGGCACCAAAGUGAGCGUUUUUCAAAUUUUUUGGCACUUAAGUGAUCCGACGGAAACUUUUGGCACCAAAGUGAGCGCUGUACACAACUUAUGGCACCAUUAGUGUACUUAUCCCGAGGGAAAUGUAUGUUUUGUUCAGUUAUGGGUUCAUAGUUCUAGAUAUAAAGAAAUUCCUUACCGCAUCAUAUACAUCCUCCUUUACAUCUUCCCAAUCGUGCUGAUAAAAUAAUCCAUUUAAGCCAUCUAAUGCGGGGGCUUUCGUUGCCCCCAAUUGGAAAGCAGUAGCUUUCACUUCUUUCAUUGAGACCUCAGCUGUGAGUUUUUGAUCCAUUUCCUCCUGGACAACCCUUGGGUAUUGGUUUAGUACAGGGUAAAAAUUUCUUUGACCAAUAGAGGUAUACAGAUUCUUAAAAAAACUCCAUGGACAGCCUUUUGACUCUGGUCCCUAUGCCACACACCAUUAGCAUCUUUCAACAUAGAAAUAUGAUUCCGUUGUCUCCUUUGAAUGGUUGUUUUUGUAUUCUUAUCCCCCAUUUCAACCAACUUAUUCUAGCUCUCAUUCCCAAGUACAUAUCUUCUUGUAUCCAUAAAUUUUCAAUCUCCCUUUUUAGUCACUGAAUUCUAUCUCUGUUAAACUCUUCUCUAGUAUCGUUUUGCCUCUUGAAUUUCUUGUUUGAGCAUUUUGAUUUUACUUUGUCCAUUGGAGAAUUUUCGUUUACUCCACUUAGCCAAACGGCAAAUUUUUUCUACAACGUAUCAUCCUUCCUCUCAGAAGAACGCCACACAUUUUUCACAAUGGAUCUACUUUCUUUUUCCUCUAACAAAAAAAAUUCAAACUCAACCUCCUUUUUACUUUUCACUGGAGGAGGGAAUAGAGUUAAUAGUAAGGGGCUAUGAUCAUAUUCAAUGGUAAGAAGUGCAUAGGCUUCAGCUUCUGGAAAUUUCAGUCUCCACUCAAUAUUAGCCACUACACUAUCUAGCCUCUUCUUCACAUAAUUCUCCCAUUCUCUAUUGUUUGCCAAUGUAUAAGCAUAGCCCUUACAUUCGAUAUCCAUCAAUGCACAUUCAUUCAAGCAGUCCCGAAAUGCAUUUAAGCGAUAGUGGUCAGCCAAACGUUUCCCCACUUUCUCCCAAUGAUAUAAUAUUUCAUUAAAAUCACGCAAACAAAUCUAAGGAAGUGAAUUCUGAGAGCUAAUCCUUUUAAUUCGCAUUUUAUCUCCCAUUACUGAGUCUUCACUGAUUAGGUUGAUGCUUUCUUUGGAAGCAAAAACCACAUGUAACAGAGUAGUAUCAUCCCACAAAAUAGCCAACCCAUCAGCAAUUCCUACUAGAUUCACCACAAAGUAAUGCUGAAAGUUUAACCGUUUUCUCAGUUUUUGUAUCAUUGGUUUUCGGUUCUCGGUUUCCAUUAAGAAAACCACGUUGGGCCUUUCUUGAGCCAGAAUGGCUCUUAAGUUUUGGACUGUCAAGAGUGUGCCCAAUCCCUGACAAUUCCAACAUAAUAUCUUCAUUUGUAACCCAAUGGCUAAUUGGGGCUAGCUACCCAAACCCAUUCCUUCACAUCUUUCACCAUUUUAUUCUAGAUUUCGACAGAUUGUAGCCAAACAAAUUUCAGUCUCCUCGUAACCUUCCAUUUUUUUACUUUUGUGUCAGGCUAACAAGUGACACCCUCUCAGACCCAAGCUAGCUUAGUUAAUUGCAUUCUGAAGAAAGAAACAAUUGAAGAAAAAUCGCGGCUCAUAGAGUGCUUCAACUAGAUCGCAUCUCUUGUCAGGGUUUAUAGGUGUGGAAAUUUUGUCUGUGUUUCCGUGGAACUGUAGCUCCAUUUCAAUAGAGCAAAUAAAUUGGAUCAUUCUUGGGCCAGCAGGGAUCUAUGGACCAAAGGAGGUUUUUAGGGUUUAUGGGAAAUGAAAUUUUGUGUUUGAUUUUCCAUGAAACAGCAGCUUGCCCACAGUAGAAAAGAUAAAAAGGAACAUUUUUAGGUCAAGGGUGUGGAAAAAAGUAAAGGAGAUUAGGGUUUAAGGAGGUUGAGGGGUAAAAAAGAAGACUAUCACAGCGAAGGAUAGGAAAAACCUCUUCCAUUGAAGAAAGAAUGAGGGUUUAUGGAGGUUGAGGGGUAAAAGAGAAGACUAUCACAGCGAUGGAUAGGAAAAACCUCUUCCAUUGAAGAGAGAAAGCUCCGAUGCUGGAGAGAAAGCUCCGAUGCUUUAGAGGAUUAUUGAAAUGUACAAAAUCUCAAUAUUUUCUUUGUAAGUAGUUGGGACGAGGUUCCUAGACCUUUUAGCAAAAGUGCAGUUGAGAUCUAAAACACAUUCAUAAAAUGCAAAACAUAUCCAUAAAGUGCAACUGAGUAUUUUAGCUACCUCUAUCUAUUUAGAAUGACAGAACAAUUUUACAAGUUUUUCUAAAUAAUUUCGAGAAUAUUUGGCUCAAAUGCUACGCUCAGUUGGAGCCACGUUAGCUGAACGGUCUAGAAACUAAAAAGAAAAGCUAGAGACGUAGAGAGGAAGGAGGGGGGGGGGGGGUGUCGCCUAUGGGGUAUUGCCUCAACACAUCCAAAAGCCUUGCCAUGAGCCGAUGAGAGCAUGCAAUCGGCCUGGGGUUUUUGUUUUGCUAUGAAUGUAACUUCGAUGUUCAUAAAUCAAACCUAAUUUUGUGAAUCGAGAUGCCUGGUGAAAAAUUAGGUGAAUAUUCAAAAUUGGCACUUUCCCUAGUCAGUAAAUUUGUUCAAUUUGUACAAUUCAUUCUUGGUGAGCUAAUAUAACAUGUUAGAAGAUAUGCGAUAUUCCUUUGGGAGAUUUGGAUUUGAUUUGAUUAUGUAUAAAGAUUAGAUUUAGAUCUAGAUUGAUACAUAGAAUUCUUUAUUUCCAUUAAUAGUACAAACCUAGCUCUAUAUCUUUAGGAUCUGUAUAGUUUAUAGACAUAUUGAGGAAAUACAGAAAAUCUUCAUUCCUCCCAUCUUCACCUUCAGUUUCUUUCAUGGUAUCAGAGCCUCCAGGCUUCUAAUUUGCUUCCGCCUUGUUCUUCUGCCGGAAAGAUCUUCAACCUACAAAAAAGAGGUUGUGUUCAGUAUUAGAAUCAGUACUCGGAAGGAUUUUUUUUUUUAACUUACCAUGGCCUCCUUGCAAACCAGCAUCUCUGCCUCCGGCAACUCACCAACUGGAGAAACAACGCUUCAAGAUUCGCAGGCCGAACACCACCUUGCGACACUUCCAGUCUCAAAUUAGCAACAUAGUGGCGACCCACAUAGACUCAGCUCAAUGUGGGGCAACCCUUGGCGGGCCAACCAUACCAGUGGAUUCCAUAUCCACUCUAUUUUUGGCCAAGCCUAAAUUCAUCAUCAUCUGCAUAUGUGGGCCACCAGAGCUACGUCCAAGCUAAUGGGGGCUCGCUAAUCACGAAUGGGGCAAGCCUAACCAUCGAAUCGGAGCAAUUGAGCGAGUCGGGAGAGCCGGGUAUGGGAACAAAUCCCUACCUGGGGUUUUAUCAUGCGGGUUAUCCAAUUGAGACGAGCGAAUUGGGUCAAGGAACGAAUACCUUGCUACCAGCUUUCUACCGUUUCCAGCGGCGGCACUCACCGGACGACCAAAACCCGGUGAUCCAUUGUUUGUUUCCAUCGCCGACGGGCCAGAAUUGAGGCUCAUCAGCUAGCAAUUGACCGGGCCAGAAAACUAUACAAGAUGGUUGCAGGAAUUCCGGCGCGCCCUAGCAACCAAAGACAAAGAUGGUUUCCUCGACGGAACCAUUCCAGUUCCCGUGGAUGAACGCCUAGCCCGACUUUGGAGGAAGAGCAACCACCUGGUCUGAACUUGGAUUGGCAAUUGCGUCUCCUCAGAAGUUGCAGUCGGAGUCCCACCAACAGAAGAUGCAAAAGACAUGUGGGAGAAUAUCAAGGAAAUGUACGGAAAGCUGGACUAGGCAAAAAAUUUUACCCUAAUGCAGGAGCUCGGUGAAUUGAAGCAAGGAAAUAUGACGGCCACAGCCGUUUUCAACAGGCUCUCGUCAUUGUGGAACAACCUCGAAGCGGACGAGGAGAAGCUCGAGGGACCGGAGUCCACACUCAAACAAUACAGAUCCAUUAAAGACAGGAAGAAAGCUACACGCUUUCUCCUCAUUUUGAACGAAAUAUACCUUGGAUUUCGCUCACAGAUCCUUGCCAUGGAUCCCAUGCUGCCGAUUGGGCGGAUUUUUCAAUUGGCCAUAUAGGAGGAGAGUCAGUGACACGCGACGCCGGACCACACCAGGAGUAGUGAGAGCGUCGCACUCACAGCUCGCGGAGAUCGGCGAGAUGCGGCCACCAGGACCCAAAUCCUAAAUUGAGAGAGAGAGGGCGAGCCAAAUUAGGGUUCACGGAGGAGGAGUUGAGGCUCUUUAAAACAGACCGGAUGGACAACCAGGAUGGGAUGCGAGGAUCGGACAGUCAGAUGCUUGCCACAUCAUCAAGGAAUUUUGGAAGGAAUUUUAAAGGCAAGAGUAAAUUAUUUUGUGAUUAUUGCAAACGUACUAAUCACUUAAUUGACAAUUGCUAGAAAUUGAAUGGAAAGCCCGGUGAAAAGGAAAAAAGGUUUCAACAGCUUACCAAGUUACUGGAUCAACCGGUAAAAAUACUAACCAGCCUAUCUCAUAUAGUCAGUAUCAUCAACUGAUGGAGGCACUUCAAAAAAUGGAUACCACAAACAAAAGAGCGAGUUUCUCAAGUAUUACCCAUUGCUUGAUUAAUUCAAUAUCCAGAAAGGCAUGGAUAAUUGAUUCAGGGGCAAGCGACCAUAUUAUAUGUGACAGGGGAUUUUUCUCAAGUUUAAAUGAUAGAUUGAAUUUCCCUAUUUCCGUGCAAUUGCCCAAUGGAGACAUUACUCACGUCAAUGAAACAAGGACAAUCAAUCUCAGUUCACAGAUUACUCUUAGAAAUGUUUUCUAUGUCCCAGAAUUCCAAUUUAAUCUGAUCUUUGUGUCAAAAGCUUGUCAAGAAAAUUCAUGCCGAGUCAUUUUCAAUGCUGACACGUGUUUCUUUCGGGACUCUUCGACUGGGAAACUAAUGGGCUUGGGUAGUCUCUCUAAAGGCCUUUUUUUCUGGAAUAGUUUCUCAAGUAAUUUCAAUUUUCUUGCAAUUCUUUGAAUAAGUCAUCAUUGUGUAAUUUGACUACCAAUGAUAGAAAUUCCAUUAUGCAUUUGAGAUUGGGUCACAGUGCCUCCUUUCCAUGUCCACAAUGUCCUAUAUGUCCUCUUGCUAAACAAUCUCGUGCGCCUUUUCCAUCUAGUAACUCCUGGACUAGUGAGAUUUUUUCCUUGAUUCAUGUGGAUAUAUGGGGACCUUACCACACACUAAAUCAUGAUGGGUCUUGGUAUUUUCUCACUAUAGUAGAUGAUUAUUAUCGCGCGACUUGGAUUUUCUUGAUGUAGUCUAAGAAUCAGACUUAUUCUCAUUUGAAAAGUUUUCUCUCACUAUCAAAGAAUUAGUUUGGCAAAUCCAUUCAGCGAAUCCAUACUGAUAAUGGAAGAGAAUUCUUCAGCCAUGAUUGCUCUUUACUAUUUACUACACAUGUCAUACAACAUGAGAGCUCCUGGGUCUAUUCGCCACAACAAAAUGGCGUUGUAGAACGAAAACAUCGUCAUCUAUUGGAAGUUGCAUGAACCUUGAAGUUCCAAGCCUCAGUUCUAGACGAUUAUUGGGGAGAUUGUGUGGUCACAGCUGCUUACUUAAUUAACCGUAUGCCGACUCGGAUACUUAAAGGGAAAACUCCAUUUGAGUUAUUAUUUCGGAAGAAACUAGAGCUCUAGCAUCUCAAGGUCUUCGGAUGUCUCUGUUUUGUUGCAACAGUGGGACCUAGAGACAAACUAAGUCCACGUGCUCGGCGAUGCAUUUUCAUGGGAUAUCCCAAUUUGCAGAAAGGGUAUCGGGUUCUUGACAUUUCCAUAAAGGAAUUUAUGGUAAGUCUUGAUGUCAUCUUUCAUGAAGACAUUUUCCCUUUUUUCUGAGCAGACCACUCUAGAUGCAAAUACAGGGAUGACAACCUCUCCCGUGGUAUCUUAUAUGAUGAAGCAAUGCCUCAAGGUCCUACCUAUAUACCAAUAGCAGAAUUACGGCACAUUCCUCCCACUAAUUCAUUUCUUCCAGCAUCAACAUCAACACCUGCUGAGAGGACCAACUGCUCAUAAGAAAUUUUGGAACCGAGACUCGAAGAUCCUAAUGACUAUGCUUUAUUCACACGGACUAAAGGUAUGUCAUCCGUUUAUUUGAUGAUAUAUGUUGAUGACAUACUUGUUAUGGGAAAUGAUAAGGCUGCCAUAGACAAUUUCAAGAAUUAUUUACAUGCUACCUUUCACAUUAAAGACUUAGGAGCGCCUAAUUAUUUCAUUGCUCGAUCUGAUUAAGGGAUUUUCCUUAGUCAGUGGAAAUUUGUCUUAGAAAUCAUAUUAGAAGCAGGCUUAUCGGGAUGUAGACCAGCCGUGAUUCCCAUUGAGCAGAACAUUAAGUUGACUACUACAUAAUAUGAUAGGGGUACAUCACAAAACGAUGAUCCCAUACUCAAAAGAUCUAUUAGGGUAUCAAAGGCUUGUCGAGAAGCUCAUAUACCUGACCAUGACUAGACCUGAUAUCUCUUAUGUAGUACAGACACUUAGUCAGUUCAUGCACAGUCCAAAGCAAUCUCAUUUGGAAGCUGCAUUGAAAGUUGUGAAGUAUUUGAAAAGUAUCCAGGAUUGGGAAUUCUUUUAUCCAAACGAUGUGACAUGAAGAUGAAGGCAUACUGUGACGCCGAUUAUGCUACAUGUCCCACUGCCCGAAGAUCAGUCACUGGAUAUUGCAUCAAAUUAGGAGAUUCACUCCUCUCAUGGAAGACCAAGAAGCAGUAUACUAUAUCUUUGUCUUCGGCCGAAGCAGAGUAUCGAGCCAUGGCGAAAAUCACUUGUUAGCUAGUGUGGAUAUGAGGGUUGCUUAAGGACCUCAGAAUACAAGUAUAGGGAUCAACAAAAUUAUAUUGCGACAAUGAUGCGACUCUCAAAUUGGCAGCAAAUCCUAUAGUGCAUGAGAGGACUAAGCACAUAGAAGUAGACUGUCAUUUUACACGAGACAAGAUUCAAGAAGGGGUAAUCGAAACAGAAGGAAUUGGGACAACAUAGCAGCCAUCGGACAUCUUCACCAAACCCCUAUGUCAACGACAGCACGCAUAUCUAUUGAGCAAGCUAGGCGUUUUAGACAUCUACAAGCCACCAGCUUGAGGGGGAGUGUUAGAAGAUAUGCGAUAUUCCUUUGGGAGAUUUGGAUUUGAUUUGAUUUGAUUUGAUUAUGUAUAUAUCAAUUAAAGAUUAGAUUUAGAUCUAGAUUGAUACAUAGAAUUCUUUAUUUCCAUUAAUUGUACAAACCUAGCUCUAUAUCUUUAGGAUCUGUACAGUUUACAGACAUAUUGAGGAAAUACAUAAAAUCUUCAUUCCUCCCAUCUUCACCUUCGGUUUCUUUCAUAACAUACUUAUAAAAAGAGAGAAUCUUCUUUGAAAGAACGUCUUUCUAUCUCUUAGAUUGAUAGACUAAAUCAUACUAUUUUUUAUUUUUAUUUUUUUGUAUGUAGAAGGUGGGGAAGAGAAUGGUAUAUCAACUACAUCAUCUCUUUUUCAAUACCUUGUAUCAGUUGAGUUUUCAAUCGAGAUUGAAAAACCUAUAUAACCAAAGUACCCUCAGCAAAACCUCAAAAGGUAGUAAGAAAAAGUGAGGAACAACCAAAACCUCAAAACAAAGAUAGUAGGAUUGUAUAGACACUGGUCCAUAUUUAGUGUUCUCAAACCAGAGGGUUAUCCCGAGCGGAUAAGAAAAAAGCGCACUUGUUUUUCUCUUCUUCUUUUUUCGCCCUGAGAAGCAUGCUGCUGCUGCUGGUGAGGCGUGCUUGAAUUGACGCAUUGAUAAGGGUUAAUCCCCACACACGAUCAAAUCUAGAGACCCCGCUGUCACAAGGAUUUUCGUGAAAAGGGCAUUCGGAAUAUUACAGGGGGCAAUCAUGUUAGAGGUCCGAUGAUUCGGCAAGAGACUCAACGUUGAAGUUGCCAAAAGUUGUCGUGGUCCCUGUCACGAUCUUUUCAGAUCUAUUCGCGGGGAUGGUGACUGUCAACAUUUCUGCUUAAUACACUCAAGCUCACGAGGCUUCUUCUUCCCUCGGUAGUUCCCUUCGCGAGAGUUUCUCCCCAUUAUUUUGCAUAGUCAAGGCCCGAUCCCCGUUCUCCUCCCUUUCUUCUCUCUUCUUUCUACGAUUGCGAUACAUGUAUGGAACGAAAAUGUCGAGGGGAUAAGAUAAGGGGAUAUGAGGUGAGAAUGGUGAUUCAUAAAGCAAAUGCGUUAACGCUUGACACGGUAAACUUUGAGAGAACAUUUGCGUAAAUGGGCGUGCAAAUAAGAUAGUACAAUCCUUCACGUCUCUUUAAGGGGGCCAAAAAAAGAAAAAAAGAAGACUUUUGUUUUGCAAUAAGUAGAUAAACAAGUCCUUCCUAAAAAUAGUUUCGUCUAUAGUGUCCCGACUUUUCGUGAGGGAAAUAGCACUGAUUUGGAGAAAAACGGCAUAAGUAAUAUCUAAAAAGAAAGAAUGUCUUAGCUCCAAGGUGGACCCAAUUAAAUAGCUCUUUCCUUGGUCUUGCGAGAUAACUAUGAUGAUUAGCUAUUACGAAAUCAAAGAUCGCAUAAUAUGUUAACUUCAAGAGUACAUGUAACUAUGCUAGUAGCAAAAUUAACUUGCAAUAAUUCAUCUUUUAGGGGUCAGAAACAAGGCAGUCUCUGGAGUCAAACAUGACUCUAUACAUAGAAUUAAUCCCUAUAAAAGAGGCGUAUUUUUGUCAGCAUAACCUUUAUCUUUCAUAUCUAUUCAGCUGAUUCUGCUUAGAAUACUGAAUUUGGGCGACGUUAACUCCUAAAUUUUCCAUUACAUUUCUCCAACUUUUCCCUGUUUUUCAAACCUUAAUUCUUUCGAUGCUGACAGACAUUAGCAAACUCAAGUUAGAAAAGUUCAGCAUUUCUUCCCACUCCCCCCACAUAACUCGAUGCUCCUCCAUCUCUCUAAUUCAUGUCGAUAUGCAUGUGUGCGGGCGUGUAUGCAUGAACAACCGAUCAAUUGCUGCUAAAUCACUGCUGAUGUAACAAUCCGAUCUGACGAGGGCGAGAGUGAUUGCAGGUCCAGAGAGGACUCCUGAUUCUGAUGGAGUUGUCGAGUCUAAUAAAGGAAAAUAAUGUUUAAGUGCAGAAACAAUUUAUUUUAGGCAGUCACCCAUCCUGUAAUGUUAAAGCAUAUAAUAGGGAUUUUAUUAUUACUAAUGGCAUACAUGUAAUUUCCAUAUUAAUUAUGUAUGCCCUAGACUCCUACUUUAUAUAGGGCAAUAUCUUUUAUAAUUGUAACGCUGAAACUUGUAAGCCUAGAGCUUGUAACAUGAUACUGAUAGUAAGAUUGCCUAGUGCGGCAUCGUGGUUUUUCCCUUUUCUUGAUUUUGGGAAGGGUUUUCCACGUAAAAAAUUUAUUUUAGGCGUUCACCCAUCCUAAUGUUAAAGUAGACAACAAGGAUUUUAGUGUUAUUAAUGGCAUACAUGUAAUUUCUAUAUUAAUUAUACAUGCCCUAGACUCCUCCUAUAUAUAGGGCAAUAUCUUUUAUAGUUGUAACAUUGAAACUUAUAACCCUAGAGCUUGUAACACUAAUACCAAUAAUGGAAAGAUUGUGAUUUUUUCCUUUUCCUGAUUUUGAGAAGGGUUUUCCACAUAAAAAAUCCUAACUUGUUUUCUUCUCUAUUUUUUCUCUUCAUAUAUUUGCAUUUUUAACAGGUUCUAAGAUGGCAAUGGGGGCAGGAAUGAAGUGAAUUCCACAUCGCCUUAGUAUGAUGAGUUGAAGUUUCAUAUAUGUGAUGGCACAUGUUCAAACUUGUAAAAAAGUCCUUUCUGAUUGAAAUUCAAAAGAACAAAAUUGUGUGAGCUCUGAUUCAAAAUGGACAAUAUCGUUAACAAGCGAGAUCUGAGCUUAACAACCGAGAUGCAUCAAAGCGACCGCCAUCAUUAACAAUUCGAUUUGAUGCAUUGGAUGUGCCGACGGUUGGGGAGCUGAAAAGGGGUAAUUGCGGGGGAAGACCACAUCGAUUGAAAUUCAGAUUCAUGGAGAAUAAUUAAUUAGGUGAUGAUUGAAGGUCGGUGACCAGCUAGAAAUCGGCCACCUGAUUGACCGAUGAUGUUGCGCAAGGGCCGAAGUAGCCCUUUCUUUCCACGGGGGAGUUCAGAUGAUGGGGUUUACGUACGAUUUAUAGUAAAAUAUUGCAAGCGGCAAUGAUGCGGAAGAUCUGCUUUGGACAAAUAGAGGAUAUCUGAGAAGCCCCUUUAUUCAAAGCUUUAUUAAUGACACAAAGUGCAUCUUAAGAAGCUCUCUCUUUUUCUUAAUUAAGGGAUCACGCGGUAUCUAAUUCCAUCCACAUCUUUCCAGAGAUAAAGGCUUUUGGAUGAUUUACAUUUUUGUAUGUAUGUAUGCUUUUCAAUUGAAAUGAGUAAUUAGUCUUCAAUAAUGCUUUGACUAUUGGAACGAUUUUUUAAUAAGCAAAGUGAUUUAUAAAUACCAAAUCUAUGGGCAGGCGAAUGAGAUAUCAUCAAGCAUCCAUUUAUAAAUUAUUAUAUCAAGGACGGUGCCGUCACUUCCAACAAGUAACGGUGCAAUAUGGGCUAGUCAUUUUGUUUUGAAUAUAAUGGGCAACCGGAUCACAUAUUUGCUUUAGAGGAUAAUCUAUUUUGCAUCCAUUUAAUAUUUAAAGAAACAAAUCUACUGAUAUUCGGGAAAAAAAAGUUAUUGACUGUCAAAUGUUUUGCCAGAGAUGCGGUUUCCGGCGAAUAUGAGAAUCUUGAGGCGGUGGACGCCGGUCAGGAAAGCGGGGAAGCCGUCACAGAAGGCAUUGCCGUUUAGGUAGAGAGGGGCUUGAGGUUGACAAGGCGAGAGAGGUCGGGGACUUUGUUGGAUAUGGAGCUGUUCUUGAGGUUGAUGACACAAAGCUGGUCAGCCGGUUCAGGGUCUUCCCGUCCAACGUGACGUGCAAGUUCAAGGACUCAAGGAUGAGCUUGGGAGCCGGCCGUUCACGAAGAAGGCCUUCAUUUUGAUGUGGCGAGAGAAGACCACCAAUUUGGCUCAUUUUCAGAGAAUCAAUGUCUGUGCUUUCUCCCUCUCCUUUUGGACUGAAUUGCUAAACAAGAAGGCGUGAAAAAGCAAAGGAGAUGAUGGGAGGAGGGGCAAUAAAGAAAGUGGAUCUACUCACACUGUAGAAGGACCGGCUUGGCUUCUACUGCUUAUUACCCACCGAUUACUCACAGCCACACAUGGGGAAAAUUGAAAAAAAAAAGACAAACCCUAGAAGUUGCAGUUGCAAAGACACUGUUUAAGGGGGGAGAGAGAGCUCCAAUGGAAACCCAAAAAGAGAGAGAUGCUUUGAACCUAGAAAAGAUAUGCGGUUCCCAAGGACAUUAAAUGUCAGACCCAAAAAAAAGACAUCAUCAAAUGGGAAGUGAUGAUGUUAAGGAGGAAAGGAAAAGGGUUUGCUUAUUUUUCCUUCGUAGUCUUUUCUUCAUCUGAGAAGGAAAGGGUAAAUACAUUGCGGAGGAGAGAGAGAGAGAGGAGGCAGGGGUCGCAUCCAGAUUAGGAGAGAAACGGAAGAAGGCUAGGGAUAGGACCAAGGGAGGAAGGUUUCCCCCCCCGAUUUCUCCGAGAAAUGAUUCGGAUUUGCGCAUUUUCACGUGCACGCGCUGCGCCACCUCCUGGGUCUUGCCACGUCUCGCUGCACCAGCAUCUUUAGAGAAGCGGAUAUUCAUCUCCUUUCGCUAAACACUGUCCCUCCCCCAAGCUUAACUCCCUGUUCUCCUUCCCUCCUCUCUUCACUCUCCCCAACAACCAUCACCUCCCCAACAGCUCCGCCCACCACAAGCCCACCCGGUUUUCCCCAAUGGCCUCCUCCUCCGCAGCCGCCCACCGCCUCCUCCACCGCCGAGCCAAGGUGGUCGUCAUCAUGGGCGCCACCGGGUGUGGCAAGUCCCGCCUCUCCAUGGACCUCGCCUCCCUCUUCUCUUCCGAGGUCAUCAACUCCGACAAAAUGCAAGUCUACCGGGGCCUCGACCUCACCACCAACAAGAUCAGCCGAGCCGAUCGCUACCGCGUCCCCCACCACCUCCUCGGAUCCUUCGACCCGGACGACGGCGAGAUGACCCCGUCGCAGUUCCGCUCCCUCGGCCACGCCGCCAUCUCCGGCGUUGCCUCCCGAGGGAAAAUGCCCCUCCUCGUCGGCGGUUCCAACUCCUUCAUCCAUGCACUCCUGGUGGAGCGGUUCGACCCGGAUGCAGACGUGCUCGGCGGGAUCGGCUCGCCGGCGAGCCCCGAGCUGAGGUAUGACUGUUGCUUUCUGUGGGUCGACGUGUCGCUGCCCGUCUUGCAGGAGUACCAGUCGAAGCGCGUUGACGAAUUGAUCAACAUGGGCACGUUCGAUGAGCUCACUGGAUACUACGACCUGCGCCGGACCAACCCGGGGGGUUGGACCGGGCUGAGGAAGGCCAUAGGCGUGCCUGAGUUCGACCGUUAUUUCAUGAAAUACCCGCCGCCGAGGGGGUUUGGGCCGGGGGACGCGUGGUGGGAGGAGGAUGCGAGGGAGCGGGACAACGAUCCGGUGCGGGAGAGUGCAUACCAGGAGGCGGUAAGGGAGAUAAAGAAGAACGUGGGGCAGCUGAUAAGGCGGCAGAUUGAGAAGAUCCAGAAGCUGAGCAGGAGCGGGUGGGAGCUGCAUAUGCUGGAAGCGACGGAGGCGGUCCGUCUGGCGAUGGCGGCCGAGGAGAAGGGCUGCGGCAGGUCGCGGGACGUUUGGGAGAGGCAGGUCGUGGGGCCGAGCAAGGAGAUUGUGAGUCAGUUCUUGCAAGAGAAUUAGGUGGAGGGGCCAAGCGUGGAACGGCUCGAUCGAUUUGGGUUCGUGUCGCUCCGGGCGAAUUUUGGGUGGGGUAUUUGGUUUCCGUCAGUACUACUCGGGGGUUGCAAUUUGGAUAUGGUGUUAAUAAUGGAAGAAGCUCAUUUCGGUAAUAUGCUUCUUCUAGCUCAUUUCGGUAAUGAUGAUGCUUCUUCUUGUUACGUGCAUCAUGAAUUGCAAGAAAAUUGCAGCACUGAACACUACCUAGAGUUUUGAUAACCUAGAGUCUAUCAUUUCCAGAUGUGCUUUUGGACGCUAUCUAGAUGAAACGCGACAGAUUAGGUGAUUUUUAGCGAUGAUAUCGGCAGAGAAGUGUUUGUAUAUCCAUGCAUUUGCUGAUUAUCCUACAUAAUCGCUUAACAUGUGUAUCCAAAGAAGUCGAGCAUCAUCAUUACGGACUUGAUAAAAGCUACUUAUGGAAAUGAGUUCCUAACAAUGAUGCUGGAUGAAAGCACUGUAAUGAUGAUGCUCGAUGAAAGCUACUUAUGGAAAUGGGUUCCUAACGAUGAUGCUCGAUGAAAGCAACUGUAAUGAUGGUAAUGAGUUCCUCAUGAUGAUGCUCGAUGGAAGUACCGUAAUGAUGAUGCUUGACAAAAGCUACUUACGGACAAAAGCUACCUACGGACAAAAGCUACCUACGGAAAUGAGUUCGUAAUGAUGAUACUCGAUGAGAGCACCGUAAUGAUGAUGCUUCCUAAAAGCUACUCACGGAAAUGAGUUGGACGUUAAUAAUGGACGUGAGUCCUGAAUAGACCCUUAUUAAUAAUGGAAGAAGCUCAUUUUGGAUUAGCAUGUCGCAACCUUAUCCUCGCAAUGCACCACAUAAGGAUUUAGUCAAUGGAUUAUUAAGCCCAAUUCUGAUUCGGAUUCUUUUAAGCCUAUACUAAUUUUCAACUUAUAGUUCAUGUUCUAAAUAGACUAAUCAUUUUUAAUAUAAAAUUGUCACUAAUUAAUUUAUUAUAGAUCGAUUAGAUAUUCAAAUAAGAUAAUGAAAGAAUCAUUUUACUUAUACGAACAAAAUGUUUUUGGUUUGUGGACUUGAUUGUAUUAGAUUUCUUUAGUGUCCUUUCGAUAACGUUCUUCUUAUGAAAAAAAUAUUUAAUGGGCAAUUUAAAUUCAUUUUAUUAUUCCUUAACGUGUGAAAUGAAUAUACCGAUACAUAAAUCAUCAAUUUAAUAUCUAAUAAAAUAAUAAAUAAAUUUGUUGCACUGGCGAUCGCCUAAAGCUCAGCCCUUUUUAAACGGGCUAGGCGUCGCCGCAUUCCUUGAGAUCGUGGGAGAAGGAGAUUCGAGGGGUGAGAAGACUGGAGCUGGAUGUCCCCGAGCAAACGUCGAUCGCCAUCGCCGGACCAGUAUCGCGUGGCGCGGAUCAACCGGUCGAAAAUUUUCCUGUCUUAUUACUGUCCCCUGAUAAGGUUUGCCUAAAGUUUUGACGUGGGUCAACUGGGGCCCACAGUCCUCUCUCUUUCCCAGAUUUUCUUUUUUUAUCUCCUCUCGAGAUAAAAUGAGAAGGCCUUUCGACGUGGCGAUUUCCCCCUUUUCCCCUUUUAAUUUUUCCUCCUUUUUUUGACCGUAAUUAAUUUUUUUUUGGUCGAAACCGUAAUUAAUUUAUUAAUUUAUUCUUAAUCAAAUUCCCCCCCCCCCCCCCAAUUUUUUUUUUGAUCUCAAACUCCCCCCUUCUUUAAAUAUCCACUUUUAACUUGAAUUACAAUGGAGCCCCAAAAAAAACUUGAAUUACAAUGAUAACAAUAAUGAGAGCAAGUCCGUUGAGGCUCGAACAGUUUUUAGUACAAAAGAAAAGAGAGGAAAAACCAAAAUAUGUAUAUAUUAAAAGAAGAGUAAUGCUAGGCUUUAGAGUUGAUUUAUAAAAUAGAUUUACUAAGUGAUGUGUACAAUACGUUAUGUGUGUGUGUGUGUUUUUUUUUUCUAACAAGCGGGUUCUAAUCAUGAAUUAAGAACAGCCCGAUGUAUAGCAAUUUUGAAAGCCAGACAGAUGAGUCAAGCGAUUUUCAUGUAAGAAGGAUCUCACCACGACUCUUCUUGAGUUUUUUAUAUGAGAACGCCAGGAGAUUCCUUCUCCGCUUUUUAAGAGCUUGUUCGAAUUAAGACGUGUCUCAUUGUGUCAACUAAUUGCUAUUAUGGAUAGGUGUCUUAAUUUCGAUACUACUUUUGUCAAGAAAAUAUCUACCAUUUUUCUUUUCGGGCUUUUAAAUUAUGUGCAUCUAUCACAAAGGGAAAGAGGUAACUACACGAGUUCAAACUCAAACUUCAACUUGUUGCUCAAUUAGAAAUAACUUCAGCAUCAAUUAAUUUUUUUUUUCAUUUUCAUUUUCAAUGGAGUGGUUGAGAAUGAAAUGAAAUUUGUGCUUAUUCCAUAUCCUUAUUUAAAUAGACAAAUGGUUUCAUGGGAAAGUUUAUAGGAUUGGAAUCGUCAUUUUACUAUCGAUGUUCUCACUUCCAUUGGGUCUAUUUGCAUCACAUAUUUUUUUUUUUUGUACAUCAUAUCUCCGUUCGCCACUUUCAUUGAUUUGGCCUCAUUCAUCCAUGGUUAUGUCUUUUAAAUGCGCCACUAAACGCGAGGUGGAAAAGAGUGGAAAAGUGAUCGAAAAGGUAUUAAAGAGAUAAUCACGGUUGCGCCACCUUCGUGAAAAUAUGCAAGUCGCCGUACUCUCCGGCAGGCCAUUGUCCGCGGAUUGGACUCUUAUAAGUUGUCACAUCCAGUGACUGGGUUCCAUUUAAUGGGGGAUGAUUAAGCCUUUUUGAUUAAGCCCUAAUUAAUUAGGAGAUCAAGCGUUCUUUUCUUCUUCUUUUAUGGGAGGAAACGACAUGAGUGGAUGCGAUGGUUGUCCCCCUGUCCUUUGUGCGUUCCGUGCAUUUGAGGCUCACAGGGGUGGUCUUUAUUUGGCAGAGACUUUCCGUUUUGCCUAAAUUUGACAAGAUUUUUCAUGGCUAUCAUACACGACCCACCUUCGUCGUUAUCGAUUAGGUGAUUAAGGUUUGAAAAAUCGACAACUACUUAAAUUACUGGUGAUAGAUGGAACACGCAGUAAUUUGAAUAGUAUACGUAACUUGCUCUUGCUACUUCUCUUGUUGCACGAGCGGGAUGAUGAUUCUACGGAGGUGCUGCAAAAUGAAUGUCAAAGCUUCAAAAGUAUUCACGGUCCUAGUCCGACGAAAGACGCAAAGACAAGUAACAUAAGAAUAAUAAAGUGGGAGGAGAGCCCACCCCAAGUUUUGCCUGCUUGUAGAGCAUUGAAAAUGGUGUUUUGGAGACGAGAACGUUCUCGUCCGAUCCCCACUUUCCAUCGUACCGAUUCCCUUUUCCUCUUUAGGUAAAAGGGCUGGAUGAGCGAUCCACAUCGAUAAUAUCAGUAAAAGAGCUCGAGACCCACGGUUGAAAUACUCGAUUUGUGCUACAGCUAUCGUUUACUCUUGAAGCGAGUCGGUUGUCGCCUCAUUACCUAAUCCGAGCAAGAGUAAAGUCCGUGGGGCGAUACUUUCGAGUCGAAUAACGCCGCCGGAGAUCCAAACGUAGCAAGCAAGUCUCUUUGACCAAAAUCUGGCUAAAAAGUCCAUCACUUCCUCUUCCUAAAUCAGCUUUCGAAAGAUAGUGUUUGAUCCUAUGCGUUCCCAUUUAUCAAGAAAAACGAUAAUCAGUGGCUACCGACUAGGCUACGUGGCCUAAACGGUGAAGGCUCGGAAGGGAUGGAGAUGGGACGGUGGGGGCGUUUAAACUUGUGGACCCACUAGGAUGCUUUUUAAUUAAUCAUCACUCAGUUUCGGUCUCCAAUUCUAGAACCCAACCCAUACAUACCCAGUUUGUAAAUGCCUAUAGAGAAGAAGAAAGAAAGAAUCUGACUCCUUCAAUUGGAAAAUGAAUCAUUUAAAAAUCAUUUUUCAAAAAAUUGAUCGAAAGAAAUGCCGGCCAAAUAAGAUUGUUUUUUGAAAUUCGUCGACAAAUUGAUAUAAUAACUUACAAAUGGAUGCUUGAUGAUGUCUCAUUUGCCUGCAUAUAGAUUUGGUAUUUAUAAUUCACUUUGCUCAUAAAAAAAUAGUUCCAAUAAGUCAAAGCAUUAUUGAAGACUCAUUGCUCAAUUCAACUGAGAAGCAUACAUACAUACAUGAAUGUAAAUCAUCCAAAAGUCUUUUUCUCUGGAAAGAUGUGGUUGGAAUUAAAUACCACCCGAUCCCUUAAUUAAGAAAAAGAGAGAUUCAUGAGAUGCAAAAUUGGAUAUUUACAAAUGUACAUUUUAAUUAUUUUUUUAUAUAAUCUAAAGGCACAAGCGUGGAAACUCAACUAUUUAGGAAAUGUUUGGUUAAUACUCUCGAGAACAACUGAUUUUUUUUUUUCACGUGAGUAAAAAAAGAAUAGAAAUCUAUUUGGUCAAUUUUUUGUUUCAGAGAAUAAUCAAUUUUUUAUUGUUUCCAGGAAUAGAUUUAGAAUAGAAUCAAAAAACAGAAAAAAGUUAUUCUUANNNNNNNNNNNNNNNNNNNNNNNNNNNNNNNNNNNNNNNNNNNNNNNNNNNNNNNNNNNNNNNNNNNNNNNNNNNNNNNNNNNNNNNNNNNNNNNNNNNNAAAAAGAGAAGAAAAUAAAUGAGAGAGAAAAUUUGUUCUUCAGAAGUAUUUUUAGAACAAAAAAAUAACUUUUUUUUGUUUCUAAUUUUGUUCCCGGAACAAACAAAAUAGAUUUUGAACAAAAACGCAAACAAACGCAUUUUUGUUCUUAUUUUUGUUCCUAGGAACAAAAAAACAGUUCAUGAAUAAGAAAAAGAAACACAAACAUGCUGGCCCCAAAUAUUUGUCAUCGUAUGGUUAUAUUCAUGUGACUUUACCUGACUUCAUUAUAUCUUCCAUUUCUGUAUGCUUACCUUCGAGCGUCGACAAUAUCUGAAAAGAUCGCAACAGAGAUCGCGACAGAGGACAAUGACAAUUUUGACAAUUUUAAAGCUGAACCUCUUGCCGAAUUCUCGAACCUUUCAAACGAUUGCUCCCGGUAAUAUUCCCAUUGCCCUUUUGACGAAAAUCCAUGUGAGAGUGGGGUCAGUCUGAAAAACUCUUUAUCAAUGCGUCAAUUCAAGCACGCCGAACCAGCGAUGCCAUGCUUCGCGGGCGAAAAGAAAAAGAGAAAAACAAGUGCACUUUUUCUUAUCCGCUCAGGGUAACCCUCGGGCUUGAGAGCAGUAAAUAUGAACCGAUGUCUAUGCAAUCCUAUGUUCUUUGUUCCUCAGUUUUUCCCACUACAUUUUGAGGUCUUGCUGAGUUACUUUACAUUAUAUAGGUCUCUCAAUCUCGAUUGAAAACUCGGUUGAUACAAGGUAUUCUUCCCCGCCUUCUACAUACAAAAAAAGAAAAAGAAAAAUAGUUUAAGUUAGUCUAUCAAUCUUAGAGAUAAAAAGAUGAUUUUUCAAUUUCUUUCCCCUCUUUUUAAAUACGUUAUAUUAGCUCACCAAGAAUGAAUAGUACAAAUUGAACAAAUUUACUGACCCGGGAAAGUACCAAUUUGGAAUAUUCACCUUAUUUUUCACCAGGCGUUUCGAUUCACAAAAUUAGGUGAAUUCAUGAACAUUGGAAGUUCCAUGUCACGGCAAAACAAAAACCCUAAGUCCAGCGCGUCCUUCCCCUUUUUCCCUCGUCACGGGCCAAAAAUCUAUCAUUUGUGCGUUGGUUUUGCCUCCCUUCAUCGAUUCAUCUCAUCUUCUCCAUCAAACCCAUAAUCCAGAUUCUCUGCUCUCUGCUUGCACGCGCCGCUCAGACAAAAUCCGAAAAGCUUCGAAAGCUGCGAGUUGCCGACUUCUCUCUCGCCGCUCCUUUCGACUCCCCGAACCCCACCUCCUAUCUCAAAUCCUCGUGGGCGCUUCUCCACGCACGUAUCGUGAAGAUGCGACGGGAGGCUCCGUUCGCCUUCUGAGAGGAAAAUGCUCGCGAUACUCUCUUUGACUCUGCUUUUGCUCUGUUCUUCCGCGCCGCGCGAUACCCCCGAUCCGGCAAUGGCGAUGGACGUUUGCUCGGAGAUAUCCAGCCCCGGUCUACUCAGCCCUCGAAUCUCCUUCUCCCCCGAUCUCAAGGAAUGCGGCGACGACGCGCUUGUCGAAGAAGAUGACCACAGUCGACGCGAGAGGCUCGACCGGUUGCUGAUGGACUCCGACUCCGACUUCUGCGUCGGCCAGCUCUCCUCAGCCGACGACCUCUUCUCCGACCGCAAGGUCCUCCCUGACGAGAUCAGGAGGGACGGAGUGGUAACUGCCGACCACAGUAAUUGUCUGCCGAAUAUCUUGGUCUCAUCCUCCUCCUCCAUCUGGGACUCCGAUUUCUAGUGCUGCGUUCACGGAGAAGAGGAGUCUGAAGGAGCUCCUCUUCGGACAGCUUCGACGACGACGACGACGAAGGGGAUGAGAAGCCGCUGCCGAAGCUAUCCUGGCAGUUCAAGUGCACUUAAUUGUGACGUUGCCAGGAGCAGAGGACCGAUUCGGUCGCUGCAGUUCCUCUCGCGGAGUAACUCGGUCGGUUCAGUUCCGAAUCCAAAGGACAAAUUCGCCUCCAAGGACAACCCGAGGCAGAAUUUGCAGAACAGCCCUCCAUAUCUGGUCAAAGACGGUCGUCGGAGUCAUAUCAAUCCUCCUUCGGCAUGCCAUCAGAAGCCCCCGACGACGAACAAACGAGACAGACCCAGCGUGAGGGUCAAUCCUGACUUGAAUUUUCAGCCCCACAUCAAACGAUCAGGACGGUGAUCUUGUUCGGGCUCGUUUCGCUUUUCUGUAAUGGCAAGGUCAGAAAGAAAAAGAAACGAGUCAUCCUGAUUAAUCUGCUUUGUUAAUUUGCAUUAGCACAGAGAAAAAAAAAAGAAAAAAAAAAAGAGAAGAAAUGAGCUUUUUGAAUGCUUCUGGUUUUGGUGCACAUGUCUAGAUAGAUUUUGUGGUGGUAGAUAUGGGGGACCUGAUGGAAUUAGCACGGGAUAAGGUCAUCGAAAAGAAUUCCAGGAAAAUAUAAUGUACGGAAUGCAUGUUUAAAGAUCCAGUUUCGUUUUCUAAUAGUGGGCCCUAUAAGCCUUUGACCAGCGUUGCAUAAGCAUCAGGUAAGAUAAUCAUCUUGUUGUCUAUCCAGCCGAAAGUCGCAUGCUGUUGUUAGUAUUCUAAAUUCAUCUUGUUUUGGGGACUUUUUUUAAUAUCUCGGACUUUUAAGCGACGUGAAAAAUAGAUAGAAUUUGCAUAAUAGUGGCAAAAAUAUAAUGAGCCAAAGGAAUUUGGCUCAUUGUUAAAAAAAGAAAGAAAAGGAAUUUGCAUAUUUGCAUCGUACUCUUUGUGAGUUUUUUGUGUGUGAAAAUGUUUUUUUUAAAGGUUCAGGGGAUGCAGAGAAAGCAAAGGAGUACUUAGCCAAAAGGAGUGAUGAGCAAACAGAUGGUGACAGUGUGGUUUUAUCCCUUGUGCUCAAAGCUACAUCCAUCAGGCUGUUCAAUAUGCUCCUAAUGACUGGUAAUAUGUAAUGUGAAAUCUAUAUGUUCAAAGUUCAUAUUGACAAAUAUUGCAAUGAUCCCGAGCAUUGUUCUCAGAACAUUCGCACUAUGUUGUCUCAAAUGCUAUGGAUGCGUCUUUUGGUUUUUCGAUUGCAGUUAUGUUCUUACUUCAUGUCCUCAUGAUCACGAUCACAUUCAUGAGGCAGAUGAAGAACUGGGGUUUAACACUAGUCAAACUUGUGUAUCUAAUUGCUCAACUGACCACCCUUGUACUAACUGUAAUCUUACAGCUGCUUUAAGCGCCACUUUAACUCUUCUAAUUAGUUUCAAACCAUCUGUUGAAUUUUAUGACGGAAGAUUUAGUCACAGUAGUAGUGAUGGCCACUCUCUUGUCGCUAGACGCCAUCUUUGGCAAUGGCUUUUUAUGGCCAUCCUAGAAAUCCCUAACAUGCCUGACACUUUUCGUUUAAACGUUACACUAAUGAAGAUAAUUUAAAAGUAUAAUCUUUUCUAAGCAUAUGUAACCAUUGAUCUUUCCCAUUACAACUUUAUUACUUCCGUGCUCCACUUAGAAUUGUUUAGUAACAAUUUAUUGAUGAGGCUUUGUACUUAUAUACAAAUUGACAAGCAUUAAGGCUAAUAUAUAUAUAUAUAUAUAUAUAUAUAUAUAUAUAUAUAUAUAUAUAUAUAUAAAUAUAUAUAUAUAUAUAUAUAUAUAUAAUAAAAUUCAUGUAUAUAUAUGGAUUAAUACGACUGACUUUCAAAAGCUAAAUGAGUAUUGAUAGUUUAUAUGUUGUCUCAAUAUAUUGUUUUGUCCUUAUUUCUUCAUUUGCCAAAUAUCUUAGUGUAGACAAAGUACUCUAUCAGAUCUCGUAUAUCAUCUCUAUCGAUCACAAUUAGAGACUUAACAAGUGAGCCUAUCGAACAUUAAGUAUGCAUUAUGUUUAUAUUUUCUAAUUUUCAUAGUGAUAUUUAUUUUAAUAAACGAUCAUAAGAUUGAAUGUGAUUAAUUUAAAUUUAGUUGCGGUCUUAAAGCUUUAGGAUGAUUAUAAUGCAACUAACUAUAACUGAAUUAGGUUUUGUGGCUAAUUUAAUAUCUUAUUACAAGUACGUUUUGUCCCCAUCACUAUCAGUCAGCUAAAAUCGGAUCUUAAUUAGAAUUGAUUAGCUCAACUAUAUAUUAAUUAAGGCCCAGCCGACCUAAUCUCAGUAAUGAGUAACAAAGUCUAUGUCAACAUGACCAGCUCAUACAUCCGGUAGCCAUUCAGUUGGUGAAAAGCAUAGGCAGAUUUAUGGAGGCUACAAUCUAUCCGAGAACAAGCAUACAUUUUGAUAAAUUGAAGCGUUGGGAAUUGGGAUGGAUAUGAACAACGACCAAAUAUGGUAGGUUUCAUUUUGAACUUACAAUUAAAUUGAUGGAAAACAACUUACAUUGGCCAAGUGGUAAUAUAUUCUUUUUAAUAAUUUCUUUGGGUUUGGUGGGUAUUUCAUAAUACAUUGUUGGAAGAUGGGCUCAAUAUUAUCUGAAAUGUGAAUACUAGAAAAUGGUGCCAAGUAAAAAUUAGCUGAUGGUUGUGGCUUUAGGCAAAUCAGAGAACCUUUUCCAGAGUAUGUUACCUCAAGGAUGUUAUUGAUUCACUUCCCAGAAAGGUAUCCACUUAACAGCCUACAACAUGUGGGCACAUAUACCCUUAUCCAUGAAAUAUGCUCAUCUUGUCUUUGUUGCUAUCUAAAUUUUAGCUAUCUAUUUAGGGUUUAAUUGUAUAAAAAAUUGGGGAUUAACAUUUAACUCCCAAAAAAUCAUUUGAAUUGCAUAGCAUAUAAGCUUUAGAAGUAUCUGCAUUGAGUAGCGAUAGAAUUCAUUAAAAUUAUUAUUAUUUUAUUUAUUAGAAGAAAAGAAAAGACGGAGCCAGACCGGGCCAGGUCAACCCGGACCCCUAUCUAUUUUCCGUCUGGGCCUGGCCCAACUCUUUUCUCUCUUUUCUUUUCCUCCGCGCAGGCCAGCCCAUCAUCCUUUUUCCCAGGCCCGGCCCACGUGUGUGUUGGUGUGCUUCUCCUUCACGCCGCUCGCGCCUUCUGCAAAAGGAACAGCGACAGGAGCAGAGCAGGAGGAAAGCAGCUGGCGGCGUGAUCCGCGGGGGUCAGGCCGACCUGUAACCUGGCAAUGGCAGACGCCAUGCGUGCUUGCCAGUUUCCCUUAAAAGUAAAAGAAGAGGCUCACUCACUGGAGACAGAGAGAGAGCGGAGAAGAGACCGAGAGUAAGAAAUUUUUUGUCCGCUCGCUUGAACCACCCUCGACCUUCGUGGGAAGCGAACUAGCGCGUCAUCGUUCGUCACUGCAAACUCCCGAACCAGGUAACCCCGAAAAGGUCCUGCCUCUUCCUUGCUUAUUGAGUUUGAGAACGUCAAACCGAACCGACAAGAUUACCGUACAAAACUCAAACUGAUUUGUUGCCACUAAUGUCGAUUUAGAGCUCAAUAUACUGCGUUUAAGCCACGAACGACGUUAAGUCUGAAUCUGGAAGUGGUAUGUCGAAUUGCACAUCAACUUUUUGACAAAAUGCUUGAAUGACGCCCCGAAUUGGAGUUCAUGAAAUCGAUGCUUAAAAUCUUUCUGUUGCGCUCGGCUUGUUCUAAUAUUAUUGCAUUAUUACUGAAUCCGGGUUUCUCUUUGAUUUUGUGACAUAUCAUUUGAUGCACGAGUCGGCCGUGGAUAACGUCUUCACGCCGAAAAAUCCACAGCCCUCGCCGGAGAAGUCCGCGGUUAGAGGCCGCCAUAGUCGGUCUUACUUUUGUCUCGGUGUGCAUAUAUACGUUUGGUUUGUUGGAAGGGCUUUCGUUUUGCUAUCGGCAACGUUAGGUGUUAACAUCGAGUCGAUUAGAGUUCUGGCGUGAGUUAGUUCAAUGAAGUUUCAGUAUUGAGUUCGUCGAAGAAAAAGCCUUGGUGAAGAAGAUCUCGUCGUGCGAGACCGCCAAAGGAGAAGACGACGUAAAGCAAAAGAAAAGGGCCAAAAGAAUGUAAAAUUAAAAAAUAUAUACAUUAAAAAAAUCAGAAGAGAACCAAAAAUUCGGAUCAAGUGGCCACGUCAGGGAGUUGUGGGUAAAGAAUAGAAUGGGCCUUUUUUGAGUGCAUGGGCUACAUGAUUUUUUUCAUAAAAGAUGGGCUUGAGAUAGUUUUUCUUGUGAGGGAUAUGGGCUUGUUACAGUUCUAGUCGAUCUGGGCUUUAUUUAGUUUGAAUACACUCGGGCUUGAAUUGUUGUAGAUGCUAACCCAUCAAAUUCAGGUCGGGCCAUACUCGGACUGGGCCCUAGGGCCGGUCCGAUUUCGGACCCAACCUGGACCGGUAAGGUCCGAGUCAGACAACAAUCGGACCGGUAUCUCUGACCCGAGCCGAGUCACAUAUUCCAGAAUUAAAAAUUCAAAAAUUAAUAAAAAAUAUAUAUAAAUCAUUAAAAUAAUUAAAUUUCAAAAAUGUAAAAAAAGUAAAUUAAAAAAUUAAAAAAAUGAUUAAAAUAGGUAUUCAUGAAAUUUUUAAGUUUUAGCAUUAGAUUUAGUUUAGUUUCAUUUAAUUAAUAUACAUGUAGCAUAGUCCUAGUGGAGUAUCAUUUUGAAAGAAAUUAAACUUGAUUUGAAUAUAGCUCAUGGGGAUUAUGUCCUAGGGCUUAUAAAGUGGCCAUGUAUAUUCUUUGCUUGGCUUGUAUUAGGUUUUCUUUUUGGCAUUUACUUUAAAAGUCAUUUCAAUACUUGAGUGCUUGUUUAACGUACUGUUUUUCAAUAAAUUGGUUGUUUAUCACUUUCUUAGAAUAGGUUAGGAUUAAUUUUGAGGAAAAUGAACCCUACAAAAAAAUUUGCACGAUCAUUUAGCAACUUUGGUGCCUUUAGGACUAUAAUUGGCAAUUAAGACCGUGUGACCACUUAAGUAAUGACCUUCUAAGUUAGAGGUAUCAAAAAGGUGCUAAUAGACAUUGACAUAAUCAAUUUCCUGAUUUUAAAAUUUUUGAUUGCAUAGGAAUUGAGAUGAUACGUUAGUGUUUCGAUUGAUUUCUAAUUAACCUCAAUAGGCUAAUGACGACUCUUAGAAAUAUUUAUAUUGUUAAGAAUUAAAAAGAAAAAAGAAAAAAAAGAAAAUGAAAUCCAACAUUGUGCGAGGUAUGAGCUUGAGAGGGCCCGCCCUUAAUCAAGGGCCGUUGGCUUGAAUUAGCAAUACCUUAAUCUAUUUCUUUUCCCUUCAAACAUAAAGGGUAGGUCACGAUAGUCUUUUUUUUUUUGCCNNNNNNNNNNNNNNNNNNNNNNNNNNNNNNNNNNNNNNNNNNNNNNNNNNNNNNNNNNNNNNNNNNNNNNNNNNNNNNNNNNNNNNNNNNNNNNNNNNNNAAGAAUCCAACUCUUCUUUUGUAUAUUAUGCCCUUAUCAGAUACUUCGCAAGUAAUUGAACGAUUCUCUUUUAAUACUACUACAUAGCUAUUCACCACACGAUAAUAAUAUCGACUGCAACUUGGUCAUGUGUAGGUCUAGAUGAUCACCAGAAUCUUUCUACCAUAGCUGAAACAGCUUUUUACAUCCUGUUAGCAAGUUUUCUAACAAUAUCGCCCUCAAAAUUUUGAUUGAAGGUUUUAGAGAUUAAUGAUCCCAAAGCCUAGACUUUUGUUACACUCUAAGCUACGUUUGGUCGACCGGAUAAAAGCUUGGAUAGGAUAUGUUUUAUCAUAUCCGGUGUUUGGUAGCCGGCUAGGAUAUGAUAAGGUCAGAUAUAGAGGGGAUAUAGCCCGGAUAAAAAAAUCCGAGGGGGAGGGGUGGGAUAGCCCCGGAUAGGAUUUUUCUUGUUGAUCUAUUAUUAAAAAACCCUAUGCUCUCCUUUUCCUUCUCCUUCUCUCACACGCACGACUCCUCUCACAAAAAACACGUCUUUUUCUCGGUAUCUCUAAUCCGACGAAUUCAAGCACCAUCUCCGGCGAGGAGCCACAGCGAUUAUGCUUUCUCACAAGAUUUCAUCUUUCUCUGUGCAUUGAUAUUCGCACGAUUUACAAGGUUUGUGAUUUCCUUCCUUGGUUUUGCUUUCAUAGGUGCAAUCAAUUGUGGCUCAUGAAAAUGCGACUCUUUUUCCAUGAAAUCCUACUUUACAGUGCACCCUACUUUUGUUUUUCCACGAAUUUCAUCACUUGGUCACCAUUUCUUUUCAUACCCUAUUUUUGUAAGGGUGAGCAAAUGUUUAUCUGGAGUGAGAUUCGAUCAAUAAUGUUUCUAGCAUUAAAGCUGUCUAUAUCUUUUCACGAUUAUGCUUUGUGAAUACCUGAUCUCAGUAGGAGAUAUUAUCCAUUGCUUGUGUGGCAUUAUCUUUUACAAAUUCAAUGUGGGAAAAAAAAUAUAUGAAUUAGAAGUAAAUAUUAGAACUGUGUUGUUGUUGGUUUAUGUGUUCUUGUGGUUGGAUAUUUGCAAUUUUAUUGGUGCGGUGGAUCAUCAUUGAUUUAUUGGUGAAUACCUAAUCUCAGUAGGAGAUAUUCAUUACUUGUGUGGUAUUAUUUACAAGUUCUACGUGGGAAAACACAUAUAAAUUACUAGUAAAUGUUAGAAUUGCGAUGUUGUUUUACAUUGUCCAUUUAUGUAUUCUUGUGGUUGCAUAUCUGCAAUUUUAUUUAUUUAUUUCCUGAUUGCGUCCCUCUUGUGAAGAAGAACGUCUUAAAUUUCUAUUGCUUGGCUUUGGCCAGUCUUAAGGACAUAUGCUUUUUGCUUUGAGUGUUUCUAUUUAGGUUGGCCUGAAUUAAAUACUAGGUUUCCAUCAUUAACUUCUGUAGUGUAGCAUGUUUCCUCAAUGGACAAUGCAAGAAGCAAGAUAAUGAUUGAACUUUUAGUAAAGAAUUAAAGCUAUGGGAGAUCUUGGCAUUAGAACGUGUGUAUGUAUUAAUUCAUUCUAGAAGCCUAGCACUCUCAAUUUUUGUGAACUGCAGUUGGUAUACUGGAACGCAUCAUCUACACGGGCUUAGACCUUGAUUGAAUUAACUGACUAAAGUACUAUAGAACCUGCCGCAAUCAAGGCUAGCUACAGUCAGUUGCUCAUCUAUUCUAGAGCCAAAUUAUAUACCUUAAUGUAACACAAUGGGAGUUACUCACAGUGGGUAUAAGGAAAACAAAUUCUCAUUAACAAAUAAUUUGCAAUUGUCCAAUUCUAACAAGUCAACAUUCUUUCAAUGCAACUUUCUUAAUUGACUCAUCUCAUAUUAGCAUACGCAAUAUCACUUUUUAAUUCUUUAUGCAUUUCGCAUAUAAUGCAUAAUCAUGGAUUGAUUUUGUGCGAUUUUGUGAGAAUCUGUUGACUUAAAAAAAUAUUUCGUUUUGAAUGAUUUUGCUAUAAUCUAAUUGUUAGUUUGUACUUUCCUAAUUUUUUUUUCAGAAUCUAAUUGUUCAUGAAAAUAUCCAAGUUUAAAUCCACAAUUUACCAAACAGUAGAUAGGAUAUGAUAUGAGAAUAUCUGACUUUAAAUCCGUAACUCACCAAACAGUUGAUAAGAAAUAAAAAAAUCCCUGGACUUCUUAUCAUAUCCUAUCCAGUCCUAUCCCAUCUAGAAAUCUGGACGAUCAAACGCAGCUUAAGGGUCUCAAGCCUCGCCUUGAUGGACGAGGGACCUAGGAGAAAAUAUCGGCUGGGUUUUACCCUUCACGUAGGUCAAAUGUAACACCACUCGGAGAUUGACACGUGGCUCCACGUAGGGGCAAAGGGGAUAGAGGUUCAAAAUUUGCUCGCGCCGUCCUGAGCCCACCAUUCUGAAGCUCUCUCUUGUAUGCUCUCCUCUGCGACCUGUCACUCGUCCUCUCUCUCCUCUCUCUCUCUCCUCCGUUCUCCGUUCCGUUGCGGGGGAGAACAAAAAACGGAGGUGCUUCUCUCCAUAUGCUCUUCCCCCUCCUCUGCUCUCUCUCCUCCGCUGGUUGCCCGCGAUGCCGACGCCCCUCCGCUGGUUGCCCGCGAUGCCGACGCCCCUCCGCCGGUUGCCUCCAUCGCCCCCGACUCCGACACCGACGCCGACGCCCCUCCGCUGGUUACCUCCGUCGCCCCUCAAGUCGAUUGCCUUCGUCGCCCCCGACUCCGACGCCCCUCAAGCCGGUUGCCUCCGUCGCCCCCGACUCCGACGCCGACGCCCCUCCGCCUCCGCCUCCGCCUCCGCCCCCGAUGCUUUUGCCUCCGCCUUUGUCCGUGUCUGUUCUGACAGUAUUUGUGGAGGGAGGAGCAUUGUGGGGUGAAAUUUUGAAGAUUUUGUUGCUUUCUUUUCAUUUUGAGAAGAAUAUAGUUUUUACAACUACAUGAGAGGCACCGUUCAUACUAUUUCAAGUGUUGCAGAUUCAUUAUGCAUCUUGAUUGCUAUUUCACACUUUUUAAUGGAUUGGAUGUUCACUAGCAAAUGGUUGUCAACUACUACUUUGUUUCAUCCAUGCAGAGUGAUUAAGGCUGCAAAGAAUGUCUUGGGACCAACAUUAUCUGACCUCCAGCUUGCUGAAGGAGAGAUUAUUCUUGAUAUAGAUGGCACUGUUCCUCUGCAACCUGUAUUGCAGCGCAUUGGUCUCUCAGCUUGGCCUGGUGAGUUCUAUCCUGACAAUCUGUUAGCUGGUGGGAAAUCAAUUCCUGGAAUGAUGAUUUGACUGUAUCGUAGCUGCUGGAGUUUGAUAAUCAUGGACCUUUUAUGUGCAAGAUUACUUCUGACUGAAGAUUGAAUUCUUCAGCCUUGGAAACUUUUGCUUCUCAUCCCUAGCUUCCAUUUGUUAUGGGCAGAGCAAAUUGAAUUUGAAUUUGCCAAAUGAAAUAUAUGUCCCACAUACUUCAGCUUUAAGAUGAUUUCAUCCGUAUAUCUUCUAAUUUGCAACAAAGUCAGGAUUUAGGAAAUGACAGAGGUAAUAAGUGGGCAAUUUUUAUUUAUUUAUUUAAUUUGGUGGUUUUGUUCCCAUAUAGUAGUUAUGGAUUUUGAAACACAGGUUAAGGUACAGCUCUACUGGCAAUGUUACUUCAAACUUCAUAUGGUGAAUUCAAGGUGGGGGCCUAGAUUUUAGGGCUGGCUUGCCUUAACUACCACAAACUCUGGCUAAACAUCUCAUGCACUGUUAGGACAGAAACUAGCUUGUCAGUUUUAGAGACAUGUCAAAGAUGGAGAAACUGGAUCUUUUUUCUAGGUUGCUUAGUGUUGCUGGUUAACCAUGUACUAUGUGAGCUCAAGAACGUGUCAAGUGGAAUUCAGGGAAAAUGAACCUUUUUGUGCCGUUUCUCUAUUUUCAGAUGCUUUAGGAGCAAAUCUUUAUCUAUCUUAUUUAGUCCUCUGGGAAUUUAGUUCUUGGUUGCUUAUAGGAAAUCUCCUCUGUCUAGUUCAACUGGUAUUUUUCUUGGUUGUUUAGCGGUUGAAUAAUGUUAUAUUUUAGCUGAUCAAUUUUAGUGGUUACUAUUAAAAAUGGUCUAUCAAUUGUGAGUAUUGAUCAUUAUGAGCGAAAUGCCUGUUUCAGCUAGCAUGAAGGAGGUCCCACAAUCGACUUUGUUCCCGGAAGAAAGGUACUCUGUUUUAGCUGUAUGUGAGCAAGAUAAUUCUUACGAGUGCCUUAUUCAUUAAGUUUUUUUCUAUCUGCAGGAUUCAAGAGUUUCUCCAAACGAAGGAAGACUUCCAGAUGCUAAUCAAGGUAUUUUGUUGUGUCAACUUUCCCUUUGUUGUUUGGCCUCCCUUUAUUUCUCUCCAUCCCUCCCUCUAAAUAUUAUGGCCUACCAUGCUUCUUGUUGCUCCAGGCGAAAAGUUAAAUAACUAUUUAUUGUUUUUCUUAUGGUUGUGGCCUGUUAGUAUUGAAAUGUAUGUCCAUCUCAUCUGAAUAUCAAUUAGUAAGUUUCCAGAGGAAUGAUUUGAAUGAGAUAAGAAGCGCAGUGGAAAAAGAGGUAUCGGAGCUAACUGACAUUCGGAUGUUGUACAUCCCAUCUAAAUGUCAGUAAGUUUCCAGAUUAAGAACUGCACAAGCAAAAUGGGCACAGUGCCUAUUUCAUAUGAGUCAGCUGUUGUGAACUCACUACGAAGAAUGACUUGAGAGAGAAGUGCUGGGAUUUGAACUCUUGAUCUGUCAUAUGAAACAGUGCUAGAAUACCCAACCUAAAAGUUUAAGCUGUGAUGUGGAGAGAGACAACAUGUAUAUAAGAAAACUGAGCCAUUAGGUGAGAGAGACUAUAUGUGUAUGAGACUCAUUAUGACCACGUUUUCAGGGGAUGUUUGAUUAUAUUAAAAACAAUAUUACUUCUCAUGCAAACCCAGUUUGAUAUUUCACAUGAUAUUUUACAUCUGCAACUCACUGUAGCUGAUCGAAAGGAGGCUCAAAUGAAAGGAGGCCUUCAACCGCAGCUUGGUUAAGCUUAUCGAUUUGUGAUAUUCACGUUUAACAAUCCACUGCCUAUCCAUAACUUAUCAUAGCUCUAAAUCCAUAGGAGAUCUUUCAUGCGUUAUAAUUCUCUUAUUGGUGAAAUACACGUACAUUUUGCUUAAAGGGCAUUCGAAAUUUUUUCUAAACUUGUCAUUGCUGGAUGUAGGUCCUCCACGUCUAAGGGACAUCUUUUACAGGAUGGGUCUCUCGGACAAGGACAUAGUGGCCUUAUCAGGGGCUCAUACACUGGUAAUUUCUAUUUCUGCUUGGAUUUACAUUCACGGUCAGCUGGGGAUGCGCAACCACACUUGUUAUUUUUUUAUUCUUGUGUCUAGGGAAGGAAACACCCGGAAAGAUCUGGAUUUGAUGGUCCUUGGACUCAGGAACCCCUUAAGUUUGAUAAUUCCUAUUUUGUGUAAGGUUUCAUCUUUUCACUGGAUGCAUUUUCUAAGUUUCGGUUGGAGCAUUAUAGAGCCAGAUGCUAAUUGAUCAUUUUUGACACAGCGAGUUGUUGAAAGGGGACGCAGAGGGGCUGCUGAAACUGCCAACUGACAAGGCAUUGCUGGAAGAUCCUGCAUUUCGCCCUUAUGUUGAGUUGUAUGCGAAGUAAAUAAGCUUUUCGCGUGGUCUGGUGACUCCAUUGAUAAAUCUAUAAAAUCGAAUUGCAGUUACAGGUUUUCUUUUUGUAAAUUUGUUUUUGAUGAAACUACCCCGCCACACCACUAUUUCGUUUCCUUAUGCACCCGGUCUAUAACCCUUUGAUGCUACUGUCCUUGGUUUUGCCGAGAAUGAAAAGAGAUGGAAAGUGUUUUUCAUGGAAUUUAUGCUGUGUAGGCUUGUGAUGCUUAAAAGUAAGCAUUCACUCUGUUCCAUCACUAUCUUCUAUGUAGAGACCAGGAAAUAUUCAUAAUGAGAUCGCACAUCAAAUGUUGGGUAGAUACAUACAUGUGUUGGGAUGGAUAUAUUAUGUGGUUCCCUGAAACCUCUAGGCUAGAGCAUCAUUUUUGUGCUACUGGGAACACCUGAUUUGAUAUUUGAAUUGGUUGUUGUUCCCGCAACUCUCUCAUGGUGGUUGGCACGACCUUGAAAAGAGACAAAUGGACAAUUUGAUACUGUGCUUUUUUUCCUCGUUUUCUUUUGCUAUAUGCUCUUCUUUCCCUAAUGUUGUCAAGCAUGUGGCAGGAUGAGGAUGCAUUUUUCAGAGAUUAUGCAAUCUCGCAUAAGAAGCUCUCUGAACUGGGGUUCACGCCAAGUUCUUCAGGCAGCAAGACAGUAGCGAAUGGUGCCGUAUUGGCACAAGGUGCUGUUGGAGUGGCAGUGGCUGUGGCUGUGGUGAAUCUUGAGCUACUUCUAUGAAGUGCGCAAGAAAAUGAAGUGAAUGCUGUUCUCUGAUUUCCCUUUGUACCUAGCAUAUAUUUUAGCGCUUAGUGCUGCCCGCACCAUAUAUGUUCAUCGACAAUAAUAGUCAAAGCAUUGCCGGUGCUUGGAUGGAACAAGCCAGCAAACUCUUUGAAAGUCACAAGAAAAAUCUAUGCCCAUUUUCAACACAUCCUUUGUUGCGUGAUACUACCUUUUCCGGUUGGUUAGUAGUUAAACACGCUGCUUUGAGUGAGUUGCAUUAUGCGUAUGACGCCUGGUAAUAUGCAUUUAUGCGAUGCUUGCCCAACUUCCAAUCCUUCGAGCAAAUUUCUCCAACCUAAGAAAAAUGUUUAGGUAGAUCAAGAUUUCUUCCCAUGUGCAAGAGAUGAUUAUUAAGAAUCUGGGACUUGUGAUGCACCUUUUCCGUCAUUGAAUGGCGAACAUUUUCACCACUUGGAAUCUUUCAUUGGUGGAUUUGUUCUUCAACGCACGUUAGUGUUUUAACUUUGGUUGAAGAACCACUCUAGCCCUUUCUCCAUCUUUUUCGAAUUCUCCUCUCAGCUUGUGGAUGGCUGUAUUGUUUCGUCUGCUUCAACGGGGAAUCAAGUCAGAGACGUGGUUUCGACCUCUCGUGAAGAAGUAUGGGACGCGCGCACCUCUUAAUUGACGCGAUGGCUCUGGUAAUUUGGACAUCGCUUCUGAUUUGAAAACAAAUAAUUCUGUGAGUGAAUUAAGGAGAUUAACAUGAAAAAGAAUAACGAACUUCCAAAUUAAAAUGAAAAGCAUACACGCUGGGGUCCUAACUUUGGUUGAAGAUCCAGUCUCGCCAUUUCUUCAUCUUUCUCUCCUCUCAGCUUGUAGAUGGCUGCAUUGUUUCGUCUGCUUAACGGGAAAUCAAGUCAGAGGCGAGGUUUCCACCUCUCGUGAUGUCGUAUGGGACACGUGCGCCUCUCAUUGACACAAUGGCUCUGGUAAUUUGGACAUUGCUUCUGAUUUGAAAACUAAUUAUUCUGCAAGUGAACUGUGGAGAUUAACAUGAAAAAGGGAUAAUGAAUUGUCAAACCAAAAUGAAAAGUAAGCACUAUCUGCUUCAACACAUCUGGGAAAAAGAAGGAGCGCCCUAGUUUGGCUUUAGUCAAAGGUAAUUGUUGAAUGGGAAUAAGAGGGGCUGCUGAAACUGCCUACUGACUGAGGCAUUGUCGGAAGAUCCUGCAUUUCGCUCUUAUGUAGAGUUGUAUGCCAAGGUAAUAUAAGGCUUUUCGCGCGGUCUGGAAAUGAAAUGAAAGCGUGCACGCAUACACAUGGAGGCAUGCGCCUGCUUAUGUACAUACGCAUGUAUACUCAAUUACCAGAAUAGCACCAUACAACAAACCAGAAACUCCUCUUUUUUUUCCGUGUAACUACAGAAACAAGAAACAGUAACAAGAGAUACAUAUCUAUGCAUCUAUUGACUAUAAUUUCAAGAUGUCAAAAUCAGCUCCUUUACUACAAAAUGACAGCAUGAAGCAAAUUCAAGUGCAAUGAAAUAUAAACCAGAUCCUCACUUCUAAACGUUUCAGAUUAACAAUUGAAUGCAACCCCUUGCUUGCAGCGGCCAAUUCCAUCAGCUCCAGCUGUUCAUCCUCCAUAAGCUCCAUGGAUUCCUUGGCAAUUCUGCGAGCAGUGGCCUUCUCCACUGCAGCUUUUCGUCUCUCUGCUUCUUUUUCUCGACGAAGCUCUUCUUUUUGUCUCUUUUUCUCUGCCUUCCAAACAAAAAACCAGAGAAGUUGGUAAAGAAAAGAGAAAAGAAGAGAUGCUGCUUAACCAAUCAAAUAAAGCAAAAGAAACUAACUAGUGAAAAAGCAAUAUCAAGCUCAAAUACUUACCUUAAUAGAUUCUUUCUGUAAAUACUUCUCCCGUCGCUCUGAUUCUCGCCUUUGCUCACGUAGCAAUCUCUCCUCCUCUCUCUGCUGUUCACGCAUCAACCUUUCUUCUUCCUUCCUUCUUUCACGAUCAAAUCUUUCCAUCUCUUUCCUCAUUCGUUCCUCAGACUGCAAUAGAAAAAUACAGGAUAUCAGUCCAUGCCAAAGUUUUCUCCACAAAGCUCACAUAUCCUUAACAGUCAGCACAACUCUUCAAAAAGAUUGAAACCUUUGGAAGAUGACUACAUCAAGGAAAUAGCAGCAAAUAACAAAUUAAACGUCACACAAUCGCCAUAUGACAAGUAAUGACCAACAUACUAGAAGGGGUUCCUCUUUCUGUACAAAAUUGCAUAUGUGUGGCUUUUCUUUUGAUACGGUAACUGACUAUUACAUAAACAUCAUUACGGUAACUGACUAUUACACAUUCUGCAGCAAAAUAGCCACCUAUCUAUACUUCCAAUACACAAAAAUCUCCUUCAUCUUCCCUAGCAAAAUAUGCUAUAAUACGAAGUCUUAAACUCACACCUUCCUCCAGCCCCUACAUGCUGCUGAAUUCUUCCAUGUGCACUACCAGGAGCUUAAUUGUUUUUGAAUUUUGGAAUUGUGAGAUGACCUUCCACCUUUGUCCUUGUAAGAAUUUCUAGAAGCAAUGGUCUUCCCUCCUCUAUGAACAGCAGCAAUUGCUCGCCAUCUCUGCUUGUUCAGGCGCUUUACCAACUCAGCAUCAUUCGCAUUCUCUUCACUUUCAUCCUGCACCAGGUGGAAAAGAAACUCUCAUUACUGAAGCUAACAAGAAAGAGCAAUAAACAAUGAUAAGUGAUGACUAUGGAAAAACUUCUUUAAAAAACUUAACUCACUUUUCAUUUUUGAUAAACUACGGAUGACUCACUGAUAAACAUAUGUGAAAAAGCACCAAACACAACAAUUAGUAAACACUAUACUAGUCCAUUAUCCCCUCGAAAAAAACAGUUGACAGCAACACAAUUACUCAAGCUAAAAUCGCAUGUAUUUAUCAGCAAAAAUUUCAAGAAGCAAAUUUCCAAAUAGCUCAUUUUUGUAAGUUCAAACAAGACCAAAUUCUGAGCUGCUAAAUUCAAAAGACCUCAAGCCAGAAACUUACUUGAAUUAGCCAUUCCAUCAGACGCCAUUAAAUGGGAUUUUAAAGGAGAACAUACAGAGAUGAGUUCAUUUCGCAGAUAGCUGGCAUCUUUCAAAGCUUAUUCAUCAUCGUUGUCUAUGAAAUUUGUCACAAGUACAGAGACUAAACACUUGAGUAUAGUCAGAGGUUCUCAAACAAGGAACCCAAGCCCCAAACUAUCAAAAUGGGCUGAGCAUCAUAGAACACAACAAAGGUAGAUCGAACUUCAAGAUAUCUGCAAGCCAGAAUGUCUUCAAUGUGAUUCAUAUUACUCAACCUUCAUGCUUAUGUUGAUAAUCAAAAGUGCUGCCAUGCACUAUCCAAGACUACAUAGCUAGUGGGCGAAAGCCAGACCUAAUGCCUAAAAAAUUUCACCAUAUAUACUUACCUCAUUGAAGUGUGCCUCACAACAAGGUUUGCUGAGUUAUCCUUCACAUCUUUGUCUAUUUUCUUUGAUUUCCUCCUCAUUUCCUUCUACAAUGUGCCCUGGCUGAUCAUACAAAUAGCAGGAUUAGGCUAUAAUACUGAGUGAGUCAGCACAUUAGACUUUAAAAUAAAUUUUAAGGUGGAUCUCAGCUGACUGCCAGAAAAUUAAUACUGCAUCCUCCAGUUAACCAUCCAGGAAACAAACCAGGAAAUUCCCAUAAACGAAAAUAUAAAACAUGACUUCAUCUUAUCCGGUGAAAAGUCACUCAAGUGCUCCAAUAGUCUUAAAAGAUCUGCUCAGUUUUUGAAAAUAAAGCACAGCGAACAACAUAGCUUCCAGUAAAAAGAGGAAAUCUCAUGCCCUGAUGUUAUAGGUUUCACAAAGUUUCAGCAAUGUUGAUUUUCAGGCCUAUCACAGCGAAUGCUCUGAUACUAGUACCUUAUCCAGCAGAUGCAAAGAGUCAACAUCACUCAUGAUUGUUUCAUCCAUUCCAGCACUAUCUUCUUCAUCAUCAUAACAUAUAUCCUGGUCCUUUUCUUCUUCAACAAACUAUAUCAAAGGAAUCCAAUAAGAGAAUGUUAAUAUCGCAUCAUGGACAAUGCACACUUACAAUACUCAAUCAAUGACACGCUAGGGAUGAACUUUCGAUUAAUGUGUCAACUAGUUGCACAAAAUUCUCCAGGGCAAGAUGUAAUUGGUUCCAGAAAAUUUGUAUAUGCUGUUUUCAUUUACAUUUCAGAAUGCGGCAGCUUCAAAAACACAUUUGGAAAGACAUUGGAAAUUAUUUUACAACAAAGACGAUGGAAAGCAUGUUAUGAAUGAAAAAAGAGUUCAAAGCUGAAAAUGACAUUUUGGUGUAUCCAGUAUUUAUUCAUUCUAACAAAAGCACAGAUCUUUGGAAGGAAAAAGAAAUAUUCUAUUUUACAGCUUUGAUGGAAUACAAGUAUAUACUCCCAUUUUUCAUCCCGUUAGAGAAUUUUCAUUUUCAUUCACAUGUUUCCAAGCAAACAGAAAACAAAAAUUAAAAUACUAGCCAUAGUACUUCCACUUCCACUUCCAAUCAAGGAAAUCAAGGACCAAACAUGCAAAGCCAGGAACCACAAUGCAGGCAAUUGGCGAGAUAUUAUUUUGGCUUUCAGAUGCAAGAGCAUGAAGAUAAUCAUGAGAAAAGAAGCCGACAGAAGCCAAGAAUGACAGAGUAAAAUCCAUGGAAGGAAUAAGACGAAAUAGUUAUAGAGGAUAGAAUAUUUUUCAAAAGACUUUUACCAACUAGACACUGUCCUACAUCGGGACUUUAAAAUAGAAAAGACAACCAGAUUAGCAUAUCUCUAAUUAGUGUGUCAGGCUUACUGGUGUUGCAUUAGAUUGAUAGGCUAAGCAUUUGCAAAUCUAAACAAAAUCAAUCAACAAUCUUAGAAAGUUUCAGCAUCAGAUCAGAAACAUGGUGCAGGUAGAAUUUCCAAAAACCGGGAACUAGACAGCAUUGAAUAUGAUAGGUGGCAGAAGAUAUAUGAAGAAGAGAUCUUCACUAAACACUAAGAGAUGGGAGCUUUUCAUUCCUGUGGUCAGUAAAAUAACGAUACCGGUACAUAAUCCCUGCAAAAAAUUUGAAAGUAAUUACUAACAACCUGCUUGAAUUAAACCAAAAGCCUUCAGCCUCUGGCACAAGACCAAAAGAAAUGUUUGCACGUGUACACAUCCUUAAACUCGAAUCUGCAAAGAAUAUAAGUGGGCUACAAUAAGUCCACUAGUACACAUCCAAGCUCAAUUCUGCAGGAAGAAACAGAGCAAGAGACGGAGGACUCACGAUCAUCAGAGCAGUAAUGGACUCAUUCAUCCACCGGUUCUCUUUCAAGAGAUGACCGAUCACAAUGCAAGCAAGGAGGAGCGCCACAAACAGGUUCAAGGACACCACGGACGUAUGAUCCAAGGUGGACAGCGUCUGCAGCAAAAUAGAGUAGACAAAAUAACUAAUCAGAGAAUUUUUAGAAAUCUUUAGAAAACAGUAAAAGAGCGCGCAGAGAGAAGCGAGUGAGCGCCCAAGCAGGGGCGCAUGCUUCGUCGACGAAAGCGGGGGAACGGCCGCUCCACAAACGCAGAGCAGCAACGAGCGCGGUGAGAGGAGAGAGUAAGCACCGGAGCGGACACCUCCUUCGUCGGCUCAGGCGGGGAACGGCCACAUCACGAACGCCGGAACAAACGUAGCAACGAGCACGAAGAGAGAAGCGAGCGAGCGAGCGCCAGUGCAGGGGCGGCAGUAGUGUGGUUCGUCGGGACGGCGGGGUUACGCGCCGCUUGAUGCACGGCGGAGCAGUAACGAUCGCGGAGAGAAUUUGGGAUUCAAAAUUUUGAACCCUAGCAAAGGGGAAGAAGGCAAAGAAUCGAGUGGGCCCCCGCGUGGCUCCGCGUGAGUGGUGGGGACACCUACACGUAUACAGAAAAUUCUCCAAUCAAACACUUCCUCUGAUUUGCGCUGUCGCUUUCGCUUUGCAUGAGCCAUGAAGAUUUUCCUCUGCGACGUCUCUCGCUUCUCCAGCUUUAGAAAAAGCGAACAUUGCCGUCCUCUUUUCUCUCGCUCCUAUCGCCGCCGCCACCACCACCACCCCGAGAGCAACUCCGCCCACCCCAGCCCCCGCCCGGUGUUCCCCAAUGGCCUCCUCCUUUGCAGCCGCCCACCGCCGCCUCUGUCCCCGCGUCAAGGUGGUCACUGUCGUGGGGGCCACCGGGUGUGGCAAGUCCCGCCUCUCCAUCGACGUCGCCUCCCACUUCACUUCCGAGGUCAUCAACUCUGACAAGAUGCAACUCUACCGGGGCCUUGACAUCACCACUAACAAGAUCCCCCUGGCCGACCGCCGCGGCGUCCGCCACCACCUCCUCAGCUCCUUCGACCCGAACGAUGGCGAGAUGAGCCCGUCGCAGUUCCGCUUCCACGGCGACGCAGCCAUCUCCGGCGUCGCCUCCCGCGGGAAGCUUCCCCUCCUCGUCGGCGGUUCCAACUCCUUCAUCCACGCUCUCCUGGCGGAUCGGUUCGACCCGGAGGCAGACCCGUUCGGCCGGCUUGGCUCGCCGGCGAGCCCAAAGCUGAGGUACGACUGUUGCUUUCUGUAGGUCGACGUGUCGCGGCCCGUCCUGGCGGAGUACCAGUCGAAGCGGGUGGACAAAAUGCUCGACAUGGGCGCGUUUGAUGAACUCGCCGGAUACUACGACCUCCGCCGGACUGAUCCGGAGGGUUGGACCGGGCUGAGGAAGGCCAUAGGCGUGCCCGAGUUCGACCGUUAUUUCAAGAAGUACCCGCCGCCGGGGGGGGGUCUGCCCGGACAGCCCGUGGCGGUGGGGGGAUGCGAGGAAGCGGGACGACGAUCCAGUGCGGCAGGGUGCCUACAAGGAGGCGGUGUGGGAAAUAAAGAAGAAUGCGUGCCAGCUGGCGAAGCGGCAGAUUGAGAAGAUCCAGCGGCUGAGAGGGCGCGGGUGGGAACUCCGUAAGCUGGACGCGACGGAAGUGGUCCAGCUGGCGAUGGCGGCCGAGGAGGAGGGAGGCAGCUGCGUCAGGUGGCAGGGCGUUUGGAACAGGCAGGUCGUUGGGCAGAGUUUGAACAUCGUCAGGCGGUUCUUGCGCGAGUAGGUGUCGUUUUCUCGUCCUUGAUUAGGGAUUUGGUUGAGAAGAUGAAGAUGAAGAUGAAGAAAUGAAUCAAGAUACAGAGGAAUCAGCAAAGGAAAUACUUCGAAUCACUCUAUUUUCAUAUGAUUGUAAUACAAAGUUUCUGUAUAUCAAUGACAGCUUAUGAAUACAAAUCCUCUGUUUUACAUCCCCUGUUUUCUGUCUCUCUAUCACAGCACGUAUCAGCUAUACAAUGCAGAGCAUCCAUUGAUGAUUGCUCUCUAAGCUCUAUCUCUCUAUUUUGCUUCUAUCUUCGCUUCCUUCUUCAUCGAAGAAGAAGAAGACUACUUAUAUCAGAAUAGAACAACGAACUGAAUACAACUAACUGUUUCUUAAUUUGUUUCACCACUCUAAACCGAAUAAUAGCACGUGUGUCAGUUGAGAUCUACACGACUUGGCGAUCCACAUCUUCUUUAUUUCAGGCUUUCUUAAUCAUUGAUAACAAUCCAUGUUUGCCUUCAUCACGAGCUCUUCACCGUUGAUCAUCAGCUCAUUGUUAAUUUCCUGUUUUUGUUUUUCCCACGUGUUCUUUGCUUCACUUUGCUGCUCCGUAUAACUCUUUCUCUUCAUAGUUCUUUCUCUUCCAGCAUCAGUGUUAUCUGCUGAAUUUAUAGUGGCUGAGUGAGACUUUGUUCCUAUAUGCUUAACAAAUUGCAGCACUGAACACUAGCUAGAGUUUUGAUAACCUAGAGCCUAUCAUUUCCAGAUGUGCUUUUGGACGCUAUCUAGAUGAAACACAACAGAUUAGGCGAUUUUUCGCGAUGAUAUCGGUAGAAAAGUGUUUGCAUGUCCAUGCAUUUGCUGAUUAUCCUAUUCGAUCGCUUAACAAGUGUUUCGGACCUUGAUUGGCAUGCUUCUUCCAAGAUGAUGCUUAAAAAGUGAUCAAGAAGAUGAUCAAAGGUGGUAAUCAGCAUGGUUGGGUCGAGCCGUGAUCAUAAGAAGAAGAUGUUGCAAUCCUAGAGGUACCUUUUAUCAUCUAGGUUUACGACUCGACCCGACCAUGAUGAUUACCACCUUUUGUCAUCUUCUUCCAAAAGAAAUCAAGCACCAUGAUUACCUUUCAGCAUUUUCGUAAUGACGAUGCUUUGCCAAAAUGACCUUCUUCCAAAGAAAAAAGCGAAGUUGGAUUUUUGCUUUUGGGGUAGACUCGGAGGCAUUAUAACCAACGAAGUUGGACGUUAAUAACGGACGUGGGUCAUGAAUAGACCUUUAUUAAUAAUGGAAGAAGCUCAUUUUGGAUUACCGUGUGGUGACCUUACCCUCGUGAUGCACCACCUAAGAAUUCAACUAAUAUAUUAUUAAGCCUAAUUCUAACUCGGGCUCUUCUAAACCCAUAUCAAUUCGUAACUUAGGAUUCAUGUUCUUCAGGUACGUUUGGUUUAACUUUCUCAAGGGACUUUCAGCUUGUAAAGUUCCUUGGAGAAAUACUGGGGUGCAAAGAGCUUUCAGUCAAAUACUGGUAUUGGAAAAACUAAAAAUCCAAUGCUGAUGGGGACUAAUUUUAGGCUUUUAGUAUUUGACCAAAUGCUGAAUUUUUUUUUUUUCAAAACUACUAUCACAAACUUUUUUAGUUUUUCGAUUUUACCUCUUAUUGUUCUAAAACUACAUUUACCUUCACUAGAGUUGACAAAGAGUUUAAGAUUUUUUAAUAAAAAAGAAAAAUGAAAUCGAAAAGUCCUUUAUAAAAAAGACCUACCAAAUACUCUUUAUGCCAAAAUAACUUUGCAAAUGAUUUUUUACCAAACGCAAUUUGCAUUUUCCCAAAGUCCUUUAAGCCAAAGAUAUUUAUGUUUCUCCAAGAACCAUUUCCAAAGUUGAACCAAAUGCAACCUUAAUAGACAAAUCAUUUUCAAUAUGGAGUCGUCAUCAAUCAGUUAUGGUAGAUUGAUUGUAAAAUAACAUGAAAAAUAUUUUACUUCUACGAACUAAAUAUUUUAGGUACAUGAAUUUGAUUAUACUAAAUUUCUCCUAUACCUUUUCAAUUCAUUCUUUUUAUGAUUAAAAUAUUUGACAAAUAGUUUAAAUUCAUUUUAUUACUUCUUAACAUAUAAGAUGAUCAUACACAUGUGUAAAUCAUCAAUUUAUUACUAAAUAAAGUAAUAAAUAAAUUGCAUGUCUUACUUCGUAAAUCAUUGACGAUUGCCUAAAGCUCGGGCCUUUUUUGACUGGUAACUUGGUAAGGCGUCGCCGCAUUCCUCGAGAUCGUGGGAGAAGGAGAUUCGAGGGCUGCGAAGACCAGAGCUGGAUAUCUCCGAGAGUCCGAGCAAACGUGGAUCGCCAUCACCGGACCACUAUCCUGUGGCGCGGAGCAACGGAUCGAAAAUUUUCCUUUUCUCUACUACUUUCCCCAGAUAAGUGUUGCCUAAAGUUUUGAGGUCGGUCAGCUGGGGCCCACGGUCUCUCUUUCCCAGAUUUUCUUUUUUUCAUCUCCUCUCGAGAUAAAAUGUAAACGCCUUUCGACGUGACGUUUUUCCCUUUUCCCCUUUUAAUUUUUCCUCCUUUUUUGACCGCAAUUAAUUUAUUCGUAAUCAAACUCCCCGCUUUUUUUAAAUAUCCACUUUUAACUCGGAUUACAAUAAUAACAAUAAUGAGAGCAAGUCCGUUGAGGCUCGAACAGUUUUUUAGUACAAAAGAAAAGAGAGAAGAAAAACCAAUAUAUAUGUAUGUAUGUAUUACAUAUUAAAAGAAGAGUAAUGCUAGGCUUUAGAGUUGAUUUAUAAAAUAGAUUUACCAAGUGAUGUGUACAACACAUUGUGUGUGUGUGGUUUUUUUAACAAGCGGGUUCUAAUCAUGAAUUAAGAACAGCUUGACGUAUGGCAAUUUUGUAAGCCAGGCAGAUGAGUCAAACGAUUUUCAUGUAAGAAGGAUCUAACCACGACUCUUCUUGAUUUUUUCAUAUAAGAACACCAGGGAUUCCUUCUCCACUUUUUAAGAGUUUGUUUGAACAAAGAUGUGUCUCAAAAUGUCAACUAACUGCUUUUAUGGAUAGGUGUCUUAAUUUCGAUACUAUUUUUGUCAAGAAAACAUCUACCAUUUUUCUUUUCGGGCUUUUACAGAUGGAUUUUUUAAGUUAUGUGCAUCUAUUGCAAAGGGAAAGAGGUAAUCACACGAGUUCAAACUCAAACUUCAACUUGUUGUUCAAUUAGAAAUAACUUCACCAUCAAUUUAUUUUGUUCUCAUUACUAUGGAUGUUAUCACUUCCAUUGGGGUCUAUUUGCAUCACAUAUUUUUUUUUGUACUUCAAAUCUUCGUUCGCCACUUUCAUUGAUUUGGCCUCCUUCAUCCAUGGUUAUGUCCAUGGUUAUGUCUUUUGAAUGCGCCACUAAACGCAAGGUGGAAGAGGUGGAGAAGUGAUCGAAAAGGUAUUAAAGCGAGAAUCACGGUUGUGCUACCUUUUUGAAAAAAUGCAAGUCGCCGUACUCUCCAGCAGGCCAUCUUCCGCGGAUUGGGAGAAAAUAUUCAGUGGUUGCCAAUCACCACGUCACCGUCCUACGUGGCGCGCGCAAGUCUAGAUGGCUCCACUAACAGGUCGACGCGUGUCCUUGGAUUUAGACCAGCUGGAAAAUAGAGAAGUCAAAAGUCGGAGGAUUUAUUUAUCUCUCUCCUCUGCUGCGGCUGAAAAGAGACUCAGCAGAAGCAUUAAUUAAUGCUGUUGCCGCUAAAAAACCUCUCUCCUUUUCAAAUCUCCUUUUCAAUUUUCGAGCGCCUUUUGCCUUCUCCUUCCUCGAGUCGAGCAGAAAAAACGCAGAUACCUUCUCUCUCUUUGUCCGGCACGCCCGACUGUCUCCACCUCCACCUCCGCCUCCCCCGCCGAUCCCCCUUCCCCAAAGCCCCCGUCGGUCGCAGGUGCUGCUCAGAUCUGCCUCUGGCACGUCGCCUCCCUGAAGACCCCCGCUGGGUUGCAGCUGCUGGGUCUCGAGCGCCCUUUGCCUCCGCCGUCACCUCCGGAGUCUCAUCGGCGGCUACGAUUUGUCAGCUCACUCCUCUCUCCCACCCGCGCUCGCGCUGAUCUCUGGGGAACCUGGUGGCGUCUAUCCCGCCGCUCUUCUAUCCACCCCCCCCCCCCCCUCUCUCUGCAGCAUCUUGCCAUUUCCAGCAGUCGGAACAUCAACAAGAGCGUCUUCGAGCUGCCCGCAUAUGACCCAGCAUCGGAAAUGAUGAGGAAGGAGGAAACGCGCAACAAGCUCGCUACCUCCGGUCUUGAUCGUGUGUACGGCUGUUCUCUGGUUCUUUUCCAAUCCAGGUACAAGAAAACUAGGAAACUUCACACACCCAUUGAAGCUGAGCAACAGAGCAAGCCAUUACACGAGGCUCUGACCUUGGCUCUAUCUUUCAAGAAAUCCAGGGAAAAUUCGGAAACACCCCUCGACCUAUCGACGCAGAUGAAGAUGGGCACCUCUUCGAUGCACAUGUAAAUCGGGCUACAUGUCCAUGGCCUCCACUUCCUCCAUCUCUGUCGCCUAUCGGAUUCAUUGUUUGGCGGCAUCUGCAGUUAACGCUCUGCGGGUCGAAGCCGUGGGCCGGAGCUUGGUUUCUUUAGCGUGCUGUGCUCCCGCUAUUGCGCGCGCACGGCGCUUUGCGUGCGCGGACGGGGCCUCUGUCGUGGAAUAAACGGAGAUUUUUCAGGUAUGGAGGCUUGGUGAUACUGGCUGCUUCGGCUUCUAAUUCCAGCCGGAGUCAGGAGAGCUUAUCGGGAGGCCGAGGGGAAGAGUUCUUUGCUGGCCGUUGUUGCUCCUGUGAAGCAGGUCGCGUCCUUUGCCGUUCCUGCCGGAGUAUUUGUGGUCGUGACUUUUGGUAUGAAAGUUUUAACGUUAUUGUUGAUUUGCUGUGAGGAAGAGAGUAGGGGUGAUUUUAGACUAUGAUGAGAAGCUUUUCCUAAUUGGAACCGAUUAGAACGUGGUUGUUUAUGGUUUGGCGUUGCACCUUCUAUUGUCAAGAGGUUGUGUAAGGAUUAUUUUUUCUGGCAGAGAGUUCGGGUUACAAUAAUGUAAUUUGAGUAAGCCACCAGUAUAUCUUUCAGAUGUCUUGAUGAGAGUUGUCGACUUUGGUGUGUUUUAAUGUUAAACCAUGCCUGAUGGAUCAAUUUUUAGUGUUUCCAUUAUUCGAUUAUCACUUAUUUUUGCAAAUAACAACACAGUUGUUCACAUCGGCGCUCUAGUACGUGUUUCUUUGCCUCUUAUGAUUUGAAAUUUCUUGUUUUUGAAGCAGCUCUUUAGUGACAUGUUCCUGUUGAUAGAGUCCAUGCGAUGUAUUGGUGAAUAAUACUGCUAUCCAGAAGCUCCUACUGAAUAGUACUGAUUUGGGGAUGAGGUAUUUUUUGUCUUGACUGCAACAUGUUUACCAAGCACUGAAUUGUGGAUGAAGUUUAAGCCUUCCAAAUAGUGACAGGUUGGAGAUGUCAUCAUACUUUUUUUGUGGAGGGAGCUAAGAUUAUUGCAGAGUUGUUGAAAGAAAAACUCAACCUUGCGAAUUCUUGAACUCAACAAAAAUAUGAUUGAUUAUUCUAUACGCAUUUACUUUAUCAUCUAAGAUUUUUAGCCAGUUGUUAUUUGUUAGGAACCAAAAGUUUGCUAGACUAUUCUGUUUAUCGACUGUUCAUUUAUUCGCUAGUGUUAGGGAUUUACAAGUCUUGCAGGAGCAUUGCUCGAGAAUAAUACCAUACAAAAUUUACAUCUAAAGUAAGUUAACUUUCCAAUGAUGGUCCCCAAAAAAUUGUACCUAUCCAUUUUGAAAUUUCUUGUUGUCUCAUUUGCAUUAGUUUAAGUUUAUCAACAAAUCUUAGUCUCUACUACAAAGAUGCACCUGAGUUUGGUUCGCAUGUGUGAACUUGCAUUUCCAUGGUUGGCAUAUCUUUGAUAUGCUUCUAGUGGCGUGCUUUAGUUUUGCUUCAUUGAAGAUUUUGAUGGGUGAUGUAUUUUCAGCCACAACUAUGGUGGCGCACUAGGGGCCAAUGCUUUGGCUAAAGGGUUGGAGGGAAACAAGUCAUUGAGGGUAAACUACUCAUUUUUUCCAUUUUUCUUUCUUAAGGAUAAAUAGCUCGAAUUUCGGUCGGGAAUUUUGUCAUUAGAAUGUAGUGCAUGCUCCUGUCAACAAGUUCUAUAUUUUUCUAUUAUACGGUGUUGUUCAACUUGCUAUUCUUCUCGUUAGUCAUACGACUAACUUAUCUAUAUAUAUUGUGCUGACCAUGUGGGCUCCAUAGAACAGAUAAAGAUGGACAACAUUUCAACUCUGAAGGAGCAAAAUUUUUUCGUCUCUGGACAACAACCAGCAGAGUUGUUGAAGAAAAACUCAACCUCGCAGGUUCAAGAGUGGUUUCAGAGAAGGUAAUGAGUUUUGCUCUUAUUUGAUUGUCCUUGGAGUUAAUGUUAUUUUUUGCGCUUGGUGAUGGAAUUCUUUUGGUGUAUUUGCUAAUUUAUGGAGCUGACAGUAAUGCAGGUAUUGAAGUUGCGCCAAGGAAGCACGCAGCACCAGCUGCGUGCCCAUUUAAUAUGUGGGCGCAAGAAACUUUUGGGGCAUAAUCAUGUUAUUUUGAAGGAUUUAGUUAUUGAUAUGUGGACACGGGAAACUUUCGGCAUAUACGGUUGCGCUUUUAAUAUGCUUUGUUUUUGUUUCAUCUAUUGUGGCAUUGUUUGCCAUUUUGCAUGAUUAACCACUACUCUUACCAAGUAUGAGUAGUGAUCAAUCAUUGGCCACAGUACUCAUUCUGGAAAAUGUAAGCACUGUUUCUGUCCUGGAGUUGAGAGCAAGUCUCAGAUAUGAAUGCAAAUCUCAGCUAAAUAAAAAUGCAAUAACAACUUGCAUGCUACCUCGUGAUCAUCAUAUCAACUGAUGUUUCUUUGACUUCAUUAAAGGCCAUGGCAGACAUGGAGCGGGCAAUUAUAAAAGCACUGGAGAAGCAAUAUAAUGACAUCUUGACUCCGUUAAAGACAGCAUCCCAAAGAGGUUGAAUAUGCAAGUUUAGAAGCUGACAAGACAGCAGUCAACAGCAGUAUAUUGUGUUCCCAGCCAGGCAAGUACUUUUAAAAGCAUACAAGAUAUACGUAGUAGUCACUGUUAAAUCAAGUUUUUCUGAUGGAAGGGAUUACUUUCACUACUAGGCUGGGAGAUUGGAAUGUUGUUCUUUUUUCAGCUUGGGAUAUUCCUGAACACCUUAAAGAGAAUACUAGAUGUUCUACACUGUAGAGGGGACAUGUUGAAGUGUUGGGCAUCCUAUUUACCCAUGACUGAAGAUAAGAAGUCACUGUUUGGAGAACAAAUGAAUGGAAUCACAGUUCUACAGAGAACAAAAUACAAGAACUACUUGCAAGCAAUAGUUGGAAAGCUUGUCAGCAAUGUAAGUGGCUCUUACUUUCCCUGAAGAUGGAAGUAGUUGAGGAGAUACACGUCAAGUCAUCCAAAGAACUCUCGUAUCUAUCAACUUUGACUUGGCCUAGAUAACAUCCAGAGGAAAGAACUUUAAACUGUUAAACGUGAUGAAGCUAUUUUUUGGUUCCACUAAGUUUGCUGUUCCAAGCUUUUCUACUUACAUAUUUAAUUACAAGUAAAAUCCUGAAGGACAAAAAUUUUAGAAGGGCUACAAUUGAUUUGAGAAUCUUUAAGCUCCAAUUAGAUACUAAACUAAGGCUUUUGUAUAGAUACAAGAAAACCGUAGUAUACGGUUGAAAAGGAUGCUGGAAGAAACAAAGGAAGAAGAUGGAGAGGUUGAGAUCUGUGAAAGAGUGCAGAUGCUGAGUUUACAACUGGCUGGAAAAUUUUCACUGAGUACAAAACAUAGACUUUUUCUUAAUUUCUGUGUAAUUGCUCAAACAAAUGUCUAGUACAUAUCACAUGUCUAUGAUGUACUCUGUCUGUGUUCUAAAGAAAGGGCUAUUCGACAUUAUUACGAUGUUCUUACUUUCCUUUCUACACUACAGAUAUUGGACAAUACAUUUGCUUCACAGAUGCAGCGAUUACUAGGAAAUGCCCUUAAAGAAAAAGAUCUUGAGGCCCCUCGCUCUGUGACUGAAGCUUGAUCAAUACUCUGCAGAGACACGGCAAAUGCUGCAGAUUCAUUUAGCUACUUCUAUGCGUAGAUAUUAUACCUCCCCUGGGUGUCAAUUUUUUUGUGAAUCUGUCAUUUCAUUUGUUCAUUUUAGCAGUGUACAGGACCACACUUUAGAGCCCAAGCUUUUAGAAGGUUCUUCCGUAUGAGAUUAAAAGCUCGUAUCAUAUGUAUUGUAUCGUCCAAAUACCACAAAUUUUUUAUGUCGAUAAGAGUUCGUUUUCUGGUUGUAGUGUGAUAACUUUUUUGCAUAAUGAGCAGUACUAGCGACCAUCAAAAGCCAUUGUUAAAACUGCCAGGCUUUCAGCAGGACAAAAGGGAAAACAGACAUAUAGCUUAUCUGGUUUGUGCAUCAUUUCUUAUAGAUUUAUAUUAAUCCAAGGUAUCGGGACUCUGAGACUGCAGAGUGCAGAUUUUAUCUCUCCAGGCACAGAAAAAAACCUGGCGAAAUUGAGUUUUACUAUGAUGACCAAUCAAAGGAAGGAACGGGUUGAAGGUGGAGACUAGUAAUGAGAUUUAACCAGAUGAAUUGAGAGCUUAAAGGACCAAAUGAAUAGACUUAUAAUUAAAUAAACCAACAUCUUGUUGGAGUUGAACAAUGCUUGGUCUUCUCACCCACAUUAUCAUGCCAAUUCCAAGCAGUGUAUUUUGUAUGACACAGAUACUCUAUAGUUGAGGGCCAAAAAGAACUUGAACACAGCCUUUUGAUUUUUGAAUAACAAAUUUUCAAGUUAUCUUCCAACAAUACAAAAGAGAGAGAAUUAAGAACCACCAUAUUCUUUUUAACAAGAAUUAAAAAUUCGAGAUUGUUAUGAUUUACAAAACUAACUGAAAAUUAACUAAUGUCGAUUCUAUUUCUGCAGAGAGCAAGUAAAAUAUGAAAAUCUAUUUGGUGCUCAUUGGGUUAGAAGUAAAAUAUAUUUGGUACUUUCCUAAGUAUAUGAAAAUCCAGGUAAACCUUAGAGACCUCUCCAAGCUCCAUGUCUCUGCAGAGAGCAAGUACGUCCUACAAGUAAAUGAAAAUCUAGAUAUGCAGUAUGACGCCUGAAAGUUAUCAAGUAGCCAUAUAUUGUUGCCAAGAACAAGAAUUCGUCAUUCAUGGAGAGAAACUCCCUUGAGCUAAAAGCAAGAACAAUGGUCGAGCAAAAAUCUAGAACUAGAGCUAUAAACCACGAGAUGUAAUGGCGUAAAAGGCAGCCAUCAUAUCUCAUGGUCUUUUGGAAUUGUUCAGUAGUUGCAAUGAUUGUAACAUUCCACCAUAUCGAACGCCGAAAAGGCUGUAAUUUCCUUAUUUGAUGUGGACACCACCUCACUCUCUGAAAAACGGUGCGAUCGUUUGGGCAUAGCUCAGGCUUUUAUAUUCUCUCUCUGUGGAUCAGCUGAGACUUCACCACUAGUUGGCCUGCAAGACACCAUCAACUUGUCAUUGUGCAGAGAAUAGUUAAAUGUUGAAGUUUAUGAGAAUUAAAUCAGAAAGAACUAUUCCAUAAUUGUUGACAGAUUGGAACAGAACCUUCAUUUUAUGCGGUUUAGUGAUCCAGGCGGGUGAAACCAACCACCUAUAGACCAGCUCUCCCACCUAACAAAAUUGGAGAUUAAGUUUUUAACAUCACUUAGAAAGAGAAUGGUCUGCUCUCCCAUAGAACAGCUUCCGUUCAUCUAAGCAUAUUUUAGAUGCAAUAUUCAAUAAGAGAUAGCUGACUAACUCUAUAGCCUAAGAAGGAAUGAAAAGAUUACAUGGAAGAUUUUGACACCAAAGCGGUAGAAGUCCUCUGUAAAAUCUGAAAGCAAGAAAAGCAAUAGAAUGUCCCUCCUACCUCUAACACAAGCAAACAUACUAAGGCCACAAAAAAUUACCCUAGAAGGCCCUUUUGAUGCAUACACUUUAGGGAAGCCAUCAACCAAACCUUAUGCAAAGUGGGGACUGUACUUGAACCCGAAUUUUAAUGGCUUCAAAAGGGCAAAGUGCCACAUUUGCAAAUGCUUCCACAGAAGAACUGCUGAGAAAAAAAAAUCAAGCUCCUGUUGCUGCCGACCAAGGCAUCAGAGUAAACCCGUUUGAAGUACUCGUAGAGACCAUUUGCACCCACCUUGAGCACCAUAUCCAAAGAACUUGGUAGCCCAACCUCUCCAUAAGGCAGAAGGGCCUUUCUCUCUCAAUAGAGUAGUGAAACAUGAAUAAAUGCUGUUAUACUUGAUUGGAUUCACCUACAAGAUAACAAGGAUUCACAUAUAAAAAACUUCCAAGUGAAACAAUUCUUUGCAGAAAUAUUAACUACAUGCCAAAGAAGGACAAUCGUGAAUAAAGCCACACUGCAGAAGCAUCCAAUUCUCGUCGAAAAUUGGACUUUUCACAUUUAGUCAGAUUUGGCCAUAUUAGCAGUUUCGCAUCAAACGACCACCAGAAAAAAUAUGUAAACAAGUCAUAUAAGGAAUCUUGUAAACUCAUCCAGUUAUAGUUCAAUCACUGCGGGUACACGUAUCAAGAGUCCACAAAAACACCACAUCUUUUAUUCAAUCUAUCAAGUCUAUGUCAUCAAUAAAACUAGUACCGAAGCAUAAAAUGAUUUGGGGUGUUACCUCUGAUACACUGAUGAGGAAACCAAUCAAGUGACUUAAUUUAUUCACUGAGCUCAACUAAAGAACAGAACAUGUUCCUCCAAUGCAUGAAUUUACACCAUGGCAUUGAACAAGAAGAAUGCCAACAAAAGCAGAACAUCCAUUUCGCUAUGACACAACAAAUAUAAAUAAAGCUGGAGCUAAAAAAACAAAAAAAGGAGAGAGAGAGAGAGGGAGAGAGAGAGAGAGAAGGGACCUGUGUUGGAGCCAGUAGGAUUGCCAUUUUGAACUGCGAGUAGAAAGCAGAAAUCAGGGUAAAAAAAGAACCAGGCAGCUUAUGCAGACCACGUAAUAGAAGAAACUGAAACUUGUUGGACAUAAUCACAUACAUCACCACAGCCAUUGUCAUACAAUCUUAUCCACCAGCUAAGGCAACCACCUGAUUCGAACAAGAACAAAGUGGAAAAGGUCUUUUACAUUGAAAGCCUAACUGUGAGCAGACAACAGGCUCGACCAGCUUAUUGUGCAACCUCAGUAUUACAAGCAAAGAGCCAAAUUUUUUUUGAUUAAGUAGGACAAAUAUAUUGACGAGAUCGAGUCUACAUGACUUCACCCUCCUUCAAUAUUCUCGUUGCCGAAAGACCAAAUUGACAAAACAAUUCGAAAUUUCCUCUUCUCACAACAGAAUCUAUCUUUAGCACAGACCAAAUGAAAGAUCUAACCAUCUUUUCAAUGCGAGUGCACUCCGAAGAUACGUUAAAAACUUCAUAAUCUUUGGAUAAUAAAUAAAUUGGAAUGCAAGAGUUUCUUAAGCAUUGUCAUUUUGCGCCACGGCUCUCUAAACAUCACCCAUAGAACACAAACCCAAUCCCUAAGAAGCUACUCCUCCAUCCAUUCUUGAGCAUUGAAUAAGCAAUCUCGACCCAAUUCACAAUUCACUCGUCUUAAUUUUUGCAGGCAGGUGAGCAAUUGGCUCAGCCUUGGCAGCCAUUUCCACGUAGCGAAGGCGCAGAAACGCAAAUCGGAGAUUGGAAUCGAAUGCAGAAGGAACCUGGUCGCUCAUCUUAAUGUUGCUUUCACAUUAAUCAUCAACUCAUCAGAGCGCAACUUCCAACCACAUUUCCAAAAACAAAGCAUGAGGAAGAGAAUAAAAAAAAAAAAAAAAAAAACAGAUAGCGAAAAAGUAAAAUGCAGCUAGAUUUAUGAGGUAAUCACACUAAAAUAGAAAUCCACAACUUCUCAGCGUCAUUCCAGAAGAAUCGAACAAAAACUCAGAUCGAACACAUGGAGACGAACCUUCCCCUUUGUCCGCGGCUGCAACACGUACACGGUCGACAUCUUCUUCUAUCCAAAUUCUAUAGGGACUCUGGGUGCAGUGAACUCGACGAAGACGGAUCUCUCGACCUCACCGACUGCGAUGUUCGAGGUCUUCUGUAGCUCGGUCUGAGGAAGAAGAACACCCAAACAACGCCGUCAGCCGCCGGUACCCGAAAUGUUCCCAGAUGAUGAGAUCGUGGACGGGGUGAGGUGUGAUGACGAGCUCGUCGGAGGGACGCAAUCGGACAGAGGCCCAGAACNNNNNNNNNNNNNNNNNNNNNNNNNNNNNNNNNNNNNNNNNNNNNNNNNNNNNNNNNNNNNNNNNNNNNNNNNNNNNNNNNNNNNNNNNNNNNNNNNNNNNNNNNNNNNNNNNNNNNNNNNNNNNNNNNNNNNNNNNNNNNNNNNNNNNNNNNNNNNNNNNNNNNNNNNNNNNNNNNNNNNNNNNNNNNNNNNNNNNUGGGGGAGGGGGAGGGGGAGGGGGAGGGGGAGGGGGAGGCGGAGGCGGAGGCAGAGACGGAGGCGGAGGCGGAAGCGAAUGGGCGUGCUGGAGAAAAUAGAGAGAAGGCGUCAUCGUUUCUCUUCUCGACGAAGGAUAAGGCCAAGAAAGGCUUGAAAAUUGAAAAGAGGAGAGAGAGUUUUAAGCGGCAACUUAUAUUCGAGCAUUAAUUAUUGCGUCUUCUCAGACCUUUUCAGUCGGCUGACAGAAGAGAGAGGAAAAAAUAAGCCGCACCUAGCGACUUUUUUUAUUUUUCAAGUCACUCCAAGUCACCGGAUACGUGUCCACAUUUUAGUGGAGCCACCUAGAUUUACGCGCACCACGUAGGACGAUGACGUGGCAGUUGCGAACCACUGAAUAUUUUCUCGCGGAUUGAGAUUGGACACUUAUAAGUUGUCACAUCUAGUGACUGCGUUCCAUCUUAAUGGGGGAUGAUUAACCCUUUUUGAUUAAGCCCUAAUUAAUUAGGAGAUCAAGCGCUCUUUUCUUCUUCCUUUAUGGGAGGAAACGACAUGAGUGGAAGCAAUGGUUGUCCCCCCUGUCCUUUGUGCGUUCCAUGCAUUUGAGGCUCACAGAGGUGGAGGUGGUCUUAUCUGGAAGAGAUUUUAUGCUUUUUGCCUAAAUUUGACAAGAUUUUACAUGGUUAUCAUACACGACCCAGCUACGUCGAUAUCGAUGAGGUGAUUGAGGUUUGAAAAAUCAACAAGUAUUUAAAUUACUGGCGAUAGAUGGAACAUGCAGUAAUAGGAAUAGUACAUGUAACUUGCUCUUGCUACUUCUCUUGUCGCACUAGCGGGAUGAUGCUUCUACGGAGGUGGUGUAAAAAGAAUGUCAAAGCUUCAAAAGUAUUCACGGUUAGUCCGACGAAAGACGCAAAGACAAGUAACAUGAGAAUAAUAAAGUGGGAGGAGAGCCCACCUCAAAGAUUACCUGCUUGUAGAGCAUUGAAAAUGGUGUCUUGGAGACGAGAACGUUCUCGUCCGAUCCCACUUUCCAUCGUACCGAUUAGGAAAAAGGGCUGGACCCACAUCGACAAUAUCAGUAAAAGAGCUCGAGACCUACCAUUGAGAUCCUCGAUUUGUGCUACAGCUAUCGUUUACUCUUGAAGUGAGUCUGUUGUUGCCUCAUUUCCUAAUCCGAGUAAGAGUAAAAUCGGUGGGGCGGGGGGGAUCCUUGUGCCCGCCAUUCGAGUCGAAUAACGCCGCCGGAGCUACAAACGUAGCAUGCAAGCAAGUCUCUUUGACCAUUAGUAGCCAUGAAUUCACACGGUAAAUCUGGCUAAAAAGUCUCCUCUUCCUAAAUCAGCGCUCGAAAGAUGGCGCCUGAUCCUUUGCGUUCCCAAUUCCAAGAAAAACGAUAAUGAGUGGCUACCGACUAAGCUACGUGGCCUAAAUGUUGAAGGCUCGGAAGGGAUCGAGAUGGGACAGUGGGGGCGUUCAAACUUGGGGACCCACGAAACUAGGAUGCUUUUUAAUUAAACGUCACUCAGUUUCGGUCUUCGGUGUCUAGAACCCUACCCAUUCAUACCCAGUUUGUAAAUGCCUAUAGAGAAGAAAAAAAAGAAAGAAUCUGACUCCUUCAAUUUGGAAAAUGAAUCAUUUAAAGAUCAUUUUUCAAAAAAUUAAUUGAAAGAAAUGCGGGGCAAAUAAGGUUGUUUUUUGAAAUUUGUUGACAAUUUGAUAUUAUAACUUAUAAAUGGAUGCUUGAUGAUGCCUCAUUUGCCUGCAUGUAGAUUUGGUAUUUAUAAUUCACUUUGCUCAUCAAAAAAUAGUUCCAACAAGUCAAAGCAUUAUUGAAGACUCAUUGCUCAAUUUAACUUAAAAGCAUGCAUACAUACAUGAAUGUAAAUCAUCCAAAAGUCUUUAUCUCCGGAAAGACGUGAUUGGAAUUAGAUACUGCUUGAUCCAUUAAUUAAGAAAAAAGGGAGAUUUUUAAGAUGCAAAAUUGGAUAUCUACAAAAGUACAUUUUAAUUAUAAUUUUUAAAAAAUAAUUUAAAGGCACGAGCGUUGAAACUCAGCUAUAUAAAGAUUCAUUGAACAUACAACAAGCUUUAUAAAUUGGUUAAAUUUAAACUUUUGAGUUGUACAAGCGACCCUCGACCAAAAGCACUAUGUGUGGUUAUUAAAGUUUUUUGACUAAAGGGGCUCCUCAGAUAGUCCAAAACUGAUAUUUUUUGCUUUUUUUUUUUGGCUCCCUUGAAAGGACGGGAAGGAUUGUACCGUCUCAUCUGCACGCUAGUUUACGUAAAUAUUCUCUCAAAAUUUACCAUGUCAAGCAUUAACGCGUUUGCUUUAUGAAUCACCAUUCUCACCUCCUAUCCCCUCAUUAUUCCGUUGACAUUUUCGUUACACACGUAUCUCAGGCAUAGUAAACAGCAGAGAAGAAAGGAAGGAGAACCGGGAUCGUGCCUUUGACUAUGCAAAAUAAUGGGGAGAAACUCUCGUGUAGGGAACUACCGAGGAAGAAGAAGCCUUGUCAAUUUGAGGAUAAUAAAGCAAGGGAAUUUUCAAUGAAGUUGACAAUAACCAUCUCUGCGAAUACAUUUGUUUCAGUAACGAAAUAUCUUUCAUCGAGAAUAAUACUACAAUUUUUAUUUAGAAAUAAUAAAGGUUUUGUACCAAUUCCGAAGAGAGGAUAUCAAAUGCAAUAUAAGUGUCAAAUUUCCAAUUUUGAAAAGAAUUGUACAACUCUGACAAUGAACUUGUUAACAAUGAGAAUGAGUUCAAACUGUGCUAGAAUCUAACUGACGACAUAAUUUGGGGAUAAGUAGAUACAAUGCCGGAAUUUAAUCGACGAUAAUGCAUUGAGAUAUAGGACAUAACACUGGAAUCUAAUCGACAUCGUUGGACUAUGAUAGAGAAUACAAUGUUGAAAUUUAAUGGGCGAUGCAACAUCAUGGUGUAGAUACACGCUAGAAUCUAAACAAUGACGAGGAUCUAAGAGCUACAGCAAUGAAAACUAAAGUGUAGUACAAGAAACGUAAAGAUAAAGGGAUAACAUGUUGAUUGAUUCUUUCGCGGGGGGAGGCGUCAUGCUAGCGGACUGAUGGUAUUUAUGGAGAAGCUUGGUAAUUGCUGAACAGUCAUUCCUCUUCUAAUAACUGCUUCAAGCCUUAUGCACAUUGCCUUUUCCUCUGCAAUGACCUUGCCUAUUUGCUUAACAACUGUCUGGAUUGUGUUUCAAUGCUCUCUGAUUUAUCAACAAUGAUUUCAUGGCCGGGUCUUUGUAUGUCAACUGCUCCUUAACCAUGAAUACCUUUGGCGCUUUCCUAAAUAUUUCAAAUAUUUUCGCCUAAAACUUACUGCGGCAUCACUUGAAUAGUCAUCAAAAUAUCCGUCAUUGUAUUUCAAUAGCUAAACACGGGAUGGCUUCUUGCCUCGCUGUUGAUUAUUGAGUCUUUUUCCUUUGAAUUAUUGAUAAUUGAUCAUAUAAUAAUACUCUAAUGAUAUUCAUGUGAUCUUGCUUGACUUUAUUAUACAUUAUGUUAUGGUGAUCGAUACGUGAUAAUAUGGUUAACUUUGAGUGUCAACAAGAUCAGAGAAGAUCCCGACCGAGGACUAUGACAAUUUAGGCAAUUUUAACAUUGAACCUCUUGCUAAAUUCUCGAACCUUUCAAAUGAUUGCCCCUUGUAAUAUUCCGAAUGCCCUUUUGACGAAAAUCCAUGUGAGAGCGGGGUCAAUCUGAAAAACCCUUUAUCCAUGCGUCAAUUCAAGCAUGCCAUACCAGCAAUAGCAAGCUUCUCGGGCCGAAAGAAAAAAGAGAAAAACAAGUGCACUUUUUUUAUCUGCCCGAGAUAACCCUCGAGAGCAGUAAAUAUGAACCGAUGUCUAUACAAUCCUAUGUUCUUUGUUCCUCACUUUUUCCUCCUACAUUUUGAGGUUUUGCUGCAGUACCUUAGAUUAUAUAGGUCUCUCAUUCUCGAUUGAAAACUUGGUUGAUACAAGGUAUUGAAAGAGAGACGAUGUAGUUGAUAUACCAUUCCCUUCCCCGCCUUCUACAUACAAAAAAAAGAGAGUACAAUUUAGUUUAUCAAUCUAAGAGAUAAAAACAUGUUUUUUUGAAUUUUUUCCUCUUUUUAUAAGUACGUUAUAUUAGCUCAUCAAGAAUGAAUAGUACAAAUUGAACAAAUUUACUGACAGGGGAAACUACCAAUUUGGAAUAUUCACCUGAUUUUUCUCCGGGCAUCUCAAUUCACGAAAUUAGAUGGAUUCAUAAACAUCGAAGUUCCAUGUCGCAGCAAAACAAAAAUCCUAGGUCGAUCGUUUCCUUUCCCUUUUUCCCCCAUCGCGGGCCAAAAAUCGAUCAUCCGGGCGUUGGUUUUGCCUCCCUUCAUCGAUUCAUCUCAUCUUCUCCAUCAAACCCAUAAUCCAGAUUCUCUGCUCUCUGCUUGCCCGCGCCGCUCAGACCAAAAAUCCCAAAAGCUUCGAAAGCUGCAAGUUGCUGACUUCUCUCUCGAAUCUCCUUCUCCCACGAUCUCAAGGAAUGCGGCGACGCCAUCCCCGUCGAAGAAGAUGACCGCAGUCGAGGCGAGAGGCUCGACCGGUCGCUGAUGGACUCCGAGUCCGACUUCUGCGUCGGCGUGUCGAGUUUCGUCCUCCAGCUUUCCUCAGCCGACGAGCUCUUCUCCGACGGCAAGAUCCUUCCCGACGAGAUCAGGAGGGACGGAGUGGUAACUGCCGACCACAGUUAGUGUCUGCCGAAUACCUUGGUCUCAUCCUCCUCCUCCAUCUGGGACUCCGAUUUCUAGUGCUGCGUUCACGGAGAAGAGGAGUCUGAAGGAGCUCCUCUCGGACAGCUUUGACGAUGACGAUGAAGGGGAUGAGAAGCCGCUGCCCAAGCCAUCCUGGCAGUUCAAGUGCACUUAAUUGUGACGUCGCCAAGAGCAGAGGGCUGAUUCGGUUGCUACAGUUCCUCUCGCGGAGCAACUCGACCGGUUCAGUUCCAAAUCCAAAGGACAAAUUCGCCUCCAAGGACAACCCGAGGCAGAAUUUGCAGAAACAGCCCUCUAUAUCAAGUCAAAGAUGGUCGUCGGAGUCAUAUCAAUCCUCCUUCGGCAUGCCAUCAGAAGCCCCCGACGACGAACAAACGAUACAGACCCAGCGUGAGGGUCAAUCCUGAAUUGAAUUUUCAGCCCCACAUCAAACGAUCAGGACGGUGAGCUUGUUCGGGCUCGGCUCGCUUUUCUGUGAUGGCAAGGUCAGAAAGAAGAAGAAACGAGUCAUCCUGAUUAAUCUGCUUUGUUAAUUUGCAUUAGCACAGAGAGAAAAAAAAGAGAGAAGAAAUGAGCUUUUUGAAUGCUUCUGGUUUUGGUGCACAUGUCUAUAUAGAUUUUGUGAUGGUAGAUAUAGGGGACCUGAUGGAAUUAGCAUGGGAUAAGGUUCUCAAAAAGAAUUCCAGGAAAAUAUAAUGUACGGAAGGCAUGUUUAAAGAUCAGGUUUCGUUUUCUAAUAGUGGGCCCUAUAAGCCUCUGACCAGCAUUGCAUUAGCAUCAGGUAAGAUAAUCAUCUUGUUGUCGAUCCAGCCGAAAGUCGUAUGCUGUUGUCAGUAUUCUAAAUUCAUCUUGUUUUGGGGACUUUUUAUAAUUUUAAGCGACGUGAAAAAUAUAUAGAAUUUGCAUAAUAGUGGCAAAAAUAUAAUGAGCCAAAGGAAUUUGCAUAUUUGCAUCGUACUCUUGUGAGUUUUUUGUGCGAAAUGCUUUUUUUUUUUAAAGGUUCAGUGGAUGCAGAGAAAGCAAAGGAGUACUUAGCAAAAAGGAGUGAUGAGCAAACAGAUGGUGACAGUCUGGUUUUAUCCCUCGUGCUCAAAGCUACAUCCAUCAGGCUGUUCAAUAUGCUCCUAAUGACUGGUAGUAUGUAAUGCCAAAUCUGUAUGUUCGAAGUUCAUAUCGACAAAUAUUGCAAUGAUCCCGAGCAUUGUUCUUAAAACAUUCGCGCUAUGUCGUCUCAAAUGCUAUGGAUGCGUCUUUUGAUUUUUCGACUGUAGUUAUGUUCUUGCUUCAUGUCCUCACGAUCACAAUCACGAUCAUGAGGUAGAGGAAGAACAAGGUUUUAACACUAGUCAAAUUUGUGUAUCUAAUUGCUCAACUAACUACCCUUGUACUAACUGUAAUCUUACAGGUGCUUAAAGCGCCACUUUAACUCUUCUAAUUAGUUCAAAUCAUCUGUUGAAUUUUAUGACGGAAGAUUUAAGCAUAGUAGUGAUGGCCACUCUCCUGUUGCUAGACGCCAUCUUUGGCAACGGCUUUUUAUGGCCACCUUGGAAAUCCCUAACAUGCCUAACACUUUUCGUCUAAACGUUACCCUGAUGAAGAUAAUUUUGAAAAGUAUCUAAGCAUACGUGACCAUUGAUCUUUCCCAUUACAACUUUAUUACUUUUGUGCUCCACACGGAAUUGUUUAGUAAUAAUUUGUCGACGAGGCUUAAUACGUAUAUAUAAAUUGACAAGCAUUAAGGCUAAAAAGUAUAUAUAUAUUUUUAAGUAUAAUAUAAAAGUUUAGCGGCGAAUAUGAAAAUCAUGUACAUAAAUGGAUUAAUACAAUGAGUUUUCAAAAGCUAAAUGAGUAUUGAUAGUUUAUAUGUUGUCUCAAUAUAUUGUUUUGUCCUCAUUUCUUCAUUUGCUAGAUAUCAUAGUGUAGACAAAGUACUCUAUCAAAUCUCGUAUAUCAUCUCUAUCCAUCACAAUGAGAGACUUAAGAAGUGAGCUCAUUGAAUGUUAAGUACUCAAUAUGUUUAUGUUUUCUAAUUUUCAUAUUGAUAUUUAUUUUAAUAGACAAUCAUAAGAUUGAAUGUGAUUAAUUUAAAUGUAGUUGAGGUCUUAAAGCUUUAGGAUGAUUAAAAUGCAACUAACUGUAAUUGACUUAGGUUUUGUGGCUGAUUUAAUAAAUCUUAUUCCAAGUAUGUUUUGUCCCCAACACUAUCAGUUAGCUAAAGUUGGAUCUUAAUUAGAUCUGGUUAGCUCAACUAUAUAUUAAAUAAGACACAGUUGACCUAAUCUCAGGAAUGAGUAACAAAGUCUAUGUCAACAUGACCAGCUCAUACAUCUGAUGGCCAUUUAGUUGGUGAAAAGCUUAGGCAUCAUUAUACAUUAAGCUUUCCAACAAAAAUGGCGAGGCAUAUUCAUGGAGGCUACAAUCUAUCCGAGAACAAGCAUGAAUUUUGAUAAAUUGAAGGGUUGGGAAUUGGGAUGGAUAUGAACGACGACCAAAUUUGCUAGGUUUCAUUUUGAACUUACAAUUAAAUUGAUAGGAAACAACUUGCAUUGACCAAGUGGUACUAUAUUGCUUUUUAAUAAUUUCUCUGGAUUUGGUGGGUAUUUCAUAAUGCACUAUUGGAAAACGGGCUUAAUAUUAUCUGAAAUGUGAAUACCAGAAAAUGGUGCCGAGUACUGAAAAUUAGCUGAUGGUUGUGGCUUCAGGCAAAUCCGAGAACUUCUUCCAGAGUAUGUUACCUCAAGGAUGUUAUUGAUUCACUUCCCGGAAAGGUAUCCACUUAACAUCCUGCGGCAUGUGCACACAUAUACUCUUAUCCAUGAAAUAUGCUCAUUUUGUCUUUACCUAAAUUUUAGCUAUCUAUUUAGGGUUUAAUUGUAUAGAAAAUUGGGGAUUGAUUUUUAUAUCCUAAAAAAAUCAUUUAAUUUCAUGGCAUAUAAGCUUUAGGAGUGUCUGAAUUGAGUAGUGAUAGAAUUCAUUAAAAUCAUGAUUAUUUUAUUUAUUAGAAUAAAAGAGGAGACGGAGCCAGACCAGGCGGGGUCAACUCGGACCCCUAUCUCUUUCCGGUUGGGCCUGGCCCAACUCUUUUCUCUCUUUUCUUUUCCUCCGCGUAGGCCGGCCCAUGAUCCUUUUUCCAGGCCCGGCUCAGGUGUUGGUGUGUUUCUCCUUCACGCCGCUCACGCCUUCUGCAAAAGGAAGAGCGACGGAGGCAGAGCAGGAGGAAAGCAGGUGGCGGCGUGAUUCGCGGGGGUCAGGCCGACCUGUAACCUGGCAAUGGCAGACACCAUGCGCGCUUGCCGGUUUCCCUUAAAAGCGGGAGAGGGAGCGCGAGUAAAAGAGGAGGCUCACUCACUGGAGACAGAGAGAGAGAGAGCGGAGAGAGAAACCGAGAGUAAGAAACUUUUUGUCCGCUCGCUUGAAGCACCCUCGACCUUCGUGGGAAGCGAACUAGCGCGUCGCCGUUCGUCACUGCAAACUCCCGAACCAGGUUACCCCGGAAAGGUCCUGCCUCUUCCUUGCUUAUUGAGUUUGAGAACGUCAAACCGAACCGACGAGAUUUUGGGCAAACCGUACAAAACCCAAACUGAUUUGUUGCCACUAAUGUUGAUUCAGAGCUCAAUAUACUGGGUUUAAGCCACGAACGACGUUAAAUCUGAAUCUGAAAGUGGUAUGUCGAAUUGCACAUCAACUUUUUGACAAAAUGCUUGAAUGAAGCCCCGAAUUGGAGUUCAUAAAAUUGAUGCUUAAAAUCUUUGUGUUGCGCUCAGUUUGUUCUAAUAUUAUUGCAUUACUAAAUCUGGGUUUCUCUUUGAUUUUGUGACAUAUCAUUUGAUGCACGGGUCGGUCGUGAAUAACGUCUUCACGCCGGAAAAUCCACAGCCCUCGCCGGAGAAGUCCGCGGUUAGAGGCCGCCAUAGUCGGUCUUACUUUUAUCUCGGUGUGCAUAUACAUGUUUGGUUUGUUGGGAGGGCUUUCGUUUUGCAAUCGGCAACGUUAGGUGUUAACAUCGAGUCGAUUAGAGUUCUGGCGUGAGUUAGUUCAAUGAAGUUUCAGUAUUGAGUUCGUCGAAGAAAAAGCCUUGGCGAAGAAGAUCUCGUCGUGCGAGACCGCCAAAGAAGAAGACGACGCACAGCGAAAAAAAGAGAUUAAAAAAAUCAGAAGAGAACCGAAAAUUCGGAUCAAGUGGCCACGUCAGGGAGUUGUGGGUAAAGAAUAGAAUGGGCCUUUUUUGAGUGAACGGGCUAGAUGAUUUUUUUUUUUAUAGAAGAUGGGCUUGAGAUAGUUUUUCUUGUGAGGGAUAUGGGCUUGUUACAGUUCUAGUCGAUCUGGGCUUUAUUUAGUUUGAAUACACUGGGGCUUGAAUUAUUGUAGAGGCUAACCCAUCAAAUUCAAGUCGGGCCAUACUAGGACUGGGCCCUAGGGCCGGUCCGAUUUCGGACCCAACCUGGACCGGUAAGGUCCGAGUCAGACAACAAUCGGACCGGUAUCUCUGACCCGAGCCGAGUCACAUAUUCCAGAAUUAAAAAUUCAAAAAUUAAUAAAAAAUAUAAAUCAUUAAAAUAAUUAAAAUUCAAAAAUGUAAAAAAAGUAAAUACAAAAAAUUAUAAAUUGCUUAAAAUAGGUAUUCAUGAAAUUUUUAAGUUUUAGCAUUAGAUUUAGUUUAGUUUCAUUUAAUUAAUAUACAUGUAGCAUAGUCCUAGUGGAGUAUCAUUUUGAAAGAAAUUAAACUUGAUUUGAAUAUAGGUCAUGGGGAUUAUGUCCUAGGGCUUAUAACGUGGCCAUAUAUAUUCUUUGCUUGGCUUGUAUUAGGUUUUCUUUUUGGCAUUUACUUUAAAAGUCAUUUCAAUACUUGAGUGCUUGUUUAACGUACUGUUUUUCAAUAAAUUGGUUGUUUAUCGCUUUCUUAGAAUAGGUUAGGAUUAAUUUAGACUUUGAGGAAAAUGAACCCUACAAAAACAUUUGCAUGAUCAUUUAGCAACUUUGAUGCCUUUAGGACUAUAAUUGGCAAUCAAGACCAUGUGACCACUUAAGUAAUGACCUUCUAAGUUAGAGGUACUGAAAGGGCGCUAAUAGACAUUGGCGUAAUCAAGUUCCUGACUCUAAAAUUUUUGGUUGCGUAGGAAUCGAGAUGAUACUCCAGCAUUUCGAUUGGUUUCUAAUUGACCUCAAUAGGCUAAUGACGAUUCUUAGAAAUAUUUAGGUUGCUAAGAAUUAAAAAAGAAAAAGAAACAUGGCACGAGGUAUGAGCUUGGGAGAGCACACCCUUAGUAAAGGGCCGUUGACUUGAAUUAGGCAAUACCCUAAAUCUAUUUAUUUUCCCUUCCGAACAGAAAGGGUAGGUUGCGAUAGUUUUUUUUUUUUUUUUUGGCCAAGAAGAAUCCAACUCUUCUUUUUGUAUAUUAUGCUCCUAUCAGAUACUUCGCAAUAAUUGAACGAUUCUCUUUUAAUACUACUACAUAAGCUAUUCACCACACAAUAAUAAUAUCAGCUGCAACUUGGUCAUGUAUAUGUCUAGAUGAUCACCAAAAUCUUUCCACCAUAGCUGAAACAGCUUUUUACACCUUGUUAGUAAGUUUUCUAAUAAUAUUGCCCUCAAAAUUUUGAUUGAAGGUUUUAGAGAUUAAUGAUCUCAAAGCCUAGACUUUUGUUACACUCUAGGGGUCUUAGGCUUCGCCCCGAUGGAUGAGGGACCUAGGCCCUAACGCCGGGUAUCUAGGCACGGGUACUGAGGUCUUGUGCUCGGCCUUGAUGGACAAUGCUCUAAUUGUCGAAGAUCCAUGCAUGGACACCAAAGUCCAAAGCCUAGCCUUGAUGGACCUAGGCUCCUGAGUUUAGGCUCUAGGGAUCCAGUCACAAGUAUUGGGGUCCCAAGCCUCGGUUCGAGGGCCUAGGCAUGAGCACGGGCAGUUAUGCAUGGGCAUCUACGUACCUAAUUUCAAGAGGGCUAGGCCUAGGAUCUAGUGUCUGUGCUUAGCCUUCCGCUUUCUUAUACACUAGUCAAUAGCAUUCGAAUAGUGCAUGUCGAUUUAUUAAAAAAAAAUGUAGGUUAUUAUUUUCAAAUGAUAGAAAGUAAUUUCCAAUUUAUUUCGGAUUUCAGUUAAGUACUAGGAAAUAUUAUCAUUUUUCAAGAAAAUGAGAUAUUUGAAAUUUUUCUAAAAUCGUCGAAUUUUUCACGAAAUAAAUGGAGCUGUAAUAUAAUGUUGGCUUGAAUAGAGAUGUAGUGCCUAGUUUUCUUGAAGUUUUUUUGGAGACCUUUCUUUGGUGAUGGGAAGAACCCUCUUGUGAAAUUAUGGUCUUAGUAACACAUAACACCUUUCCAGGUGAACUGACUAUUUUGCCCUUAUUAUGUCACAUGUGCUGAAUUUGUUAUAAUGGGAAAUCGGAGAUAGAAUUCUGGCUCAAACGUCCUCCCAUGUGAAAAAGCAGACCUAAUGAAGUAGAAAAGAAAUGAUCGAACAUUGACUGAGACAACCAUGAAAUUACAAGAGGCAGGCAAAUUAUAAUUAAACCAACUGCUUGUCGUGCCAAACAUAAUAGUGAGAACAAGCAUUUUAGAAUGAUGAUCAUCCUUAUUUAUUUUCAUAAUCGAGUAGAAAAGGUAGUGUUUGGGUUCAAUUUAGUUUCGCUUUUUUAAUAAACAAUAUGAUCUCUUUAUACUUUUGUUUGUUUUUUUUCUUGUUUAGCUAAAAAUUUGACUAAAUUUUCCCCAUUAUAUUGAUUUUUAUUGAAAAGAUGUUUUAGCAAUACAAUUAGUCUGAGUUCGGCUGUCAACUCAAGCUAUUUUUUGCAUGGGACCCCAAACUUGUUUAACCCAAACCAACAAUCUGAUUACGAUUUAUUAGGGUUUGGGUUGACUAGGAAUUUGAAACCCAACUUGCUUUUCAAUCGAGGGUAUUGUGAUUGUUUAGUUACAUUGAAUAUUAUAUGCAUAAAUAUAUUAUGAGCAAGACUUUGCAAAGUAGGUUGGAGUAUAUAUCACGAGGGUGUAGUGAUUGAAUAAUCACAAGAUCAGGUAUAUACAACCGACAAAUUAAGUAAUUUGUCUGAAAAUGGAAACUUGGUUCCCUUUUGGUUAGAUAUUAUAAUUUGUGUUGUUUAGUGUACUAAGACCAUCAUAAGCAUAUAUAGAAAAUAAUUAUGUUUGAUGUUGAUCAAGAAACUGAAACACUCAUUGUAUAGAACAUUAAUAUCCUUCCAAUAUCACAUUACUACGGACUCCUUAUAUUUCUUUAUUUGAAUUCACAUGCAGAAAGGGGCUCUCAGGCCGGAGAAGAGCAAUGUUCAAGUGUUGAAACACAAUUCAAGUCGUAUGUCGAAUAGAUUCGAAAACUGUCGAAUGCAAUCUAUGACGGCUUGGUACCUAGACUUGUUCUUCCAUACCAUCACAUUGGCAAUGGAUUGAUGUACAGAGAAGUCACAUGCUUUUUAUAUAUGGUUCCGACACGAGUGUGGAGAUCCUUUUCAUCUUGACAAACCACAUGCAUGGCUCGUGUAAAAUUGAGAAAUCGCACUAGGAGUAGCUUGGGGACAACAGUCGAACAGCGCAACCCUUCGUUAAUGUCCUUCCAUGCAUCGGCCACUUGUUUAUGGAGUUCCUCCUUAACCUCUUCCUUGCGUUGCAGAUAUUUUGAAUAUAGUCUAAACCAUGACUUUUCCUUAAGCCAAAUCGAGUUUUGAAAAAGAAUUUCUUAGAAAUUGUUAUUUUUGGGAAACAUCACAUGUACCAAAGCACUUUUUUGAAAGAUGCAAUUUGAAAAGGCCAAUUGUUCAACAACAAAAAUCAAAACAUUUAAAACAAUUUUCAUGAAGAUAGCAUGGCCUAAUUUUGUGCACAAACUAACUUAAAAGGUAUAAUUAAAUAAUCGCAAUCAUGUUUAUAUUAGGAAAUUUAAGAACAAAUGUGUAAGGAUAGCAAAAUUGGGCAUUAUCUAAUGACACAAUUUGGCAAUGACAAAAUUCCAAUGCAUGAUAUGAUGAUAAAAAAAUUUUGUGAAGAAAUUUUUCUUAAACAAUCUACACAUGAUUUUACAAAAAUCAAACAACAAGCAACAACCCAUCAGAAAUUUGUCAAAACAAUAGGACAUUCAGAUAAUGUCGCGAGGAUUUGUCCUGUCAAAAUAUGUCUAAAAAUCAUCAAAUUUACAUACAACAUAACCAACAUGAUGACAAAUUUUUUUUUAUUAAGAGGCCAAGUUUAGAUUCCAAAUAGAAAAAAUGAAACAAAAAUAUCAAAUGUCUGUCCAAAUAAGGGUUAGAACAGGGGGUCCGAAUUUGAUCGAUUGUCCAGAUUGUGAUAUAGCUUUGAAAAAAUGGAAAAUAGUCCAAAUGAUAAGCGAUUACAUGAAAUUAGCGGCAUUAGAAACUUCUAAGUGUGCCCUACGUCUUCCUAGAAGAGCUCAAGUCCAAAUUAGGUCAAUUUGAUAUCCUAAGAUCGAGAUCUCUAAAAGUGUGUGCAUUAGUAACUAAGAAAAUAGAACAUAAGCAUUCAUUAGAAAACCUUAAAAUCACUUAAAGAAUGCACAAACGGCAUGAAAAAAUCACAUGGGAUUUAGAAUUGAAUGCAAUGGAAAGUUUGGAUAGUCUUCUAAUUUUAAGUCGGCAUGCAAAAUGUCAUACAAUUUAAUGACAUUAGGAGAUGAUUCAUGAUUCCUAAUGGUAUGCUUAGGAAUCUUAAGUGUGAUGAACAUUUUUUGUGAGACGAAUUUAAUGUGUAAGAUGAUACUCAAAGAAUAUGACCUACAUAUAAACAUGUAAGCGCAUCUUGCAACAUGCGGUUCAAUUAUCGAGAAGGCAUGAUCGUAAGAUUUGAUUCCUAGAUGACUCAAAUAAGCAUGGAAAUAUGCACAUAUGAUAAUGUUUCAUUUCAGCAUUAAGUUUAUAGAACAAGCAUGAUUUUAGCUAUCCUCCAGACAUGCAUAACUCCUACAAAAAAUCUCUCAUACAGAGCAUGCGAUAUGAAAAUUUAUUGUUAAGAGUUCAAAACUCAGUUAAGAUCAAAUGAGUUGUGGCAAAAAUGACAAAACUGACAAACUAUAUGUCUAGUAUAUUUUGCUGCAGUGACUUUUACUCUAAUGCAUGCAAUUGACUCACUUUGCCAAUGUAAAAAUCUUGCAAAUCAUGCAUCAAUUGAACAUAUAUAUCAUGUAUUUCAACUCUCAUGAAGGAUUUGAGACCAAAUAUGUGCAUUUAUGAACUCAAUUUCAUCAAAAACAAAAUUUGGACCAAUGCAGGAUAGACUCACCUAUACUCAGAGCUAAGCGAUUUCGACCUAGCUAAACAUGUCUAAAAAUUUUGAAAAAAAAAAUACAAGACAUGCAUAACACUUAUAAAAGCAACUUUCCUGAAGGAAAGUUGUUCCAGAAUUCAACACAAAAAUCAGUACAAAAAUAACAAAAUCAGAUAUCAAUAUGGAAUAGAUUAACCUAGGCUUACAUUUGAGUAAAUUUGACCUAGUUGAACACAUCCAAAAUCAUGAAAAAAUUACAGAAGAUGCAUAAGAUGAUUUGGAACAAAAAUCAUGAAAAAAAUUUUGUCAAGAAAUGACCACAAAAGUCGGCACAAAAAUAAUAAAGCCAGAGGGUGGAACAUAAUCAGAAUCGAAAUGACUUAAACUACUGCAUAAUCGUUAAUUUUCGGAGGUGUUUUUCGAGGGUCAAACGAUGCUCGAUUGGGGCGUGCAACCUACCGUUUCGAAGCUUGGAACGUCUAUUAUAUAAUUCUAAGAGGACUCAAGUUGAAAUGAGCUUGUUUUGGAUCUCAUUUUGGCCAAAACAGUGACCUAGGUAUAGACCUACGAAAAUCACAAAUUUAGCUCAAGAACACAAUCAUUAUUCAAAUCAUCCACAAAUCAUUGCACCAUUCAUAAUCAUUGAUCUUAAGCAUAUAAAGACUCCUAAUCUUGAAUUCUAGCUCCGAUUGACUUAUUCGUUCUCGCUUCAUCGGAUUCGAAUUUCGAAUCAUUACCUUCGUUAUGAUUUUUGUUAAUUUCUGUCGUGAUCAAUCGAAUCAAGCCGUCGGUGUGACGACCCGAGCGGCGGUGCGCGGGGAGGAGGGAUGGCGGUGCGUCCGCGCCUCCGGUCCUCGGACGCGCCCAAGGGAAAGGGAAGGGAUUCCUCUCCCUCUUGUCCCACAUUGCUUAGGGAGGGGUCAUGGGCCUUGUAUAUAAGGCUUGGGUUCCUUUAAUUGUGUGACGCGUUUUAAAGCCGUGAGGACUCAGUGUCCAAAGCGGACAAUAUCACACAAGUGGGACCCGGGAUGUUACAAAUGGUAUCAGAGCCGACUCCCGACAGCGUGUGGGGCCACAGCGAGGACGCUGUCCUCCCAAGGGGGGGGAGAGUGUGACGACCCGAGCGGCGGUGCGCGGGGAGGAGGGAUGGCGGUGCGUCCGCGCCUCCGGUCCUCGGACGCGCCCAAGGGAAAGGGAAGGGAUUCCUCUCCCUCUUGUCCCACAUUGCUUAGGGAGGGGUCAUGGGCCUUGUAUAUAAGGCUUGGGUUCCUUUAAUUGUGUGACGCGUUUUAAAGCCGUGAGGACUCAGUGUCCAAAGCGGACAAUAUCACACAAGUGGGACCCGGGAUGUUACAGUCGGAUCAUGAUCGAAACUUCAAGAAUGUAGAUCAAACCACUACGGAUCAGAUUGAGAUCAAUCAAACCAUCAAUUCAAGGAAAAAAGGAUGAAUCGAUCCAAAAUGGACCAGCUUUGACUCCCUGGUGAAGAUUGGGCUGCUGGUGAAGAUUUGGCAACCAUUCUGGUCUCCUCUGUCCACUGCAAAGUCAAAGACCUCUGGUACUAUUGAUCAUCAAUAGCUUGGAUGCUUGGGGGCUCCGGCGACCACCGGUUUGAGUCUAGAACAAAACCGAUCCAAGAGAUGGAUUGAAACUUGGAGAGAGAGAGAGAGAGAGAGAGAGAGAGAUCUGUUUGGGCGAGAGUUUAGAGGGAGAAAAGAGAGGGAGAAUAAGGAGAGAGAGAGUUUUCAUGCAAAAUGAAGCCCUCAGCUGAAAAUGGAAGACAUUUCAUUUUAUACUCUUCACAUUUAGCGAUUUCGACCGUUGGUUCGACUUGACGGUUGAAAUUUUGAUCCAACAGUCAAAAAUCCAUUUCCAGGACUCCAUCAUGAUCUCGAGGUGUUGAGUAACUGAUCUAGUGGGUUUGAUUUGAAAAAAACUUAGCCAAAAUUGGGAAUUAUUUCAAAAUGUCCAAUUAGAGGUUAAUUUGCAAUUUGAUGAAAUUCGAGAACCAAUUUGUAAAAUUUUGGGAAAUUGAAGGUGUAGAAGUGAAAUUGGCAUUGAGAGGGCCGAAGGCCAAGAACUAGCCGGCAAGGGCCUAAAUCGGCCAGUUCCGCCGUCGGCAGGCCAGAUCGGUUGAACCGAUUCGGUCUAAUUUGAUCGAAUUUUGAUCGGUUCUUGAUUGGUUUGAUUCGGUUCCUACUAUUUUUUCCACUUAGGACCCCUAUGGAUAAAAAAAUUAUGCCAUUUGGCCCCUAAAAAACCAAAUUGAAAAGGAAUUUUAUCAUUUUUAAGAAGAAAUUGGCCAAUUAAGAUGCAAUUAAGCUAAUCAAACCUUAUGAACGUGAUCUAGGGGUCUUUUAUUGACCUAAUUGAAUGAUUAUUAUGAAAAACAAUGAGACAAAAUCAUGGGUGCUUUGAAUUGGGCUUAAAGGGCUAAAAUGGUAAAAUUUACAAUUCAAUGGGCAAAAUUGCAAAUUAACUAAAAUUGAACUCAAUUAGUAUCACAAUUGUCCUAUCUAAUGAGCUACCCAUAUGUAAGAUCACUUAUCAUAUUCAAAUUGACCUUGAAUCGAAGCACUCAAACUUAAGUCAAAAAAUGGAUCUAAGCCUAAUAUUAAAAUUAGACCUAGAUUCAUGAAAUUAAACCAUAGCCAUAAAUGAGUCAAUUGGAAUUUUGUUGAUUGAAGCUUAAUUGCUUGAUUUUCUAAUGCAUGGGAGGAUAAAAUUAUUCAAAUUGAUGAGUUCUAGUGUGAAUUUCCCAAAAUUGAUUUUAGAUUUGGAUUUAUCUCAAGAAAAUGAGUGAGAAAUAAUCGUCCAUUCACAAGUUAUGAAUGAUCGAUUUUAGUUCCCUAAUUAGGCUUCAAAACGGUAAUUCGUAUUUUGACUCGAUAAAUCACGAAAUUGAAUGUUCAAGCAGAUUUUAGAUAAUCCCUAAACCAAAUGUCAAAGAAUGAACUACACCUAAUUAUGACUAGAAUAAAAGUAAUUUUAUUUUUGCUCGAUUUAAAACUUAAAACUGAAAAAUUCAGAAAUCAAGGUUUUUAAUCGAAUUUUGUGAAAUUUUUUACACAAAAGUCAAAUUGGCAUUAAAAUAAAUAUAUUUGUGCAUUUUUUCAACCAUUUAAUUAACUUUUCUUAAAAUGUUAAUUUUUUGGUCAAAUAUUUGAAUUUUCAAGAAAUCAAUUUGACAGAAGUGAAAUUAAAGCUAAAUGGAAUUUUUUUUAUAGUAAAAAGUCAACUCUUUGACUCGGGUUGACUUUUGGUCAAAGGGUUGAUCAAAAAGUCAACCCGAAAGUCAACCAUUUGACUUUUUGGGUGUUUCUUGAAAAUGAGCUAAAAAUUGCUUAAAAACAAUAAUGCAAAAGAAAUAAACGAAAAACGAUACUUUUUAAUUGAGACAUGGGGUUUCGUCGUGAUUAGAAACCUAAAUCUCGAUUUUUUACCUUUUAAUGAUGUAUCGACUAAAAUUCAGGUGUCAACAAUACAUGGUUAUCUCUUUUGUAUUAUUGUAGGUCCCGUUUGGUUCAGCAUUCCCAAGGGGCUUUCAGGGCUGAAAGCCCAUUGGGAAAAAAUUUAAGUGUUUUGUUCAGUAUUUAGAGGUGUCGUUGGCCAAAUGCUAACCUUUGUAAUGCAAAUUCACAUCUACUAUUCAUACAUUGAUUUUUUUUUUUAAACCGAUCAUCUUCUCUACACCCCCAACUGCCAUUGAUCGGUGACGGAGUUUCAUUGGAUUUUAUUUUUAUUUUUUAAAAAAUAAUAAAAACCCUUUGCAAAUGUUGGGUUUACCUUUUUUUUUUGUCAUUUUUAUCUUUUGACAAUCAAUAGCCCAACUUUUUAUCAAUACACUAGAAUGAUCAUUAAUUAAUGAAGAUGAUUAAUACUACAAUAAUUAAAAAAAAGUAUUCAAAGUUGAAAACAAACCUAAAAGAACUCUAGGCCCAAAGUUGAGCUUUGCAUUUAAUCUAUAAUCAAAUUCUUUUAAUAUAAUUUUUAAAUAAAUUUACUAAUAUAUAUUUUUUACAUUACUCUCAAUAUGAAAAUGUAAAAUGUUAUAUAGUCAUUGUUUCUUUUUUGCAAUUUUAAAAAUACUAAAACUAAAAAACUUAAUUUGGUCACACUAAAGGGCUUUUCAAAUAUAUGUUUACCAAACGGUUUUGCAUUUCCCUAAACACUUUUUAGUUAUAGUUUACCAAACAGUCUAACAUUUCGAAAAACCCAUUUACCUCAAAGGUAUUUGCAUUCUCCCAAUAACAUUUUCCCAAAACCGAACCAAACGAGCCCGUAAUAAGAAUCUGUUGUCAUAUGUUCUGGAUCCCCUUUCUGAAUGUUAUAGUUAAUUCUAAGAGGGAUGGGCUAAACAUCCUCCAUAACAUCAUUUUGCCUUGGUAGCUCGAGGGUUUUAGGGAUAGCCUCUUCUGUAUCUUCUGCUAUUGAGUCUUUUUGAUAGAACACUUUCCAAAAAGGGCUAUGUUUUGAGGUCUCAUCUUCUAGCCAACUUCCAAAGCAUCCUCCCAACUUUGUUGUGGCUUUUUCUUCAUCAUGAGGCAUAUCUUUACAAUAGUUGGCAUAAUGUCUAAUUUUACCACAUGAGUAACAAAAGAAAGGCAUCCUUUCAUAUUUGAAAUUAAGCCAUACUUUAUUGUUUCCAUGUCGCAUCAAUUGUCCAACUCUCAAUUCAGCCUCCACAUCUAACUCCACUCUUGCUUUCUCAAUUUUUUGGAAUGUGGGACCUUGUGCAUCUAUUUUCACAUCCAAAACCUGUCCCAUCGAGCUGUCAAUUUUCUUGAUCAUCCCUUAAGAAUUCCAUUCCAAUGGGAGCCCAAAUAUUCUGACCUAGAAGGCACAUUUCUUGAAGUCAUAAGAGUGGGGAGGAGUAUCCCGCUCCCAUGAUUUUUUUUUUCACGCUCCCAUGAUUUUAAUAGCAAUAAAUGAUUAGAAAAAAACCAAGGACCUCCCUCUAUUGCACGGUUCUUAUCCCCUUUGUUCCAAAAUACAAAGCUGAUUUUUCCAUUUUUAAGGGGUUUUUCUUCCACAUUCUCAUUUCUCCAUGCCUUUUUCAUAGCUAUUAAAAGGGCUUGGAAAUUAAUGCUAGGGUUCUUAUAGAGUUGCCCGGCAAGGGAGAAACGACAUUCCAGAAUUUUCUCUUCCAAAGGUUCCUCAUCUAGAAUAUGCAUAUAAUUCUCAUACAUUAACUUACCCAAUUUCUUGUAGAGAUGAGCCAGUCGUCCCACAGCACCUUCCUCUUUAGCCAUUUUCACAUGAAUUCUGCAACUGGGACUCUCGCAUUGAAGGGCCUGCGAGCUUUACCCCAUUCUUCAAAGAUGGAGGACAGAACGGCGAUAGAUCGAACCCGCCAUGUAGAUCGACAUCAGAUGGCGAGAGUGGCAAUGAAAUAGUAAAGAAACUGUUGAGGAUUCCAACAAGAUUCAAAAGAAGAAUAAAUACUGAAGUUGCGAUUACAACGGAAUAUGGAAGGAAUAGCAGAAAUUUAGGGCAAAGUUAUGGUGGACUCAAUUUACACAGUGGGCAUAGGUAAUACUUUUUCUCCUGUAGAGGUUUUCUGUAGUGGGUGAUGCAUCAUGGCAUAUAUUUCAUAGGAAAAAUUCUAGUUUGGCUGGGGUACCCUCUAACCCCCAUUUUUUCUUUACUACCCUCUAACCCCAUUAAACCGUGCAACAAUUUUGUUAAAUAUCUUUUGAAAUUUCAAUUUUCCCCCUUCCCGCUUUUUUGUUUUAUUUGUUUGCGGGAAUUUCCCUUUUUCAAUCUUCAACUAUCUGUUGUUUACUUCUACUAGUGUUGGACCACGUGCGUCGCACAUGACCUGGUGAUGUUGGGCUAUAAUUUAUCAUGCCCCAGGACUCUGCUCUUGCCCUCUUUUUGUUAGAUUCCUCUCUGUUUCUGUACGCCUUCUUGUCUUCACCUUGAGAAGUUAUAGUCGAUCUUCCUUCGCUGAACCCUCCCACUUACCUCUCUUUACAUAACGCUUCUCUUCUUUGGGUGAAUAUAGCUGAGAGGAUCGGCCCUCAGAUGGGAUCCGAUGGAGGCCCAACUCUAAUCACCAUCCUCGCUUUGGCUGUAGCGAGAGUGUAAGUGCUCUAACAACAACAACCCAGAUGGACUCAGUUCAACAGCAGGUGGAGGCUAUGUGGAGUUCAUUGAUUAAUGAAGUUUCGUGAAGACAAUGGGCUAGCCUGUCUAUGGGCAAUCAAUGUCACAAAUAUUGUUAGCCUAUUCAAGUCCUAACAAUUGCAGGAACCUCAAAGAAAACAUGGGAAGCAAUGUUUUAUAAGGACCGUUGUCUUCCAAAAGUAUCAUGUGAACCACAAAAAAAAAUCGUCGUAGAAGUUGAAUAACAAUAGGACGAACUUACCCACUGGUGGACAGUUGAAUUGGUUCAGCUUUGGGCACUUCACCGCAAAGGUCCUAGGGUCGAAACUUCGUAGCUGUUAACAUGUCUUAAGUGAGGGGUCAUGGUGGUGGGGUCCUAUGCUAGCUUCCCUCCAAGUAUUGACGCUUGGUCCGAGGUGCACCACGCACCACGCAUUGUACGGGUCAUGGGUUAGCAAUUAGCGUAAGCGAAAGUAGGGCCCGGUGGAUCCUGGGUCACAAAAAAAAAAAAAAAAAACAAUAGGACAUACUUUGAUCUGUUACUAUUUGAUUUCCACAAACAGCUUGAAUGGCCUCCCGCAAAUCCUUCUCACUGAGCUGGAGAUUUCGAACUAAUUGCUGCCCAAUAUCUUCACAGAAACAAAAUCAUUUUUUUCUUGCACUUCCGAGCAUUGUCCAAAAGGGAGGCAAGAUGUGUGCCCAUUAUAGGGCCACUAGCAUCGCACAAAACCUGGUGCAAGGUCACAGAUUGUUACCAAACCCCAAAUAUCCUCUGGAGAAAGACAAAAUUGAAUUGAAAAACAAACUUAUAACUGAAUACAUGCCUUUGGUUGUUGGGAUAUGAAAUUGUCCACAGCCUGCAGAACUGAUGUGUUGUGAAGACCAGCUUUAGUGAGAAUUCUCCUGGCUAAACCAUCCUUUUGCUCCAAAAGAGCUCUCAUUAGAUGCUCAGUUUCCACCACUUGUUGUUUGCAAACUUGAGCUGCAUCAACAGCAUCAAUAAUGCUCUCCCAGGCCAUCUCAGUGAACUCUGAUGGAUUCGUCUGAGUCGAACAAAGUCAGACUUCAAGUACAUCCAUUAGAAAAAACAUAACAAAUGAAACAGGCAGACUUCUCUUCCAGAAACUCCAACUAAAGGAUGACGAGGAAAAAAUUGCCAGGUCAAUCCUGCUAUAUUAAACACAAAGGUCCAGUAAAUAUGAGAUGCUUACUCGGUUGGUAAGUAACCUUUGAAUGUUUAUCACAUUAAACUCCAGUCCACCAUAUCUUGAACUUUGAAGGAAAUCAAAGGCAAACAUGCCAAGUACAGAUUCAUCAUCAAAACACGAAAAAAUUAAACAGCCAGCUUUAUACUUUGUAUGUUGAAAAUCAGACACUUAGUUUUAACUCAAGGACCGUGUUAACUUGUAAAAUCAAGGAACUGUCGCCUCCCCUGCUAAGAAAAUGUAAUAGCCACCAUGUGUUAGGCGGACCUUCAUAAGCAAAAGCUCACGGAAGAUGGGGAAGUUGAAUGCAGAAUUUUAGUAGAUUUGCAGCUCAUAAUUCUCCAAAUUAUACCAUAAAGAACCAUCAAACGAUAUUUUUAAUUUAACAUUCAUUGCGAAUACAGCCAAAAGUAAUGCACUUUAGUGAUACCGGAGAAAAGUUUAUUUCGUUAAGCUUAUGAUGUCUACAUCGAACGCCCCAUACAUCUCUAUUCUAUAACUGCAGAACCUAGAAAGAUCAUUCCCGGAGGCGACUGUAGUCACAACAUAGCACAAAAAGCACCAAACUUUAAGUCCCAAAAGCUUCAGCAACACCAAAAGAAGAUAACGGAAAAAUUGCAUUAAACUCUAACAGCAAAACCUCAAAUAAAAUGGAAAUGUCAUGGGCUCCUAGCAUCAAGCCGACGCUGAGCGACAAAAACACUUCAAGAUCACACCUUUCAAUUAUAUCACAAAAUACCCACAUUCACAUAAUGAAAUUUGAUCGAAUUCCAACCUGAGACGCGCUCGCGGCGGUCGAGUAAGCCUGAGAGGGAAGGCCAGAGCCUCGCGAACCGAUGCUGACGACGCCGCAGAGCUCGACGGCCUCGGCAGAUACCAAGGUGAGGACAUUAGCCUCACGAAGCGGUGGGCCGGUCAGCGGGUGAACAGAGUUCCCGAAACCAGGAGUGGAGCCGGAGAGCGAGCGAGAGCGGUAGAGGACAGAGGCGGCUCCAGUGGCGGCGGCGGAGGAGGAGCGUUUGGGAGGCGCCGAGGCCGCGUUUAUGGCGGCGAAGGCGGUCUUGGUGAGCUUGGAGGUGGUUCUCCUCGUGGCCAUGGAAGGAGCGCGGGAGGUUUAUGAACUGCUAUAAAAAUCUAAAUUAUAAUUAUUUUUAUAUUUCUUUUUUCUUUUUUUUUUCUUUAUUCUUUCCUCUCUCUUUUUUUUUUUAAUUAUUCCUCCUUCCUUAACCAGUGGCCAACACGGUAACGACAGUGAUCAACCAAGCAAGGCUCAAGCUUACUGGCCUCAGGUGAGCUUGAGGUCAUCAAUGAGUGGCGAGGUGCAAGCCUCACCAAUUUCUUUCUAGCGAGGUUCAAACUCACCAAAUUUGACGAGAAUCAAGUUGGUUGGCAUCGAGUGAGCCUCCAACUUGCCGAUUUGGUGAGCUUGGCGUCUGGUGAGCUAUGGCCGGCCACUGCCAGCUAAAGAAGAAUAAGAAAAAGAAAAAAUAAUAAUUAAAAUUAUUUUUAAAAAAUAAAAUAAAAAUACUAAAAAUUGAUUUUUUUUUAAAUUAUAAAAAUUGUCCAUUAAUUUAUAUUGCAUGAAAGUGUUUUAGCAAUAUCAUUUUUUUUUUUGGUAUUGCAUCAUGCAAUACAAAAGAAUGAUUUUUCACAUAUAAACAAAUAUUAUUUUCAUGUCAAUUAUUAACUUAUCAAAUUUUUUUUAUCAAGAAUUCUUCAAAAGUAUUUGAAUUUAAAGGUUUCUCACUUUUUUUUUAUUUUUACUAACUGGUUGACAAUGUCAACCAAAGGAAAGAAAGAUAAAAUAAAAAAGAAAAGGGAAAAAAGGAAGAAAAGUUGAAGAAGAAAGGGCCAAAAAUCUGAUCGCGGGAGAGAGAGCGGUGGGAGAGGUGGGGCCCAGGAGGGGGCGGAAGGCUUCCGACGCGCGGUGGAACCGGGCGACACGUGUGUCGUGUCGCCCGGUGAAAGAGAUGAGAUUUGGACGCGCUGGCCUCUCUCUCCUAUCCAAUAAAAUUUUCUCCUUCGGCCUUCGUGCCUUCCGGAUGUGCUGUCGAAGGUAAGUGUACAGCUACAUGAGAAUCGCCACCUUGUCUUGAUGCUAUAUGAGGAAAAGCCACAUUGGGCGGAGGUGAUUCCGGUUCGGACAAUACCACCACCGGCGGUUUUCGCUUUCCCCCAGGUUACGUCGACCAAGCGUAUAGAUCGCCGACGCGUGGCACAUGAAUCCGUACGGGCAAUUUUGGAUUGGGGGAGGGGGUCUCGGGCAGCGGGACGUUAAUGACAAUAUAAGAUAUGAAAGAGAGAACUUGAAAAUAGCCACUUUCCUUUUUGUUGCCUAUCUAAUCUUUUGUGAUUUGCACAUUGUUCCCUUCUUCCUAGGUGCACUAUUCUUUGACAAUUUACGUGGCAUAUAUGGAUAUUUUGUAAAGUUUUAGGGCAUGUAGCAGUAAUGGAAAGAGAGAAAAAGAUCGAAAGGAUUGAAAAAAAAAAACGUGAAGAAAAGUGAGGGCGACAAAGAUGACAAAAUAGAAUAUAUAUAUAUAUAUAUAUAUAUAUAUAUAUAGAGAGAGAGAGAGAGAGAGAGAGAGAGAGAGAGAGAGUGAAAAAAAUGUUGAACCCUAAUGUUAUCAUUCGGACUAAUGAAUUCCUCAUGUCAAACUCUAAACUUGUGGUUUCCUUUUCCCGCACGACAAAUGAGAUUGGGAGGGCAUUGUGAUCGCACCACUCCGCUUACGAUGUCAUUUUAUAUAUUUCCUAUUAUAAGAAAAGAAAAGAAGGGGAAAGGAGCAAGAACAAAAAUACAUUAGAAUGUCUUUUGUAGAUUGCAUAGUUAACAUUCCAUAACAUAUCAUUUAAAAUUCAUAAUAUUCAUUCAUUUUGUCUCCAUAUCUUCCUAAAUAAUGGUUUGAAGAAAACCCAGUGGUGAUUGAUAGUGACAUGCUUUGCUUUGGCUUAGUCAAUCUAGGUUCCUUAAAUUUUCUACAAUCUAUUUACUACUCAGAUUAUUGGAUGUUAUUUUUCUGAUCGUGCACUUGUAUAAUCACCACUCAAUUGUAAGUGGUAUGGGAUAAAAUGGAUAAAUACUGCAUGCAAAGUAUUUUCAAAAUAAUUUUAAAGGUGAAAAAGUCUCCGUAGUCUAAACAAGAUAGGCGUGCAAUGCCAAUUGGCAAAGUCUUAAUUAUUGAAUAAGCAAUUUUUGGCGUGUGCUCAUCAUCUAUGUAGCAUUGACACUUUCCGAAAGCUUUCAUAUUGUGUCCAACGUUCCGACACAUGUUUGACAUGUGUCCGACAUGCUCCGACAUGUUUUGACACGCAGUUAUCAAGUGUCGAAAAAUUUGACAUGUGAUCAACUCUCUCUGACAUGCUCUGAUACCCGAGUCUAGAAUUCCAACACGCAUGGGUCAAUUUUAAAAAUUUUCAAUACUUGAGAGGUAAAAAAUAUAAAAAUACAAAAAGAAGAAGAAGAAGAAGAAGAAGAGGUAGGGCUGGUGGUUGGGCGCUGCUGCCGGUGCCACUAUUGGAGGGGGCCGGCGAGGUGAUAGAGGGGGGGCAGUCCUCGUUGGCCCGAGCGAGGCCAUCACCAGCCAAACAAGGGUUGGUGAGGCUCGCCCAAAUCUAGGCGAUGCCUCGAUUGAGGCUCGAGUGAGGCUCGCCCAGAUCUGGGUGACGUUGCGUCCUCGCUCGGGCCCAAUGAGGGCCAACAAGGACCAGUGAGGCCUCGCCUAGGGCUGCGGAGGCUUGUUGGCCAUAGGCAUUAGCCCUAGGCGAGGGCCGGCGUUGCCCAGAUCUGGGCGAGCCUCGCUCGGGCCUCACUUGGGCAGGUGAGGGUCACCCUCCCUCUGCUGCCUCGCUAGCCCCCUCCGAUGGUGGCUAGGCACACUUUUGAUGGGGACAGCGGUAGCAGCAUGCCCAGAGACACGACUGUGGCUCUUUUUUUUUUUUUCAAUUUUUUUUAGAAGUAUUUUAUCUUUUUUAAAAGUCUUUUACUAAUGAUAAAUAAAUAAAUUUAGAAAUACCAUUUCAGCAUUUUCCUUUAAACACUGUUUUUUCCCUCUAAGUUUUAUGUAUUAUUGUAAUGAAAUAAAGUUGAAUUUGUCAAAUUAAAAUAAUGAAUGAUAUUAACAAAUGUUGAAUUUUUACCCAAAAAAAGCAAAUGUUGAAUUAAUAUAUUUAGUAUAAAUUAAUUCUAGACUCUUUUUAUUAUUAUUUAUUUAUGUUUUUAUAUAUAACGUGUUGGAAUGUGUCGGAAUUCUCUAUUUUUAAGAAAUGAUAUGUCGGCGUGUGGUGUUAUGUCAUAUAGCGUGUCCGUGUCAGUGCUACAUAGCUUAUCAUUGACAAAAAUAUGAAAUCUAUUGAUCGGUCGCCAAUUUUGUUUGACAAAUCUGUUCAUGUGAAAUAAGUUUGUGCUGAACUUUGCAAUUACUCAAUCAAUCCUCCUUGUGUUCUGGAUUUGGCAUUGUUUUUUAGUAUUCAUGCUUUGUUUCGAUUUGCUUUGUCAUGAAGAUUAUGUAUUUGUGCAUCCUUUUGAAUAAUGAAUACACUUUUUUUUCGACAAAAAAAAAGAAAAAAAAUAAGCAUUAUGAUCCACGUUACAUCUAAUUAGCUAUGGAAGGAAAGAUUAAUAAAUAUUAUACUCUUUUGAUAGAAGGUUACCUACUGUCUGCUGAAGAUUACAUCAAAUUUGGGGUAUUGGAAAACGAAAAUAAAAAUAAAAAUUGAUGUGUUGGCAUCUCACAGGAAAAAGUUGAGGCUUUUUGGUGGAAUUCUGCCUUUCGAUAAUUAGGCCGGUCAAAUAUCUAUAAUUUUGUAACAAGGAUAUAUAGGGACUCACGCUUGAAGAUUCCUGGUGGUGUGCUGCGAUGUAAGAUUACCUUGGAAUUGGUGGCACACAUUCUCUCUCUCUCUCUCUCUCUCUCUCAUGUUUUAGAGUUUUGGCUUUGACAUCCCCUGGUGUAGGAUCCCCUAAGCAUGGUUGCUAAUUCUUGCUCUACGCGUCGCGGUGCCGACAUCGCACUUUGGCCUUCUGCCUAGGGUGCACUAGGGGAUUCUCCUUCGAAGUUUGAAAGACGACCGUCGACUCCUUCCACAGCACCACGGCAAGUUCCCGUGCCCAUCUUCUACCCGUUACGCCCACCAGUAUAAAAAUGAAAAUAGCACUUCAUAUUGAUUUGUCUCAUAGGAUUAGUUCAUGAUUUGUCCUAGAACAGAAAAUGAGCGUAAAAUAGGAAAUGCAUGCACUACUAAUAGACUCUAGGGGCAUUUGUCUUUUUGUUAAGAAAAAAAACAAAAAUACAUUAAAAAGUCUCAUGCAGAUCGCAUAGUUAACAUACUAUAACAUUUAAAAUUCAUCAUGCAUGAUCAUGCAUAACAUUCAUUCAUUUUGUCUGCAUAUCUUCCUAACUUAUAGUUUGAAGAAGACCCAAUGGUGAUGGAUAGUGACAUGUUUUGCUUUGGCGUAGUGAAUCUAGGUGCCUUAAAUUUUUUGUAAUCUGUUUACCUUUUUUGAUUAUUACGAGUUAUUCUCUUGAUUGUGGAUUACCACUCAUAUGUUAGCGAUAUAGGAUAAAAUAGAAAGACGGCCUCCAAAGCAUUUUCGAAAUAAUUUUAUAAAGGUGAAAGAGUCUUUAUAGUCUAAACAAGAUAGUUUGGAAGUUGGAUUCUACUCAAACGAAGCAUUAUCAAUAGAGAAAAAAAAAUGAAAGAAAUAAAUGGCCAUUCAAAACAAUAUCAAUAAUACAUAAUUUCUCGAAUAAAAAAGUUAAUACUCAACUUUUUCUUAUAUGCUGGUUAACAUGCUUUCAUCUUUAUCCUUAUUCAACGCACUUAAUAAUAGAUAAUGAUUCGAAAUUUUCCUGUUGAAAACUAUAUAACAUUUCGACGAGGUGAUACUUAUAUUUUGAAGUAUGGAAAUUCGUAGGGUAAAACUCGUAAGUAUAAAAUCUUAUUUUAGUUUUGUUCUCUAGGUGGAUUAGUUUUUAAAAUUUGCAUUAGAUAACCCUUGUUUGCAUAAAUUAUUCGUCGUCGUUAGAAAUAAUUGACAAUUUACACAAUAUAAGGUCUGAAAUAAAAUUAGAAGGUACGGAGCGCAAAUCUUGGGAAUUAUUUUACUGAUAUUCACGGUUUAAUAUUUAUUUUUCUUAAUUAAGAUAUUUAUUUUUUUGAAAUUAGAAUGAAGAAAUUAGACCUUUCCUGUUAUAUCCCUCAAAAGCUCACUCAAGGUCUCUCUCUUCGCCACCUGUCAAUGCAGACAGAGAGAGAGAAAGAGGGAGAGAGGAGUUUUGAAGCCACAAUGAUUGCUUCCGUGCUGCGGAAAGAUCGUCUUCUCCAUGAAAUGAGAAAACCCUAAAACCCAUCGCUGUCGCUCCCCCAUAAGCUUCACUUCCCUUUCCUCCAUCUCUUCAAUUCCCCAACCACGACCACCACCAUCCCCAAAAGCUCCGCCCACCACAAGCCCACCGGUUGUUCCCCGAUGGCCUCCUCCGCCGCAGCCGCCCAUGGCCGUACCAAGGUGGUGGUCAUCAUGGGCGCCACCGGGUGCGGCAAGUCCCACCUCUCCAUCGACCUCGCCUCCCACUUCCGUUCUGCCGAGGUCAUCAACUCCGACAAAAUGCAAGUCUACCGGGGCCUCGACAUCACCACCAACAAGAUCCCCCCAGAUGAGCGCCGCGGCGUCCCCCACCACCUCCUUGGCUCCCUCGACCCGGAUGACGGCGAGAUGACCCCGUCGCAGUUCCGUUCCCUUGGCGACGCCGCCAUUUCCGACAUCACCUCCCGCGGGAGUCUCCCCCUCCUCGUCGGCGGUUCCACCUCCUCCAUCCUCUCUCUCCUGGUGGAGCGGUUCGACCAGGAGGAAGACGUGCUCGGCAGGCUCGGCCCGCCGGCGAGACCCAAGCUGAGGUACGACUGUUGCUUUCUGUGGGUCGACGUGUCGCUGCCCGUCCUGGAGGAGCACCAGUCGAAGCGCGUGGACGAAAUGCUCGACAAGGGCGCGUUUGAUGAACUCGCCGGAUACUACGACCUGCGCCGGACUGAUCCGGAGGGUUGGACCGGGCUGAGGAAAGCCAUAGGCGUGCCCGAGUUCGACCGUUAUUUCAAGAAGUACCCGCCGCCGGGGGGGGUGUGCCCGGACAGCCCGUGGCGGUGGCAGGAUGCGAGGAAGCGGGACGACGACCCAGUGCGGCAGGGUGCCUACAAGGAGGCGGUGUGGGAAAUAAAGAAGAAUGCGUGCCAGCUGGCGAAGCGGCAGAUUGAGAAGAUCCAGCGGCUGAGAGGGUGCGGGUGGGAGCUCCGUAAGCUGGACGCGACGGAGGUGGUCCAGCUGGCGAUGGCGGCCGAGGAGGAGGGAGGCAGCGGCGUCAGGUGGCAGGGCGUUUGGAAGAGGCAGGUCGUUGGGCAGAGCGUGAACAUUGUCAGGCGGUUCUUGCACAAGUAGGUGUCGUUUUCUCCUUUUUGAUUGGGGGAUUUGGUUCUGUCAAUAGUACUCGGGAACCCGAGUCAGGCAGCGGGCUCUUCUUCUUCUUAUUUUUCUUUUUUUUUGCCUUUUUCUUUUUGGGGCAUUGCCGAAAAGGUCGAAAAUGGUAUAAAAUUCAAGGAGAGUUAUUUUGCCUUCUUGUCCUGGGACUCCGGAUCGCAUGUAAGCCUGAAAAUUUCCACGUACGAGACAGGACUCGUGGUUUCGUUUCGGACACUGGCCACUCAGUUGCUCAAAACCCAUGUCGCUCACAAAUCACUAAACUAAGACCCUUAUUAACGUCUUGAUUAGGACGUGGGUCAUGAAUAGACCCUUAUUAAUAAUGGAAGAAGCUCAUUUCGGUAAUAUGCUUCUUCUAGCUCGUUUCGGUAACAAUGAUGCUUCUUCUUAUUACGUGCAUCAUAAAUUGCAAGAAAAUUGCAGCACUGAACACUAGCUAGAGUUUUGAUAACCUAGAGUCUUCAUUUCCAGAUGUGCCUUUGGACGCUAUCUAGAUGAAACACAACAGAUUAGGCGAUUUUUAGCGAUGAUAUCGGUAAAAAAGUGUUUGCAUGUCCAUGCAUUUGCUGAUUAUCCUAUUCAAUCGCUUAACAAGUGUUUCGGACCUUGAUUGGCAUGCUUCUUCCAAAGAUGAUGCUUGAAGAGUGAUCAAGAAGAUAAUAAAAGGUGUUAAUCAUCAUGGUCGGGUCGAGCCGUAAACCUAGAUGAUAAAAAGUACCUCUAGGAUUAAAGGUACCUCGAGGAUUACAACAUCUUCUUCUUAUGAUUACGGCUCGACCUGACCCUCAUGAUUACCACCUUUUGUCAUCUUCUUCCAAGAGAAAUCAAGCAUCAUGGCUACAACCCGAACCGACCAAUUGCCAUCUUUUAUCACCUUCUUCCAAAAGAAAUCAAGCAUCGGGAUUACCUUUUAUCAUUUUAGUAAUGAUGAUGCUUUGCUGAAAUGACCUUCUUCCGAAGAAAAAAGCGAAGUUGGAUUUUUGCUUUUGGGGUAGACUCGCAGGCAUUAUAACCAACGAAGUUGGACGUUAAUAACGGACGUGGGACAUAUAUAGACCUUUAUCAAUAAUGGAAGAAGCUCAUUUCAAAUUACCGUGUGGUGACCUUACCCUUGUGAUACACCACCUAGGAAUUUAACUAAUAGAUUAUUAAGCCUAAUCCUAACUCGGGCUUUUUCUAAACCUAUAUCAAUUCGCAACUUAUGAUUCAUAUUCUUAAGGUGUGUUUGGUUUAACUUUUUCAAUAAACUUUCAGCCUUUAAAGUCCCUUGAAGAAAUGCUGAGGUGUUCAAAGGGCUUUUAGUCAAAUGCUGGCUUUGGAAAAGCUAAAAAUUCAGUGCUGAUGGGGACUAAUUUUGGACUUUUAGUAUUUGAUCAAAUGUCGAAACUAUUUUUUUUUUUCAAAACUACUAUCACAAUUUCUUUUAGUUUUUUGGUUUUACCUCUUAUUGUUCUAAAACUGCCCUUACCUUCACUAGAGUCGGCAAAGAGUUUGAGAUUUUUUAAUAAAAAAGAAAAAUGAAAUCAAAAAGUCUUUAAUAAAAAAAGACCAGUCAAACACUCUUCAUGCUAAAAUUGCUUUGCAAAGGACAUUUUCCCAAAGUCCUUUAAGUCAAAGAUAUGUAUAUUUCUCCAAGGACCAUUUCCAAAGUUGAACCAAACACAACCUUAAUAGACAAAUCAUUUUCAAUAUGGAGUCGUCAUCAAUAAGUUACAGUAGGUCGAUAGUAAAAUAAUAGGAAAAUUAUUUUACUCUUACGAACUAAAGAUUCUAGAUGCAUGAAUUUUGAUCGUAUUAGAUUUCUCUAAUACUAUUUUGAUUCAUUCUUUUUAUGAAGAAUAUAUUUGACAAGCAACUCAAAUUCAUUUUAUUACUUUCUAACGUGUGAAAUAAUCAUAUAGGUGUGUAAAUCACCAAUUUCCUAAAGCUCCGGCUUUUUUUGACGGGUAAGGCGUCGCCGCAUUCCUCGAGAUCGUGGGAGAAGGAGAUUCGAGGGCUGCGCAGACCAGAGCUGGAUAUCUCCGAGAGUCCGAGCAAACGUGGAUCGCCAUCACCGGACCACUAUCCUUCUCUACUAGUUUCCCCAGAUAAGUGUUGCCUAAAGUUUUGAGGUCGGUCAGCUGGGGCCCACGGUCUCCCUUUCCCAGAUUUUCUUUUUUUCAUCUCCUCUCGAGAUAAAAUGUAAACGCCUUUCGACAUGACGUUUCCCUUUUCCCCUUUUAAUUUUUCCUCCUUUUUUGACCGUAAUUAAUUUAUUCGUAAUCAAACUCCCCGCUUUUUUAAAUAUCCACUUUUAACUUGGAUUACGAUAAUAACAAUAAUGAGAGCAAGUCCGUUGAGGCUUGUACAGUUUUUUAGUACAAAGAAAAGAGAGAAGAAAAACCAAUAAAUAUGUAUGUAUGUAUUACAUAUUAAAAGAAGAGUAAUGCUAGGCUUUAGAGUUGAUUUAUAAAAUAGAUUUACCAAGUGAUGUGUACAAUACAUUGUGUGUGUGGUUUUUUUAACAAGCGGGUUCUAAUCAUGAAUUAAGAACAGCUUGACGUAUGGCAAUUUUGUAAGCCAGGCAGAUGAGUCAAGCGAUUUUCAUGUAAGAAGGAUCUAACCACGACUCUUCUUGAUUUUUUCAUAUAAGAACACCAGGGAUUCCUUCUCCACUUUUUAAGAGUUUGUUUGAACAAAGAUGUGUCUCAAAAUGUCAACUAACUGCUUUUAUGGAUAGGUGUCUUAAUUUCAAUACUAUUUUUGUCAAGAAAAUAUCCACCAUUUUUCUUUUCGGACUUUUACAUAUGGAUUUUUUAAGUUAUGUGCAUCUAUUGCAAAGGGAAAGAGGUAAUUACACGAGUUCAAACUCAAACUUCAACUUGUUGUUCAAUUAGAAAUAACUUCACCAUCAAUUUAUUUUGUUCUCAUUUUUAUUUUCAAUGAAGUGGUUGAGAAUGUAAUAAAAUUUGUGCUUUUUCCAUAUCCUUAUUUAAAUAGACAAAUGGUUUCAUGGGAAAGUUUAUAGGAGUGGAAUUGUCAUUUUACUAUGGAUGUUAUCACUUCCAUUGGGGUCUAUUUGCAUCGCAUAUAUAUAUUUUUUUUUGUACUUCAAGUCUUCGUUCGCCACUUUCAUUGAUUUGGCCUCCUUCAUCCAUGGUUAUGUCCAUGGUUAUGUCUUUUGAAUGUGCCACUAAACGCAAGGUGGAAGAGGUGGAGAAGUGAUCGAAAAGGUAUUAAAGCGAGAAUCACGGUUGUGCCACCUUUUUGAAAAAAUGCAAGUCGCCGUACUCUCCAGCAGGCCAUCCUCCGCGGAUUGGACACUUAUAAGUUGUCACAUCUAGUGACUGCGUUCCAUCUUAAUGGGGGAUGAUUAAGCCUUUUUGAUUAAGCCCUAAUUAAUUAUGAGAUCAAGCGCUCUUUUCUUCUUCCUUUAUGGGAGGAAACGACAUGAGUGGAAGCAAUGGUUGUCCCCCGUCCUUUGUGCGUUCCGUGCAUUUGAGGCUCACAGAGGUGGAGGUGGUCUUUAUCUGGAAGAGAUUUUAUGCUUUUUGCCUAAAUUUGACAAGAUUUUGCAUGGUUAUCAUCAUACACGACCCAGCUACAUCGUUAUCGAUGAGGUGAUUGAGGUUUGAAAAAUCAUCAAGUAUUUAAAUUACUGUCGACAGAUGGAGCAUGCAAUAAUAGGAAUAGUACAUGUAACUUGCUCUUGCUACUUCUCUUGUCGCACUAGCGGGAUGAUGCUUCUACGGAGGUGGUGUAAAAAGAAUGUCAAAGCUUCAAAAGUAUUCACGGUCCUAGUCCGACGAAAGACGCAAAGACAAGUAACAUGAGAAUAAUAAUGUGGGAGGAGAGCCCACCCCCAAGUUUACCUGCUUGUAGAGCAUUGAAAAUGGUGUUUUGGAGACGAGAACAUUCUCGUCCGAUCCCACUUUCCAUCGUACCGAUUAGGAAAAAGGGCUGGACCCACAUCGAGACCUACCACUGAGAUACUCGAUUUGUGCCACAGCUAUCGUUUACUCUUGAAGUGAGUCAGUCAGUUGAUGCCUCAUUUCCUAAUCCGAGUAAGAGUAAAAUCGGUGGGGCGGGGGGGAUCCUUGUGCCCGCCAUUCGAGUCGAAUAACGCCGCCGGAGCUACAAACGUAGCAUGCAAGCCUCUUUGACCUUUAGUAGCCAUGAAUUCACACGGUAAAUCUGGCUAAAAAGUCCAUUACGUCCUCUUCCGAAAUCAGCGUUCGAAAGAUGGUGCCUGAUCCUAUGCGUUCCCAAUUCCAAGAAAAACGAUAAUGAGUGGCUACCGACUAAGCUACGUGGCCUAAAUGUUGAAGGCUCGGAAGGGAUCGAGAUGGGACAGUGGGGGCGUUCAAACUUGGGGACCCACGAAACUAGGAUGCUAUUUAAUUAAACAUCACCCAGUUUCGGUCUCCAGUGUCUAGAACCCAACCCAUACAUACCCAGUUUGUAAAUGCCUAUAGAGAAGAAAAAAAAAAGAAAGAAUCUGACUUCUUCAAUUUGGAAAAUGAAUCAUUUAAAGAUCAUUUUUUUGAAAAAUUAAUUGAAAGAAAUGCGGGGCAAAUAAGAUUGUUUAUUGAAAUUUGUUGACAAAUUGAUAUUAUAACUUAUAAAUGGAUGCUUGAUGAUGUCUCAUUUGCCUGCAUAUAGAUUUGGUAUUUAUAAUUCACUUUGCUCAACAAAAAAUAGUUCCAACAAGUCAAAGCAUUAUUGAAGACUCAUUGUUUAAUUCAACUGAAAAGCAUGCAUAAAUACAUGAAUGUCAAUCAUCCAAGUGUCUUUAUUUCUGAAAAGAUGUAGUUGGAAUUAGAUACCGCUUGAUCCCUUAAUUAAGAAAAAGAGAGAUUCUUAAUAUGCAAAAUUGGAUAUAUACAAAAGUACAUCCUAAUUAAUUUUUUUUUAUAUAAUCUAAAUGCACGAGCAUGGAAACUCAGCUAUUUACAUAUUCAUCGAACAUAUAACAAGUUUUAUAAAUUGGUUAAAUUUAAACUUUUGAGUUGUGCAAGCGACCUUUAACCAAAAGCAGUAUGUAUGGUUAUUAAAGCUUUGAUGAAGGGGCUUGUCAGAUGGUCCAAAACUGAUAUUUUUUAUUUUNNNNNNNNNNNNNNNNNNNNNNNNNNNNNNNNNNNNNNNNNNNNNNNNNNNNNNNNNNNNNNNNNNNNNNNNNNNNNNNNNNNNNNNNNNNNNNNNNNNNCCUUUUGAGGUUUUGCUGAGGGCACUUUAGGUUAUAUGGGUCUUUCAAUCUCGAUUGAAAACUCAAUUGAUACAAAGUAUUGAAAGAGAGAUAUGAUGUGGUUGAUAUACCAUUCUCUUCCCCGCCUUCUACUUAAAAGAAAUAAAAUAAAUGAAGUAUGACUUUGUCUAUCAAUCAAAGAGAUAGAAAGAUGUUCUUUCCAAAAAAGAUUUUCCCUAAAAAAAAAAAAAAAAAAAUUUCCCUUUUUAUAAGUAUGUUAUAUUAGCUUACCAAGAAUGAACGGUACAAACUGAACAAAUUUACUGAUCGGGAAAAGCACUAAUUUGGAAUAUUCACCCGAUUUUUCACCGGGCAUCUCGAUUCACAAACUUAGAUUUAUUCAUGAAAAUGGAAGUUCCGUGUCGUAGCAAAACAAAAACCCUAGGUCGAUCGCUUCCCUUCCGUUUUUCCCUCAUCACGGGCCAAAAUUCUAUCAUUUGUGCGUCGGUUUUGCCUCCUUUCCUUCCUCCAUUCCUCCAUUCCUCCAUUCAUCUCAUUUUCUCCGUCAAACCCACAAACCAGAUUCUCCUCUCUGCUUGCACGCGCCGCUCUGACAAAAUCCCAAAAGAUUCGAAAGCUGCAAGUUGCUGACUUCUCUCUCGAAUCUCCUUCUCCCACGAUCUCAAGGAAUGCGGCGACGCCGUCCCCGUCGAAGAAGAUGACCGCAGUCGACGCGAGAGGCUCGACCGGUCGCUGAUGGACUCCGACUCCGACUUCUGCGUCGGCGGGUCGAGUUUCGUCCUCCAGCUCUCCUCAGCCGACGAGCUCUUCUCCGACGGCGAGAUCCUUCCCGACGAGAUCAGGAGGGACAGAGUGGUAACUGCCGACCACAGUAAUUGUCUGCCGAAUACCUUGGUCUCAUCCUCCUUCUCCAUCUGGGACUCCGAUUUCUAGUGCUGCAUUCACGGAGAAGAGGAGUCUGAAGGAGCUCCUCUUCGGACAGCUUCGACGACGACGACGAAGGAGAUGAGAAGCCGCUGCCCAAGCCAUUCUGGCAAUUCAAGUGCACUUAAUUGUGACGUUGCCAAGAGCAGAGGACCGAUUCGGUUGCUACAGUUCCUCUCGCGGCGCAACUCGACCGGUUCAGUUCCAAAUCCAAAGGACAAAUUCGCCUCCAAGGACAACCCGAGGCAGAAUUUGCAUAAACAGCCUUCCAUAUUAGAUCAAAGAUGGUCGUCGGAGUCAUAUCAAUCCUCCUUCGGCAUGCCAUCAGAAGCCCCCGACGACGAACAAACGAGACAGACCCAGCGUGAGGGUCAAUCCUGAAUUGAAUUUUCAGCCCCACAUCAAACGAUCAGGACGGUGAGCUCGUUCGGGCUCGUUUCGCUUUUUUGUAAUGGCAAGGUCAAGAAGAAGAAGAAACGAGUCAUCCUCAUUAAUCUGCUUUGUUAAUUUGCAUUAGAGCAUAGAGAAAAAAGAAGAAGAAAUGAGCUUUUUGAAUGCUAUAUAGAUUUUGCGGCGGUAGAUAUGGGGGACCUGAUGGAAUUAGCAUGGGAUAAGGUUCUCGAAAAGAAUUCCAGGAAAAUAUAAUGUACGAAAUACAUGUUUAAAGAUCAGGUUUCGUUUUCUGAUAGUGGGCCCUAUAAGCCUCUGACCAGCGUUGCAUUAGCAUCAGGUAAGAUAUAAUCAUCUUGUUGUCUAUCCAGCCGAAAGUCGUACGCUGUUGUCAGUAUUCUAAAUUCAUCUUGUUUUGGGGACUUUUUUAUAAUAUCUCGGACUUCUAAGCGACGUGAAAAAUAUAUAGAAUUUGCAUAAUAGUGGCAAACGUACAAUGAGGCAAGAGAAUUUGCAUAAUUGCAUCGUAUUCUUUGUGAGUUUUUUUGUGUGAAUAUUUUUUUUUCUUUUUAAGGUUCAGGGGAUGCAGAGAAAGCAAAGGAGUACAUAGCCAAAAGGAGUGAUGAGCAAACAGAUGGUGACGGUGCGGUUUUAUCCCUCGUGCUCAAAGCUAUGUCCAUCAGAUUGUUCAAUAUGCUCCUAAUGACCGGUAAUAUGUAAUGCCAAAUCUGUAUGUUCGAAGUUCAUAUCGACAAAUAUUGCAAUGAUCCCAAGCAUUGUUCUGAGAACAUUCGCGCUACGUUGUCUCGAAUGCUAUGGAUGCAUCUUUUGGUUUUCCGACUGCAGUUAUGUUCUUGCUUCAUGUCCUCAUGAUCUCAAUCACGAUCACGAGGCAAAGGAAGAACAGGGUUUUAACACUAGUCAAACUUGUGUAUCUAAUUGCUCAACUGACCACCCUUGUACUGAUUGUAAUCUUACGGCUACUUAAAGCGCCACUUUUAACUCUUGUAAUUAGUUUCAAACUCCCGUCGAAUUUUAUGAUGGAAGAUUUAAGCACAAUAGUGAUAGCCACUCUCCUGUCGCAAAACUCCAUCUUUGGCAAUGGCUUUUUAUGGCCAUCCUGGAAAUCCCUAAUAUGCCUAACACUUUUCGUUUAAACAUUGCACUGAUGAAGAUAAUUUUAAAAAGUAUAGUAUUUUCUAAGCAUAUGUAACCAUUGGUCUUUCCCAUCACAACUUUAUUACUUUUGUGCUCCACUAAGAAUUGUUUAGUAACAAUUUGUUGAUGGGGCUUUAUACGUAUAUACAAAUUGACAAGCAUUAAGACUAAAAAGUAUAUAUAUAUAUAUAUAUAUAUUUUUUUUUAAGUAUGGUAGAAAAGUUUAGCGGCGAAUAUGAAAAUCAUGUACAUAAAUGGAUUAAUAGGAUGAAUUUUCAAAAGCUAAAUGAGUAUUGAUAGCUUAUAUGUUGUCUCAAUAUAUUGUUUUGUCUACAUUUCUUCAUUUGCCAGAUAUCAUGGUGUAGACAAAGUACUCUAUCAAAUCUUGUAUAUCAUCUCUAUCAAUCACAAUUAGAGACUUAACAAGUGAGCUCAUUGAACAUUAAGUACGCAAUAUGUUUAUGUUUUCUAAUUUUCAUAUUGAUAUUCAUUUUAAUAUACAAUCAUAAGAUUGAAUGUGAUUAAUUUAAAUUUAGUUGAAGUCUUAAAGCUUUAGGAUGAUUAGAAUGCAACUAACUAUAACUGAAUUAGGUUUUGCGGCUGAUUUAAUAAAUCUUAUUCCAAGUUUUGAUUGAAUUUCUUAUCUUAGUCAGCUAAAGUUGGAUCUUUAUUAGUGGUCAGCUCAACUAUAUAUUAAAUAAGACUUGGCCGACCUAAUCUCAGGAAUGAGUAACAAAGUCUAUGUCAACAUGACCACCUCAUACAUCCGGUAGCCAUUCCGUUGGUGAAAAGCAUAAGCAUCAUUAUACAUUAAGCUUUUCCACAGAAUUGGCAAGGAUGGAGGCUACAAUUUAUCUGAGAACAAGCAUGUAUUUUGAUAAAUUGAAGCGUUGGGAAUUAGGAUGGAAAUGAACAGCGACCAAAUUUGCUGGGUUUCAUUUUGAACUUACAAUUAAUUGAUAGGAAACAACUUGCAUUGACCAGGUGGUACUAUAUUGCUUUUUAAUAAUUUCUCUAGGUUUGGUGGGUAUUUCAUAAUGCACUAUUGGAAAACGGGCUUAAUAUUAUUUGAAAUGUGAAUACCAUAAAAUGGUGCCGAGUACUGAAAAUUAGCUGAUGGUUGUGGCUUCGGGCAAAUCCGAGAACCUCUUCCAGAGUAUGUUACCUCAAGGAUGUUAUUGAUUUACUUCCCAUAAAGGUAUCCACUUAACAGUCCGUGGCAUGGGCGCACAUAUACUCUUAUCCAUGAGAUAUGCUCAUCUUGUCUUUAUUGAUACCUAAAUUUUGGCUAUCUAUUUAGGGUUUAAUUAUAUAGAAAAUUGGGAAUUAAUUUUUAACUCCUAAAAAAUCAUUUAAAUUGCAUAGCAUAUAACCUUUAGGAGUAUCUGCAUUGAGUAGUGAUAGAAUUCAUGAAAAUUAUUAUUACUUUAUUUAUUAGAAGAAAAGAGGAGACGGAGCCAGACUGUGUCGGGUCAACCCAGACCCCUAUCUCUUUUCCGGCUGGGCCUGGCCCAACUCUUUUCUCUCUUUUCUUUUCCUCGGUGCAGGCCGGCCCAUCAUCGUUUUUCCCAGGCCCGGCCCACGUGUUGGUGUGCUUCUCCUUCAUGCCGCUCACGCCUUCUGCAAAAGGAACAGCGACACAGGCAGAGCAGGAGGAAAGCAGCUGUCGGCGUGAUCCGCGGGGGUCAGGCCGACCUGUAAGCUGGCAAUGGCAGACGCCAUGCGUGCUUACCAGUUUCCCUUAAAAGUAAAAGAGGAGGCUCACUCACUGGAGACAGAGAGAGAGCGAAGAAGAGACCGAGAGUAAGAAAUUUUUUGUCCGCUCGCUUGAACCACCCUCGACCUUCGUGGGAAGCCAACUAGCCCGUCGCCGUUCGUCACUGCAAACUCCCAAACCAGGUAACACCGGAAAGGUCCUGCCUCUUCCUUGCUUACUGAGUUUGAGAACGUCAAACCGAACCGACGAGAAUUUGGGCAAACCGUACAAAACCCAAACUGAUUUGUUGCCACUAAUGCCGAUUUAGAGCUCAAUAUACUGGGUUUAAGCCACGAACGACGUUAAAUCUGAAUCUGAAAGUGGUAUGUCGAAUUGCACAUCAACUUUUUGACGAAAUGCUUGAAUGAAGCCCCGAAUUGGAGUUCAUCAAAUUGAUACUUAAAAUCUUUGUGUUGCGCUUAGUUUGUUCUAACAUUAUUGCAUUAUUACUGAAUCUGGGUUUCUCUUUGAUUUUGUGACAUCAUUUGAUGCACGAGUCGGCCGUGGAUAACGUCUUCACGCCGAAAAAUCCACAGCCCUCGCCGGAGAAGUCCGCGGUUAGAAGCCGCCAUAGUCGGUCUUACUUUCGUCUCGGUGUGCAUAUACAUGUUUGGUUUGUUGGGAGGGCUUUCGUUUUGCAAUCGGCGACGUUUGGUGUUAACAUCGAGUCGAUUAGAGUUCUGGCGCGAGUUACUUCAAUGAAGUUUCAGUAUUGAAUUCGAUGGAGAAAAAGCAUUGGUGAAGAAGAUCUCGUCGUGGGAGAGCUCUCAAAGAAGAAGACGACGCAGAGCAAAAGAAAAGGGCAAAAAUAAUAUAAAAAAAUAAAAAAUUGAGAUUAAAAAAAUCAGAAGAGAACCAAAAAUUCGGAUCAGGUGGCCAGGUCAGGGAGUUGUGGGUGAAGAAUAGGAUGGGCUUUUUUUGAGCGUGUGGGCUAGAUGAUUUUUGAUAGAAGAUGGGCUUGAGAUAGUUUUUCUUGUGAGGGAUAUGGGCUUGUUACAGUUCUAGUCGAGCUGGGCUUUAUUUAGUUUGAAUACACUCGGGCUUGAAUUGUUGUAGAGGCCAACCCAUCAAAUUCAGGUCGGGCCAUACUCGGACUGGGCCCUAGGGCCGGUCCGAUUUCGGACCCAACCUGGACCGGUAAGGUCCGAGUCCGACAACAAUCGGACCGGUUUCUCUGACCCGAGCCGAGUCACAUAUUCCAGAAUUAAAAAUUCAAAAAUUAAUAAAAAAUAUAAAUCAUUAAAAUAAUUUAAAAUUCAAAAAAUGUAAAAAAAGUAAAUAUAAAAAAAAUAGAAAAUGCUUAAAAUAGGUAUUCAUGAAAUUUUUAAGUUUUUUAGCAUUAGAUUUAGUUUAGUUUCAUUUAAUUAGUAUACAUGUAGCAUAGUCCUAGUGGAGUAUCAUUUUGAAAGAAAUUAAACUUGAUUUGAAUAUAGCUCAUGGGGUUCAUGUCCUAGGGCUUAUAACGUGGCCAUGUAUAUUCUUUGCUUGGCUUGUAUUAGGUUUUCUUUUUGGCAUUUACUUUAAAAGUCAUUUCAAUACUUGGGUGCUUGUUUAACGUACCAUUUUUCAAUAAAUUGGUUGUUUAUCGCUUUCUCAGAAUAGGUUAGGAUUAAUUUAGACUUUGAGGAAACUGAACCCUACAAAAACAUUUGCAUGAUCAUUUAGCAACUUUGAUGCAUUUAGGACUAUAAUUGGCAAUUAAGACUGUGUGACCACUUAAGUAAUGACCUUCUAAGUUAGAGGUAUCAAAAGGGUGCUAAUAGACAUUGGCGUAAUCAAUUUCCUAACUCUAAAAUUUUUGGUUGCGUAGGAAUUGAGACGAUACUCCAGUGUUUCGAUUGAUUUCUAAAUCAACCUCAAUAGGCUAAUGACAACUUUUAGAAAUAUUUAUAUUGUUAAGAAUUAAAAAGAAAAAAGAAAAAAAAGAAAAUGAAAUCCAACAUUGUGCGAGGUAUGAGCUUGAGAGGGCCCGCCCUUAAUCAAGGGCCGUUGGCUUGAAUUAGGCAAUACCCUUAAUCUAUUUCUUUUCCCUUCCAAACAUAAAGGGUAGGUCACGAUAGUCUUUUUUUUUUUGCCAAGAAGAAUCCAACUCUUCUUUUUGUAUAUUAUGCCCUUAUCAGAUACUUUGCAAGUAAUUGAACGAUUCUCUUUUAAUACUACUACAUAAGCAAUUCAUCACUAAUAAUAAUAUCGACUGCAACUUGGUCAUGUAUAGGUCUAGAUGAUCACCAGAAUCUUUCUACCGUAGCUGAAACAGCUUUUUACAUCUUGUUAGCAAGUUUUCUAACAAUAUUGCCCUCAAAAUUUUGAUUGAAGGUUUUAGAGAUUAAUGAUCCCAAAGCCUAGACAUUUGUUACACUCUAAGGGUCCCAAGCCUAGGCCCUAGCGCUGGGUAUCCAGGCACAAGUAACGAGGUCCGGUGCCCAGCCUCGAUGGACAAGGCUCCUCUCUGUUUCUGUCCGCCUCCUUGUCUUCACCUUGAGAAGUUAUAGUCGAUCUUCCUUCGCUGAACCCUCCCACUUACCUCUCUUUACAUAACGCUUCUCUUCUUUGGGUGAAUACAGCUGAGAGGAUCGGCCCACAGAUGGGAUCCGAUGGAGGUCCAGCUCCAAUAACCAUUCAUGCUUUUGCUGUAGCGAGAGUGUAAGUGCUCUAACAACAACAACCCAAAUGGACUCAGUUCAACGGCAAGUGGAGGCUAUGUGGAGUUCAUUGAUUAAUGAAGUUUCGUGAAGACAAUGGUUAGCCUGUCUAUGGGCAAUCAAUGUCACUAUAGUGUUAGCCUGUUCAAGUCCUAACAAUUGCAGGAACCUCUAAGUAAACAUGGGAAGUGAUGUUUUAUAAGGACCGAUGUCUUCCAAAAGUAUCAUGUGAAUCACGAAAAUAAUUGUCGCAGAAGUUGAAUAACAAUUGGACGUACUUUGAUCUGUUACUCUUUGAUUUCCACAAACAGCUUGAAUGGCCUCCCGCAAAUCCUUCUCACUGAGCUGGAGAUUUCGAACUAAUUGCUGCCCAAUAUCUUCACAGAAACAAAAUCAUUUUUUUUUUUGCACUUCCGAGCAUUGUCCAAAAGGGAGGCAAGAUGUGUGCCCAUUAUAGGGCCACUAGCGUUGCACAAAACCUGGUGCAAGAUCACAGAUUGUUACCAAACCCCAAAUAUCCUCUGGAGAAAGACAAAAUUGAAUUGAAAAACAAACUUCUAACUGAAUACAUGCCUUUGGUUGUUGGGAUAUGAAAUUGUCCACAGCCUGCAGAACUGAUGUAUUGUCAAGACCAGCUUUAGUGAGAAUUGUCCUGGCUAAACCAUCCUUUUGCUCCAAAAGAGCUUUCAUUAGAUGCUCAGUUUCCAUCACUUGUUUGCAAACUCGAGCUGCAUCAACAGCACCAAUAAUGCUCUCCCAGGCCAUCUCAGUGAACUCUGAUGGAUUUGUCCGAGUCAAACAAAGCCGGACUUCAAGGAACUGUGUUAACUUGUAAAAUCAAGUACAGAUUCAUCAUCAAAACACGAAAAAAUUAAACGGCCAGCUUUAUGCUUUGUAUGUUGAAAAUCAAACACUUAGUUUUAACUCAAGGAACUGUGUUAACUUGUAAAAUCAAGGAACCGUUGCCUCCCCUGGUAAGAAAAUGUAAUACCUACUCAAGUGUUAGGCGGACCUUCAUAAGCAAAAGCUCACGGAAGAUGGGGAAGUUAAAUGCAGAAUUUUGGUAAAUUUGCAGCUCAUAAUUCUCCAAAUUAUACAUAAAAAACCGUCAAACGAUAUUUUUAAUUUAACAUUCAUUGCGAAUACAGCCAAAAUUAACGCACUUUAGUGAUACCGGAGAGAAGUUUAUUUCGUUAAGCUUUGCCUUAUGAGGUCGGCACGAACGCCCGAUACAUCUCUAUUCUAUAACUGCAGAACCUCGAAAGAUCAUUGCUCGCGGCGACAGUUGACACAUGGUAACACAAAAAGCACCCAACUUUAAGUCCCAAAAGCUUCAGCAACACCAAAAGAAGACAACGGACAUAUUGCUUUAAACUUAAUCUUCACAAACGAGCACUAUUCCCAACUCUGACAUAGAAACCUCAAAUAAAAUAAAAAUAUCAAAGGCUCCUUAGCCUCGAGCCGACACUGAGCGACAAAAUCACUUCAAGAUCACACCUUUCAACUAUAUCACAAAAUACCCGCAUUCACAUAAUGAAAUUCGAUCGAAUUCCAACCUGAGACGCGCUUGCGGCAGUCGAAUAAGCCCGAGAGGGAAGGCCAGAGCCCCGCGAACCGAAGCCGCCGACGCCGCGGAGCUCGACGGCCCCGGCGGAUACCGAGGAAGCGAGGACAUUAGCCUCGCGAAGCGGUGGGCCGGUGGGCGGGUGAACGGAGUUUCCCGAAACCGGGAGCGGAGCCGGAGAGCGAGCGAGAGUGGGAGAGGGCACGGGCGGCUCCGGCGGCGGAGGAGGAGCGUUUGGGAGGCGCCGAGGCCGCGUUUAUGGCGGCCAAGGCGGUCGUGGUGAGCUUGGAGGUGGUUCUCCUCGUGGCCAUGGAAGGAGCGCGGGAAGGGUUCUGAACU